rnacentral:lncRNA from 1 species
AAAAAUCAAGUUUUCACAAACCAAAAAGGGACUAAUUUGGUCUAGCAUAUUCAUAAUAUUUUCUCCACUGUUCCUGUUAAAAUUUCUCUACUCUAUGAUUGCAGAAUGUUUGGAUACUGAUGACGAUUUAAGUCACUCUUCUUCUGUGCGCAAUUUGAAAUAAGGUCGUUUUUCUUUUUUCCUCUAUUCAAAGUUUACAUUCUGAGGGGUUCCCGUUUCCAUCUUCGUGAUCUUCUUGUGAUUCACUGCAUCGUGUCGCUACAUCUGUGAUAGUGUGAGUUGCAACCUGUCUGUUUUCUUUGUUUGAUCAUUGUAUGUAUUAAAAAAGUUUACAUUUCAUUCUAGAUAAGCUCUUUGUAUGUAUUAAAAAAAUUUUAUUCUCAAUAUAUAUGACUCAAUGAGAGGUCUUUUAUUAUAUAUAUGUCAUGAAUUUCUAUUGUAUUUUGAGAUUUGAUGGUGUAUUAUUGUCUCAUUGCAAGGUCUUGUAAUCACUCUGAUUCUCAUUUGAGGAGGUUGGUCUCGUCUAUGUGUAUGUAUUUAUAUCCACAAGAAAUUUGAUAAAUGGUCUUGUCGUUUUCUCAUUAAAACAUCUAGUGCUUCAUGGGUUGGAGGGCUACUAGGCAUCAGGGCCAGAUCUUUAAACUCAAAGUUCUUCGUGUCAUUUACCCAUUUGAUUAUCAAAUAGUCAUAAAAGCAUAUAAAUUCAAGUUAGUGUAUCAUUUUUACACAAUAUACUAAAACUAACACAAGAACUUGGCCGACAUUUUCAGUUGAAUAACUCAGACCCCCGAACUUCCUCGGGCUGACAUCCCAAAGUGAAAAUGUCUAAAAAAAUAGUUGCAACAUUUACCCAUUUGAUUAUGAUUCAAAAAAAAACACAAACGGAGAAAUUAUUGGGAUUGUUAAGAUAGUUAAAAUGGUUAGUUAUUGUUUCAGUUUGUUAAGCAAGAUAGGUAGAGUUACUGACGUGUUAGCUGAGCUGGCAUAAGUUAUUCAACUCUCAGGUGCUUAGAAACCUUGUAUAAAUACAUUUGUAAUCAGCUAAAGAAUGGAUGAUUCAGAUUUAUUCAUCAAAUCCAGCUCUUAGAUGAUCUCUGUUCUUUCUUUCAUUUUCUCUCAUUUUCUUACUUAUCAAACAGAUUAGAAACUUUAACUUGGUAUCAGAGCCUGAAAGGUUUGGUAGUUGUUCUGUUUUAUCUUCAGUUUCAUUUUGUGAUCACAGAAACGUUAGGACUUGCUUGCAUGAACGCACAUUAAACCACGGAAAUUUUGUCAGACAUGCACGCAAAUGAAAUUUUAUCAGCAGUCUUGUAAUUUUCUAUUUUUGUUGUUGUCGUCAUUUUUUUACUACUAGUACUGUUUGAAAUUCUAGUAUUUUGGAUGUGAAAUUUAUUAUAUUAUGAUAGGUCCCAGUCAGAAUUAGCGGAAACAACAAGUAAAUAAUUUGUUCUUCUUAGGGUAAGAACUACCGCAAUUGCUAAUUGAAUUAGAUAAAAGUCUGAUAUCUUUUUAUUGAAUUAUUCGAGUCUAUUUAUAGAACAAAAUUAAUGAAAUAAAGUAGUUAAAAUCAAUUAAACCACUUAGCUAUAAUUUCGAAGUAAAUAAUAAUCUUAAAGGAAUCAUGAUUAAAUCUGAAUUCUUCAUCAAUACGGCUUGACUUAGUAAGCUUUCCGUUGAUUUUGUGAAGAGUCCUUGAAGGAACGUGAUGCCCACCUCAUGCAUGGCUUGCAUGUUACUUGCAUGUGCCCAUACAUUUUCGUUAUUGGCUUGCAUGGUUGCUUGCAUGUGCCCAUGCAUAUUCGUCAUAUUUGUUGUUGGGUUUUGCUUCUCACUUGGACUUGCGUAUACUCUUAUCAUAUUAGAUAUUCGACAUAUAUAUGAUGCUGAAUACAGGGUAUGUGUUGUCUAAAUUUAUUUUAUUUUGUUUGCUUCACAUCCAAUUUUCAAAAGCUUUGAAGAAUGCUAAGAGAAGGAGCAAAGGGCUAAAGAGUCAAAUGUAACAUUGCUAUUAAUUUGUUAAUUGCCAUCAUUUUUAAUUUUUGCCCUGCUUGUUCUGUUUACUCAUUUAUUUCACUUGGUUUUGCUCCACGUCUAUCUUUCCUAACUUAGGAAGGCAAGGAUUUUGAAAGUUCUGAAGAAGAUUCAGGUCACUCGUGUGAAUAAGAGCUGUGUUACUGUUUAAAAGUUUUCAUGCUCUGGAAUAAAAUUUGCUUUACUGUGUUACUGGUCAACUUCAUUAUUCUACUAAUGCUUUACUUCAUCUUCAUUGUAUCACUACAUUGACAGCGUUGACAGUGUAAGAGUCGUUUUCACGAUUUUUAAGAAAUUUUGAUCACAUUAAACUUUUGAUCUGAGUUCAUAACAAAAAUCAAAACGGCGCAUGACAUCAAGAUUAUGAUGAAUCAAAUUGAACUCCCAAUACGUUAGUUCAUAAAAAAUGCUUUUCUUCUUCCAAGUAAUCUUAUCAUUUCUUUCAUUUUAUUCAUUCUCCUCUUUUCUCCUCUUUUCAAGUCUUCAAUCUUAUACUCAGUAAGUACAUUACUGAACUGCUUUUUCACCUCAGCUCCAGACAACCGAGAAGGUGCUUGUCCGGUUGUCCCCACUCUCUAGUUUUAUCAGAUGGCACUAUAUUUUCGGAACCUAUGAUUUGUUGGUAAAAAUCGACGGUGACCCACGUGACAAUUUUCUACUAUGUAUCAACCAAUUAGAUCUAGUGUUUUGUUGGCAAACAAGAAAUGCUUAUUUACCUUUAAUACUCCACCCAAACAAGUUGGCAUAUGCUAGAAAGUCGGAGAUAGUCCAUAACAAUGCUGCGUGUGACUUGAACAUUUGAUUAUGUGAUGCAUUAUGCAUCAUUCCAACCAUACUAGCAUCACUACCCGAGUCAUGACUAACCUGUUUCUUAGUUAGAUUUCAAAGAUGAAGAUGGCUCACCCUCCAAUAUCCAGUUUUAAUACUUUAACCAAUAGCCAUUUAUAAUGAUAUGGUCUCUUGCCACUUUCCUUAUAAGGAAAUAUCGAUAUUACGACACUUCUUAGAAGGACAAUAAAUUCUUUUAUCACCAACAACAUUCUCAAAUGCAAAAUCUAUAAAUUUUUUGACCCAUCAGUAUAUGAAUUGGAUAUCUAUUUGGCAAACCAACCCAACUCUGGUCCAUGACUAUGUCCUUUUAAUGCACUAGAAAAAUUAGUUAAAUAAAUCACUUUAAUUCUUCAUUUCUACUACUAAACAAGAUAUUUUCAUGUGUGCGCAGUUUCGCAAUAUAAUAAAAAAAAUUAUUAUACAAUUUUAUGGUUAAUCUCAUUAGAACGUUUAUAUAUAUGGAAGCAAGCAAAGCCACAAGAAUCAGAGAAAAAGAUGUGAAAAUUAAAGUAUAUAUACAACAAUAAUUAAUCUAAAAAACAGUUUGCAAUACCUUCUGUAAAGAAAUAUCCUCACCCACUGCUGAGAACUUCACUUGGCUAUCAAUUACAGAUAUAUAAAGCCUGUUACCUAGAAACAAAAAAUUAGGUCAGCCAGCUAAAACAUAUUUAUAAACCAACAUUGGAGAUAGUACUCCAUUUAUAAACAAAAUUACAAGACUCAAAACCAAGUCGACUCAGCAAAAUCAUAACCGAUUACAUUCAUCCCACUCAGCUCCUCCACUCCCAUCAAUAUAUCCAACAUUCCCUUCAUAUUUACAAAAGGUAAGUGGUCCUAUAUAUCCCACUCAAGAAUGCAUAAGUUUCUUCAAUCUUAAGUAUCUAAAGUUUUCCUCUACGUUUAUAGAAACUUCGGAAGCAUCUCCCUAUAGUUCUUCAAGUACACGACAUAGAUAUAUGAAUGUUUAUGUGUUAUGCCAAAACAACACAUGACACCCAUUUGUCUAGUAUGCACCCAGAGAACAUGAGGAGCAGCUGCUGAAAAACCCAUUUUUACGUGGGAAAAAAAUUUCAGGCACUAGCUGCCAUAGAAAUCUAUGCAUUACCAAACUGUCCAAGCCUAGAUAUUUCAAGAAUUAUUAAUAGACAUAAGAUCCUCACUAUCAUCCAAAAGAUGACACUAAUAAAACAUGUGUCUAUUAAUAAUUUCUUAAAGGAGUUUAAGCUUUCAAUGCAUGUAUCAAAAGUUUAAAAUUGAAUCUGAAACUUGAAUAACACAUAAAAAUCAUAAAUCUCUUCAAUUUAUUCCUAAUAAAAUGUAGCAUUUUUUCACAUUUCAUUUCUUAAGCAAAACCAUAAAAAAUUACAAACAAUAAAUACAUUUUCUAGCACUGAUGCACAUUAUGUUUACUGAGCAAUAAGUUUUAAGUCAUUCAUAUUAAAAUACUUCUUCCUAUUCUAUCAACAAAUAACUAGUACGUACACACAAUUAAUAAAUUAAAUGUAACCUGGUUGUGAAUCUUGCAAAGUCUUCCUAUUUUUUUUUUUUUUUUUUGGUGGGGGGGGGGGGGGAGGGGGGAGGGGGUGGUUAUGCUCAUUUGUGUGUUGUUAACAGAAAUUGAUCCAAAGCCUCAGUUUUAAUUAGCUUCAUUAUAGCCAAUGAUUAGGUGUUUAAAAACCAAUGAAUAUUUUUUAUAAGAAAUCAACAAUAUUGUUGAAAGAAAAACCAAAUAAAAAUAAUAAAGCAAUGCAUAGAUUAAGGCUCUUUAUUAUCUAAUAACUAAUCAAACUAAGUUGUGGGUAAAGGAGAAUAUGUUUGUUUGGCCAAUAAUAAACUCAAGGAAUCACCAAUAAUCACCUAGUUACUAUUCCUUAUGCCAUGCAAUGUAAUGGCGUCGGUAAUGGCGACAAGGCAGGCAAUAACUAGCUAGCUAGUUAUGAUAGUUGCUUAACUUAACCUACUGGAAAUCUGAAGACCAAAAUGAAGAAACUUUGCCUAGAACUAGAAUAGGAAAACAUUCAUACCCAAAACCAAUAUACAUGAUUAAGAAACUUGAUUAUAUGUAUAUUUUUGUUUGCCACACCAAAUCCCACUAUUUCCAUACUCAUAAGCACAAAAAACCAUCGCAAAAAUGAAUGACCAUAUAAAAUAAAAUAGGUCGCAGGACAUUGAGAAUAGGACAAUAUGAUUUAUGUACUGUAAAAUAACUAUAUCUGCAGUCAACUAUAUUUCUGUUAGAACUCUAAAGUUUUCCAUUAAAUUUUUUUCCCUGUUAGGUAAACCACUUAACUGAAACACUUAAGCAAGAUUGACAAUCAUAGACAUAAAAGUAUUAAUAGGCUCAUUCAAGUGAAAUGAGCAUUAUUUCACAUAUCCUUUAGGCUUUUAAGUCAUUUAGAAGUCAUUCAUGUUAAACAAUUUCUUCAUAUACUUUCAAUAUAAUUAGUACAUACACAAUUAAUUAAUUAAAUAAAUCUGUUUCAGCUAGCACAGGAACUUAAGCAAUCAGAGCUAUUAGUUAUAGCUAGGACUUGAAUGAGGCACCUUUCAAAGUUCAAGAGGAGCAUCUGAACAGAAUGAAAGCAGUUUGUAGAAAUGGUAGUGAUGCUUUACAUCUACAUGCUCUUACACAAUAUGAACUUUCAUUUAUUCAAGAACAUAACACUAAUCCAAGCUCUUACUCUACAAGUCAAUUCAGUUUGUAGAUGCAAGCCAUUGUAAAAACUUUUGUGUUAUAAUUUCCGUAAAUGGAACAUGACAUUACUAAUAUAGAAUCAGCAAUGUUAUAUAACUUAUCAGACAAUAUAACAAGCACUUGGCGAGCAUAUAAGAUAAACUAAAACAAGUUAAUUAGAAAAUGAAACUAAAACCCAAGCUCCGCUAUUCAUUGUAGAAGCUUUAAACAUAAAAUUAAACUAAAUCUAAUGCCAAAACAUUAGAAUGGAUGUUGGAAUUAAAGCUAAAUUCAAUAGUAAUCCAAAUGAAUCCAUUUGAACUUUGUAAACUCCGCAGAACAAAAUUAAUUUGAGUGAGCAAACUCACCAAUGGCACAAGAACAGAAGGGCUUCAACUUCUAGGAACAAAAAACAUUGCCGGUGGGACAAAAAUUGACAUUAAUGGCUACAAUACGAAUUAAAGAGAUCAAAACCUAUAAUUACAAGCUAAGAAAGAGAGGAAACUCAUAAUCACAAGCUUACCUGAAACGAAGAGAGAGAAUAAGAUGAAGAAGAAGAUCGCUGCCGUUUUACGCCAUUCUCCGGCUACCAGUAAGGUUUAGGAUGCUGGCCAGGCACGAGAGAGAAUUUGGGACUUUGGUCUUCAAAAUAUUGACUCCAGCAAAUAGUUUUCUAUUUAGAAACAAAUUUAUAACUCUACCGUCACUCUCUACCGUCACGUGGUUAGUAACAUAAGUGAGAGCAGUCUAGCCGUCACAUAAACGGUCACAAAAGCAACUGGCUGUUACAAGUUUAGGAAUGGCAGAUAUUGCCGCGGGGACAUGACCCUCGAGAUUUUCCCAAUUCAGGUGGGUACAUAAUUUUUUACUUAAUUUUUUAUUUGAAAAGGAGACGGAGAUAGUUUUUUUACCUAAUUUCUUAUUCAGAGAAAGAAUGGGGGAUCGGCAGAAUCCCUAUUCUCUUCUAAUUUUUUGAUUUAAUUUUAUUUUUUAAAAUUAUUUGUAAAUAAAUAAUAAAAUAUAAAUAAUAAAAUAUUAAAUAUUAGUAUAAAUAAAAAAAUAAAAUAAUUAUAUUAUUAAAAUUUAGGCCUAAUUGACUACAUUAAUAUUUGGAUGAGAAAGUUAUGCUUAGGAUGAAAGAUUUUAAUAUUUUGAGUUGGUGUAAAAUAAAUGUCUAUAGAUAUCCUAUACUGGCAUGAAUUGCUAGAGAUAUUUUGGCAAUUCUAAUUACAAAUGUUGCUUCUGAAUUAGCUUUUAGCACCAGUGGUAGAGUACCGUAACACGCUUUAUUCAAGCACAUUGGAGGCUUUAAUAUGUUGUCAAAGUUGACUACAAGCUUACAAUGACAGUAUGAGUUUAUUUUACAUUGUAAUUAUAUUAUAUAAUUAUUAAUAUUUUCACUUAGAAUUUACAUUACUUAUAUUAUUUUUGUUGUUUUAAAUUUGAAAUCUGAGGCUAUCUCUCAAUUUGUCACAUUCCUCGAGGAAGAACAAGAAGAGUAGGAGACACAAGAGGUAAAUACUUUUAUUAGAAAUAUUGAUUAAGUAUCUAUAUUCAUUUCAUUUAUCUCAUUGUUGAUAUAAAAGUAAUUUCUUUUUUUUUAUUAUAUGAUUUUGAAGAUUGCCGAAGAUAAUUAUUAUGGUGAUUUAUACUUUGUAAUGUGACUUUUGUAAUAGAUUAAUGUUAAUGUAAGAUAUAUCGUCAAACUUUAUUUUUAUUUUUAUUUUUUAUUUUAAUAUGAUUAAAUUAAAAUUUAAAACUAAAAACGUAUCAGUUAUUCGAGAAUCGAGGACCUUUAAGGAUCCCCUAUUAUUAUUUGGGGAGGGGAGGGGGAUUCCCUAAAGCAAUUUUGUGAAUGGGAAGAGGCCAGGGAUAUAUACAGAAUAUCGAGAAUGGGUACGGGGAGGUCGGUCUCUUCCCCUCCCCUUCCCAUUGCCAUUCCUAACAAAGUUGGCAAUACAUGUACGGGCCGCUUUUGUAAAAUUGCUUUAAGGGUCGUUUGGGAUUGCUUUUGGGAAUAGCAUGCAAGAUAUAUAUAAAAAAUAAAAUCGUAGAAUAACUUUUACCUCUAAUUCGAUUUUUUCUUCUUUUUUGUAAAUUAUUAUGCAUUUAUAUUAAAGUCACUGUGUAUGAUUGGAUUAUUAAAAGUUAUUUGAGAGAAUAUGAAUUGACUUAAUAAGUUAUUACGUGAUUGAUGAUGAUCAGAGCUUACCCAACUGGCAUUAAGUGGAAAAGACUCGAGGAUGACUUUGCAGAGCGAUUUCCCACAACACCUUUUUGGCAGUCUUAAACUACUACAAACAGUGGAUGAUGACUCAACUUGUUUUCCACUUGAUUUACUUGAGAGAUUUCAUAAUCUGGAAACUCUCAUACGGCGUCGUUGUUCAUGCGAAGAGGUAUUUUCGAAUGGAGGAUACUUGAAGAAACAUGUGAGGAAGUUUACAAUGAUAAAACAUUUAGAUCUGCACAAAUUUAAUCAUCUGAAGCAAUUGUGGAAACAAGACUCCAAAUUGGACUCGUUUGUUCAAUGCCUUGAAAUUCUAAAUGUACAUUAUUGUCAAAAUCUGUUAAUUCUUUUGUCUUUGCUGCUAAUUCUUUAAUUCUUUUCGGUUCUUAAGUUUCUCUGUGAUUUGUUCUGGAUUGAUUCUUUUUGCAUCUUGGUUGUUUGAUUUGCGAUCUUGGCGAGUAUUUGGAGUUGAUCAUUAUCGAAUCUGUCACUCCAAACUCUACAGCGACUCUUAUCAAUGUUGGUAUAUGGAUGCAGAGCAAUGAGAGAGGUGGUGAUAAAUGACGAAGAUGGAGCAGCAAAUUUUGAAGAAGAGAUUGUUUUCACCAAAUUGAAGAUUUUGUAUCUGUAUGAUUUGGAUAGUCUCACAAGUUUCUGCUCUGCCAAUUACACCUUCAAAUUCCCAUCUUUGGAAGAUUUAUCUAUAAUUGGUUGUCCCAAGAUGAAGAUUUUCACUAAAGGAGAAUUAAACGCGCCUCUCAGAGUAAACUUCUACUAUGGAGAGAGAGACGAUCAACAGCCUUGGGCUAAUAAUGAUCUUAACACAAUCAUACAGCAUUUACAUGCUGAGAAGGUACGAAUAACUCACUAUCACCAGUGGAAAAAUUUUAUAAAAUUUCUCUUUUAAAUAAAAUGCACCAAAUAGAUCAGAUAUUUGUUAUAAAGUAAGUUUAUGAUCACGUACUGGCAGAUGGGAUACAUAUGUGCUUCAUUCUUGAAACUCUACCCUAUUUAAAAUUGAUAUUUUCACAAGAGUUAGAGAAUCCUAUUCAUUCAAUUAUCCAAAAUCAGAGAAUCUUAUUCAUUCAAUUACAAAAUUUCGUUAAUCGUUAGUUUUUAACUUCAUUACUGUAUGGAAGUCCUGUCAAAUUAAAUUGCUGUUGUUAAAUUUAUUAAAUCUCUUGCUUCCCUGCAAAUCUCUGCGUGCUUUACUUUUAAUUGAAACUAAUGAAUGAAAAUUUUACUUUCAGCUGUUGGAGGGGUCCUCAUCUUAUUCAAUGAUGUAUAUGUCCUAAUGGCAUUGGCCUUUUACUUUAAUUACAAGCGAGUUGUGAAUUUGAAAAACAAAGUCCCAGGUAAUUCAAUUUCAUUUCAUUUUAUUUUAUUUCUUGGCUUGUUUUAUCGCUUCAUCUAAAUUGUUUGGAAUACACCACUAGUUUAUUUUUACUUUUAGAAUGAGUUUUAAUGUUUUGUUCUGAGAUUUAUAUGCUGAUUUUAUAUCAUUAAAGGUCUUAGUGACUUAGUUUGGUCUUCACUUAUUUAUUUAUUUAUUUUUUUGACGUCGUGGCUUUAUAAUGUGUUUUUUUUUUUAAUUUUGAAUUUUAUAAUUCCUUGAAAAUGUCAUUGAAAGGGCCAGCACUUUUAUGUGGAAACCAUCUCAUCCUCCUUAUUUCAAACUAUUAAACAACCAAAUGUAUCCUAACAUAUAUGUUUAGAAUCAAUCUACUCAUUAAGAUAUAUGGUAAUGGUGUCAUCUGUUUGCUAUAGUUUGAUUACAAGAGAACUUUUCCAUUUGUUAGUUGCCAUCUUUGUUGAUCUGUUAAUUCAGUCUUCUUCUGUUUGUCCUGUUUAUCUGUUUAUUUCAACCUUUCUUUCAAAACUUAGAAGGUAUGGAAAGAGCAAGUACUUAGAAAUUGCGAGAAUUAUAUCAAAUCAUGCAUAUAUGCCCCUGCCUAUGAACUCUUAGGAACAAUCGAAUAUCUUUCCUUGAAUAGCAUAAAACAAAAUCUACAGAUCAUUAAACCAUCAAAAGUUAGCUAUGAACAACUAUAUAAAAAUCAUUUGUUUCUCACCUUUUCGUGAGUCUGAGAAGUUGUAAAUUCUACUGAGUUUCUCACCUUUUUUUUUUUUUGGACAAUUGGAGUUUUUAGUUUAUGAAACUUAAUGCCUAUAUUUCUCACAUUGUAAAAGUGUUUUGAAAAGAUGGUUUAUAUUGCACCAUAAAAAUGUGGUCUGAUAAACCAACAGGGGAGUAGUUUGAUCCAGUUACGUGAAAUGCAUGCAAAAUAAUAUUUUCUCUAUAGUUACUGAAGAGAAUUUUGGUCACUUUGGUGUGCAUUAUCUGGAAUAAAGUCGUUUUCCAGUUUCUUCAAAGUUUAUGUGCGGAGGACUUCCGGUUUCCAUCUCAAGUUCAAAUACUAAUAAAGAUGAGUAAAUUCAUCAUCCGUGUGUCUGCUCUUUCUAUGCAUUUUGACAUUUUUUAUUAAUGCGUCUUUAACAGUAGUUUUUUUUCACAGAAAAAAUUGUCAGUAUUUUGUGUCAAAUAAAAAAUUAAAAAAUAUAUAUGUAUUUUGGGCGAAACUUUUUGCGAAAAAUAAUGAGUGCCAACACUUUAUAACUUAAUAUGUAUUUUGGGCUUGGCGAAGUUACGGUUCAUGUAACUAAUCAAUUUAAUCAUUACCGGAUAAAAUUGAAUACACCAGUAGUGUUUUUCCACGGAGAUAUUGCCAAAUUUUGUGUCAAAUAAAGAAUAAAAACCAUAAAUACCAGUAGUGUCCGAUUUUGAAAGCAAAGCAGCAUACAUAUUAACUACUAGGCUUUGAUGGUGGUUGCAGUAAAAAGGAUUAAAAGAGAGAGAGAGAGAGAACUUGAAAACUAUGGAAUGGAAGAUAAAUCAAAGUUAUAAAUUUGGACUCAAUAGUUUUGAUGUUCAAUCAAAUAUGGAGGGGCGAUUAGAAAUUAUCAAAAAUUUAGAGGGAUUUCAACCGUUCAAUUCAUUAUUAGGCGUUGUAGACUGCAGGGAUGCAGAAAUUUCCACAGGGACGAUGGCCCCGAGGGAUCUUCCUCAUUCGGGAGUUUGAUAAUUUUAGAUCUAAUUUUUCUAUGUGGAGACAAGACUGUGAUCAAUUAAUAUGUGUGGGUGUAAGUUACAUGAAAUAUAACUUAGUGUUUGCCCUAAUAUUUUAUUUGGCUCCACAUUUUUCUAUUUCUAUCUUUAGUUCUAUUUUUAAUUAAUUUAUUUCAAAUUUAUAGUAAAUACAUUUAAAAUUUCAAUUAUAAUAGUGUGAUGUAAAUAAAAAAUAUCACAAUACAUUUAUAAAAAUAAUAUAAAUAACAGCCAAUAUAAAGUAAAUAUAAACAUUUUAAAAUUGACAAAGAUAAUUUAAUUGAUGGUUUAUACUAUAUGACAUUUAUGGAUGAGUUCAACUUUGAAGAUUUACUUUUGCUUAAUUAGUUCAAAGAUUAUCUUCUAAUUUGAUGACAUUGACUUAAUUUGAUGGAAAUGAUUUUAAUCACUUUAGUUAAUUUGAUAUUUUUUGUGUUAAUAUGAUUUUAUAUUUUUACUUUAAGAUGAUUAAAUUAAGAAAAAAAAGAAAUUAAAUAAUCAGAGAUCGGAUAGCAUCGGAGAUCCCUUUGUAUUAUUUAGAAACAUCCAUCCCCUUCUUUCAAGUGAUUUUGAAGGAAAUGUCUAGAGUACAAAGAGAUAGACAGAGUAUUAAAGAUGAGUAUGGGGAAAUCAAUCCCCUCUCCUUCCCUUCUUAUUGACAUCUUUACAUGUGAGCCCAAGGGGAAAUGCACCAUGCCUGAUAAAAGUAAAAUUAAAAAUAAAAAUUUUCUUUUAUCAAAUCACUCUAUGUGGUGGAGAUUAUUGUAUAAUCAAGUACACAUGGCAUUUUUAAAAGCUUUUUCUUUAUUUAAAGCUCUAAAGGUUUGCCUAAGAGUCAAGGUUGGUGCCGUUCUUCUAGAAGAACAACCCGUAUCUUUUGAUAUUCAAAGUUUGAAUAUCAAGUUCAAACUUUAAAUUUUGAAAUAAUAAUAAUAAUAAAUAUAAAAAGUGCCAAAUUUUUAGCUAUAAAUAGAGGGGUUCACCCCCUCAUUUCACUCAUUCCAUUCUUUUCUUCUUUAGUUCUAUAAUGAGAGAGUAAGAGUUUUAUACUCUUGAGUGACUAGUGUUUAGAGAGAUUGGGUGUAUUAAGGUUUUGAUAAGUGAAACAAAAUACUAAAAUACUUAUAAUUCUCAUUUCACUAGUAAAGUUUUAUCCUUUUGUCCUUGCCUAUGGGCAUAAGUUAAAAGCCGAACCAAAUAAUUUAUGGUGUCCUCUGUGUGCUUGUUCUUCAUUUUCUUCCAAUUUCAUUUUAGUCGUGGCCCUACUUCACCAAUCAAUUUUCUAAUAGUGGUAUUAGAGCCGGGUUGUAUUUUUUGGGGUCGAGAUACUAUUUACAUAUAUUGUAUUGUUCAUGUAUAUGAUAUUGUUUCUGUAUACGACACUUUAUUCAUAUAUACAGUUACUGCUCAUGUGAAAUGGUAGGAAUCGAUCUUAGCAAAGGUAGCUCGUGGUGAAAAGUGAUGGCGGAAAAAUACAAAAUUGAGAAGUUCAACAGAAAUAAUUUUUCGUCAUGAAAAAUGAAGAUGAAGGUUGUAUUGAGGAAAAGUAAUUGCUUGGCAGCAAUUGAAGAGAGGCUCACAAAGAUAACUAAUGAUGGCAAGUGGAAUGAGAUAGACAAUAAUGCCAUUGCAUAUCUACACUUACCACUUUCAGAUAGGGUAUUUUUCAAUAUGGUAGAGUAAAAGAGAGUAAAGGAAAUAUGGUUUACUCUCACAAGACUAUACGAGGUCAAAUCACUACAAAAUAAAAUCUUCUUAAAGAUGAGGCUUUAUACUCUUCAAAUGGAGGAAUCUACAUCAGUGAUCGACCAUAUCAACACUUUAAAGACUUUAUUUUCAUAACUUACAACGUUGGGUCAUAAAAUAGAGGAAAAUAAACAUAUAGAGCUUUUACUUCAAGGUUUACCAGAUUCGUAUGAUCAAUUCGUCAUUAAUAUAACUAAUAACAAUCGAGCAAACAAGUUAGUCUUUGACAAUAUGGCAGCCUCCGUAUUAAAUGAGGAGAGUAGCAAAAAAUAAAAAAGAUAGACAGAAGAGUUCGCAACAAGUAGAAGCGCUAUUGGUGAUGAAAGGAAGAUCCAUGGAACGUGGCCCUAGUGAGAGCCACAGUCACGGUAGAUCAAAAUCUAGAAGUAAAAAGAAUGUCAAAUGCAACAACUGUUGCAAGAAAGGGCAUGUCAAGGAAGAGUUUUGGAACAACUAGAAGAGAAGAGAUGGUAAAGAUUCUGAGUCAUCAAAUGCUCAAGGGUAUGUAGUAAGUACCUCGUAUGAUGGCAAAAUUCUCUACAGUAAGGCAACAACUGCUUCAGAAGAUAGAAAACCACUAUAUGACAUCUGGCUUAUAGACUUAAUAGUUGCCUGGCACAUGAUCUCUCCAAGAGAAUGAUUUCACAAAUAUGAACCUAUUUCAAGAGAAUUUGUAUACAUAGGUGAUGAUUAUGCCUUUGAGAUUACUGAUAUUGGUACUGUCAAAAUAAAUAUGUUUAAUGGUAUGGUUCGCACAAUUGAGAAGGUAAGACAUGUCAAAGACUUGAAAAAUAUCUCUUGUCUUUAGGACAAAUAGAUAGUCUUACGCGCAAAACUCAUGUAGAAAAUGGGAUCAUAAAGAUAGUCAAAGGCGCACUUGCAUUAAUGAAGGUGGAAAAGAUCGGUGAUAAUUUAUUCAUGCUUAAAGGGAAACACUACAGAAAGCUUUUGUGUCAGUCACAUCAAAUAGAGAAAAUUCAGUGAUGAUGUGGCAUCUUAAACUUGGCCACAUGUCAAAACAAGGAAGCAACAUAGAUGAAAGUUUAGCAGAUCCACUUUCAAAAGUAAAUGUAUUUUAGACUUGAUUCAUUCUAAUGUUUGGGAAUCAAUUGAUAUAUCUAUGGGAGGUGCAAAGUACUUGGUGACUUUUAUUAAUGAUUAUUCUAGGAGAUAUUUGGUGUAUCCAAUCAAGAAAAGGUCAAAUGUAUUUCCAUUGUUCAAAGAAUUCAAAGCGUAGAUUGAACUUAAAUCAGGGCAAGGGAUCAAGUGCCUGAGGACAGACAAUGGUGGAGAGUAUACAAAUAGCAUGUUUCUUGCAUAUGUAAGCAAGAAAGUAUCUAGAGAUAGUUCACGGUGGCAUACACUCCUCAAUAAAAUAGAGUAGUAGAGUGAAAGGGCAUGACUCUUAUAAAAAAAAAAAGAGUUAUGUUGAGAAAUGCUGGUCUACCAACUCAUUCUAGGUGGAAGUAGCAAAAACUACUUAUUAUGUGGUAAGUGGGUCAUCAUUCAAUGCAACCGGGUUGAAAAUUCCAAUGGAAAAAAUAGACAGGAAAGCCAGUUGAUUACUCUCAUCUCAGGCAUUUUGAUGUCCUUUUACGUGAUAUACAAUACCCAAGUGAGAUUAAAGAUGGAUCCAAAAUCCAAGAGAUGUAUCUUCUUAGGAUAUAUUGAUGGAGUGAAAGGGUAUUAUCUGUGGGACCUCAAUGCCCAUAAGAUCGUUAUCAGUAGAGAUAUUAUCUUUGUAGAAGAUCAAAUGCAAAAGAGAGAUAUGGAUGAUAGCACUAUAAAAAUUCAGAGAUUGUGCUAAUAUAUGUUGAAAAUAAUCUGGAAAAUGAAGAUUUAGAUUUUUUUGAAGCAGCACCAAAGUAUGAGAACAAGAACCAAUCGAGUCUGAGGCCCCAAAAGUUUGUUGGUCAACUCGUGAUAGAUAAUUGUCAGUGUGGCAUUUGGAUUAUGUCACAGAUAUCAAUUUUGCAUACUGUCUUUUAAUAGAGAAUGGAAAGCCAUCAACUUUUCAUGAAACCUUAAACAGCUCAGAUGUUACUUUGUGAAUGAUAGCAAUGCAGGAAGAAAUUAAGGCUCUACACAAGAAUAUGACAUAGGAACUCGUACUACUACUAUAUGAAAAAAAAAAGACCCAUUGGUUGGAAAUGGGUCCAUAAGAUCAAACGUGAUGGUAAUAACCUAGUGGAGCGGUAUCAUGAAAGAUUGGUGAUGGAAGAAUAUCCUUAGAAAGAAUGUAUUAACUUCAAUGAGAUAUUUUCUCCAGUGAUUUGACUCAGGACAGUCAGAGUGGUCUUGUCGAUGUGUGCUACAUUUGACCUAUAUUUGGAGCAGUUAGAUGUGAAAAUUUCAUUUCUUUAUGGAGAACUUGAAGAAAAGAUUUCUAUGCUCUAACUAGAAGGUUUUACUAAAAAGGGACACUUGGUUUGCAAGUUAAACAAAUCUCUAUACGAUCUCAAACAUGCACCGAGAUGUUGAUAUAAGAGAUUUGAUCCAUUCAUCAUAAACCUUGGAUACAAUAGAAUCAGUUCAGACUGUUGUACAUAUUACAACAAGUUUGAUAAUAAUAAUUUCAUCAUUCUACUGUGGUAUGUUGAUGACAUAUUAGUAGCAGGCCCCAACAAAGAUCGAGUCCAAGAACUAAAGCACAGUUAACUAGGGAGUUUGAAAUAAAAGACUUAGAACCAGCAAACAAGAUUUUAGGGAUGCAAAUUCACCGAGAUAGUAAUAGCAAAAAGAUUUGGCUUUCUACCCCGCCUCCCAUUAAUUUCAAGUUAUUCUUAAGUAUUCAUCUAGUAAUGAAGUAGAGAAGAAGAGAUGUCUUGAGUACUGUAUGCAUCAGCAGUGGAAAAUUUAAGGUUCGCUAUGAUUUGUACAAGUAGUGGGAGAGGUUAGUCGAUACAUAGCGAAUCCUUGCAAAGAACAUUGGAAGACUAUUAAGAGGAUUCUGAGAUAUAUCAUAGGAACAUCAGAUGUUGCAUUAUGUUACGAAGGAUACUGUCAAGGGCCAUGUGCAUUCAGAUUUUGCAGAAAAUCUUAAUAAAAAAAAAUCCACUACUGGCUAAGUAUUUGCACCAGAAUGAGAAAUUGUUAGUUGGAUUUCAAAAUUGCAGACCAUUGUGGCUUUAUCAACAACAGAAGCAGAUUACAUAGCAGCUACACAAGCUUGGAUGAGCUAUUUAGAUACAAAGGUUACUGAAGGAGCUUGGGCAUAAAAUUUUUUAUGGCUUGUGAUAGUUAGAAUGCAAGGAAUCCAACCUUUUAUUUUAGGACAAAGAAUAUAGGAGUACAAUAUCACUUCUUCGUGAAGUAGUGAAAGAUAUAAGAGUGGAUACCAAGGAGAACUUAACAAAUGUUUUGCCCAAGCCUAUCAAUGCUGAUAAAUUUGUUUGGAGUAGAUCAUUUUACGGCCUAGUAGAGACAUAAACAACAUGACAGCGGCGAAGUAGAAAGGAUGGUGUGGAGAUUGAUUGAUUCUCAAUCAAAUUUCUAAGUGGGAGAAUAUCAAAGUCAAUGUCGCUUUUCUAGAAGAGCGACCAAUACCUUUUGAUAUUCAAAGUUUGAAUGUCAAGUUCAAACUUUGAAUUUAAUAUAUAUAUAUAUAUAUAUAUAUAUAUAUAUAUAUAUAUAUAUAUAUAUAUAUAUAUAAAUAGUGCCCAAAAUUUUAACUAUAAAUGAGGGGUUCACCCCUGCAUUUCAUUCUUUUCUUCUUCAAUUCUAGUGUGAGAGACUAAGAGUUUUAAUGCUCUUGAGUGAUUAGUGUUUUAAGAGAUUGAGUGGAUUGGGGUUCUGGGAAGUGAAACAAAAUAUUAUAAUACUAGUAAUCCUCAUUUCACCACUAAAGUUUUAUCUUUUGUCUUUACCCAUAGACGUAGGUUAAAAGUCGAACCACGUAAUUUUUAGUGUCCUCUGUGUGCUUGCUCUUCAUUUUCUUCCAAUUUUAUUUUAGCUAUGGACCUACUUCACCAGUAAAUUGAAGACGUUGGAACUGCGUGAUUUAGAUAGCCUCACAAGUUUCUGCUCUACCAAUUACACCUUCAAAUUCCCAUCUUUGCAAGAGUUAUGUGUGAUUGGUUGUCCCAAGAUGAAGAUUUUCACUACAGGAGAAUCAAUCACGCCGAGUAAACGUCUGCUAUGGAGAGACAGCGGAUCAACGGCGCUGGGCUAAUAAUGAUCUAAACACAACCAUACAACAAUUACAUGCUGAGAAGGUACGUAUAUACAUAUUACUCUCUAUCUCCCAUGAUAAAUUUUUACAAAAUUUGCUUUCUUAAAUACAAUAUAGAUAAGAUAUUUGAUGAAUAAGAAUUUUAUUUUAAGCUGUUGGCGGUGUCGUCGUCAUACUCUACGCAGUAGUACGACUAAUGUCAUAGGCUUCUUAUGACCUGGAGUUGCGAAUUUUUAGAAGAAAGUCUCAACUGGUAAUUAAUUUUUAUUUCAUUUAUUUAAUCCCAUGGCUUGUUUCGCAAUUUCAUCUGAAUUAUUUAGAAUGGGUCCCUCGGUUUACUGUUAAAUUUGCAAUGCAAUUUUAAUGAUCCUUUCAGACUUUUAUGGACAGAUUUUGCAAAAUUGAAUGUCUUUUAGUCUAGUUUAAUUUGAGUUUUUCUUUUUUUUUUUAGAGCUCCCCAUGUUUUCUAAAAUUUUAUAAUUCCUUGCAUACUUUUUAGGAUAAAAUUUCAUUAAAAGCCUUCAUAUUUUAUAAUUCCUUGAAAACUUGCAUACUUUUUCCUUUUUUUUUCUUGCCAAUUAUUUAUUGUCAUCAUUGCUGUUCUUUUAUUUUAGUUUGUGCUCUGUUUGUUCAUUGGGUUUGCUUUUCGGAAAGUUAGAAGGCAAGGAAAGUACUUAGAAAAUGUUCUUCCCUAUGAACACAUAAUUAACAGCUGAAUAUCAUUCAUUGGAUUAAAAAAAAUUAAAAUAAAAAAAAGUAAUAAGCCCAUUAUUCCUAGAACAAAUCCUUAAACCAUCAAACGUUAGCUAUGAACAAGUAUAUUGGUCUAUAGCAUAUUCAUAAUAUUUUCUCUGCUGUUCCUGUUAAAAUUUCUCUACUCAAUGAUCGCAGAAUAUCUGGAUACUGAUGAAGAUUUAAGUCACUCUUCUUCUAUGAAUAAGGUCGUUUUUCUUUUUUCUUCUAUUCAAAGUUUCCAUUCUGAGCAGUUCCCAUUUCCAUCUUCGUGAUCUUCUUGUGAUAGUGUGAGUUACAACCUGUCUGUUUCCUUUGUUUGAUCAUUGCAAGUUCAAAGACAUUUUAUUCUAGCUAAGCUCUUUGUAUGUAUUAUAACAUUUUUAUUCUCAAUAUAUAUAUGACUCAAUGAGAGGUCUUUUAUUAUAUUUAUGUCGUGAAUUUCUAUUGUAUUGUGACAUUUGAUGGUGUAUCAUUGUCUCAUUGCAAGGUCUUGUAAUCACUCUGAUUCUCAUUUGAGGAGGUUGGUCUCGUCUAUGUGUAUGUAUUUAUAUCCACAAGAAAUUUGAUAAAUGGUCUUGUCAUUUUCUCAUCAAAACAUCUAGUGCUUCAUAUGUUGGAGGGCUACCAGGCAUCAGGGCCAGUUUUUUAAACUCAAAGUUCUUCCUGUCAUUUUUUAACAAUAAUAAGGAAAGCCCAAGAGAAAAUCUAGAAGUCCUAAUAAGGACCGCUUCUGCAUAUAUUGUUCAUUUUCUUAAUUACCUUCAUUAUUAUUUUCGUUUUCAAUCGAUCAAACUUCAGUUUCUUAGCAUUAAUCUAAUUAUGUACUUCAUCUUGAAAUCCUUAAAUUACCCAUCAAAAUGUGAACGAUUAGUGUAUCAUUUUUGCACUAUAAGAAAUAGUUGUAUUACCGACCAGACAUUUCCACAAUAUACUAUUGAAAAUAAGUACUUUUUACAAAGGUAUUGUCAUUGAUGAGCCGUUGGAUAAAUAUGAAAAGUAUCAUACCUCGGUGAUAAAGAAAAUUCGUUUGUCGGAAAUGGAAUGUCGAGCCCAAAAUUACUCUAAACUUGGUAAAGUUAGAUUUUGGCCCAAUUUGUUUGAAAGUUUUAUACAUAAAGCACUUUUUUUUUUAUGUAAUUUGUGCAAUCUGAAGGGAGGUAUUGUAAAAUUAACAUAAAUAAAUGUAAUAUGCCAAUACCGUUUAAAACAAAAAAGAUAUCAUGAAAUUGAAAAAAAAUAAAUAAUAAUAAUAAUAACAACAUUAAAAGAAAAAGGAAAUUACGGAGAAGAAUAAUCGCUUCUUGAUCUCAACUCUCAAUUUGAAUACAAUCUCUGAAUCUCACUUCUCGAUCUGUCUCCAUUCUUCAUUCGCAUUUACUCGGUGGUAAUUAAUUCUUCACUCUCACUCGCCUUAUUUCCUGCAGAUUUCUUCAUUUUCCUUCACUGUUCGUUUUUAAGGUUCCAUUGUAUUUCCAUUGAGUUUGCAACUGUUCAAUUGCUCGAUCCACAUUAGUUUUAAGGUACGAUUGUUGGUUAUUUUCCUAAUCAAUAGACAACCCUAGAUACGAUCAUAGGAUUUAAUCAAUUGACAGUCUGAAAAAUCAGAGAGACCCAAAUCCUAAUCAACAAACGCAUACGAUGAUUCAUUUAAAUUAGAUUGUUUAUUCUCAUAACACAAUGCACUGCUAUGCUAUUUGUCACAAACAUUAAAAUCUUCAUACGAUAAAUCUUUUAAUUGACAAUAGAUUAAGUUGAUAAUUAAAUAGUAGCCAAUUAUCUAAUUAACAAACAUAAUCAUGACAAUAAUUCAGAGAAUAAACAAAUACCCAAAAAGUAAUAAAAUAAUUAAAGUAUAAGAAAGAUCUCACAGCAGUGAUGAAUCAAAGUUUCAUUAACCUUCAACCAGAAUAAUAGAUUUAGUUUUUCAUAGACAGGAGAGAAAAAUUUAGAUCUAGGGUUUCUUUCUCUUCAAAAAUCUCCGUCUUUGACAAUAGAUUCCUCCCUUAAAUUCUCUUCUCUCUCUUCUCCUCUAGAGUUCUUUUUAAAAUAAAAUACUAAUUUCUAAAAUAUUAUCUAAAUAUUAAAUGCGUAAUUACAAAAAUAACUAAAAAUACAAAACACGUUAAACUAAAAACUGCAGGUCCGUAGUAGACAGCAUGCGCCCACACCUUAUCAACAAAGUUCUUCUGAAGCUCAUAAUUUCUUCAAGAAAACAAUCAUCCUCAAACAUCAUCUUGUAGCUCAAUUUUAGCACCAAUCAAUAAAAUUGCACCUACCAAAAUAAAACACAAGUAAAUCACUAUUAUUAAGUGCAAAACAUCGAUAUUAAAAGAAGUAAAUAAUGCAAAACUAGUGCAUAAAUUGUACUCUAACACUUCAUUCCGAUCCCUUGAUCAUUACUCAUUUAUUUAUUUAUUCUUUGCUUCACUUCUAAGCUUAGCAAAGGAACUUGAACUUUGGCUUUUCAAAUAGGUCACUUUUGCUUUUAAUCUCGCCCAUGAUCUUCAUCAUGAAGAUGACAAACCAUUAUUCUUUAUUCUUCACUUUUGCUUUUAAUCUCGCCCAUGAUCUUCAUCGUGAAGAUGACAAACCAUUAUUCUUUAUUCUUCACUUGUUGAAUUUACAGAAUAUAUAGCAUUCUUAAAAUUUUAGCAAAUCGUUAUUCUUCAGCUUCAGCACCUCAUUAAAAAGUCAUUCUUUGAACUUAUUCUCAAUCAAGAAAAACAUAUGCGUUCGUUCGUUGUAGUCACUGUUGUUUUGUUAUUAAUGUUUGCUCCCUAUUGCCGUUAACUCUCUUGAGCUUCACAGGAUCAGGAAACCCUUUUCUCUUGGCAUCUGUUUUGUUGUAAUCUCUCAGUCCUUGUUGAUUAGUUUCUCUCCGCUCCCAAUUUAGUUGUGUCCUGCUGUUGUCUCUGUUUUGUUCCAUAUCUACUCUCUGCACUUCUGCUGUGUCAAGACAUCUUCUUUUGUUCAUUCGGUUGUGGUCUAUAAUAUAUUUUUCAUCUUUCUUUUGGUCUAUACUUAAGUUAUUUUGAUUGGUUCCUUUCUCCUUUAUUAUCUAAAUCCCUCCUUAUAUUUAUUCAAUCAGUUGUUACGCUUUCUUUCAUUUCUCCGCUUCCACAACCAGAUAAACUGUCCAUCUUUGUUGUUUCUUCUUUUUUCUCUUCUGUGGUUGGCUCUUGUUUAUUUGCUUUUCAGAACUCAAAAAAAAAAAAAAAAUAGAAGGAUCAAAGAUGGUGGAAACCAUUAUUACUGUUGUUUUGGAAGUUGUGAAAUGCUUGGCUCCUCUAGCAGAACGCCAACUUGGUUAUUUACGUAACUAUAAAACCAACUUUGAGAAUCUCAGGGCAAAAUUUGAUGAACUCAAGGAUGAAAGUAGGAGCAUUCAGCACAGAGUUUCUGAGGCUGAAAGAAAAGGAGAAAAGAUUGAAGAGAAGGUUGAAAAGUGGCUGGUUAGUGCAAACGACAUCAUUGACAGCGCAGCCAAAUUCAUUGAAAAUGAGGAGUCAACGAAUAAGCGUUGUCUCAAGGGCUUGUGUCCUAAUUUGAAGACCCGCUAUCAGCUUAGCAAGAAAGCAGAGACAGAAAUGAAGGCCCUUGUUGAACUUGGAGAAGAAGUAAAGAAGUUUGAUAUUGUUUCCCACCGUACCAUUCCGGAGGAGAUUUGGCUCAAGUCUCACAUAGGCUACGAGGCCUUCGAAUCAAGACGUUCUACUUUGGAGGCUAUAAAAAAAGCAUUGAUCGAUGUUAGCAUCAUUGGGGUGUACGGCAUGGGCGGCAUUGGAAAGACGACACUGGUGAAGGAGGUCUCCAGGCAAGCUAUGGAAGCCAAGCUCUUUGAUAUGGUGGUCUUUUCAGAGGUUUCGCAAACUCCAGACAUAAAAAAGAUUCAACAGGAAAUUGCCGAGAAGUUGGGCCUGGAGUUGCGCGAGGAAGUUGAAUCUGGAAGAGCAAGUAGACUAUUUGAGCGAUUGAGAAAUGAGAAGAAGAUCCUUGUGGUUUUAGAUAACAUCUGGAAACACCUUAAUUUGGAGACUGUUGGAAUUCCUUUUGCAGAAGAUCAUAAAGGAUGCAAACUACUGCUGACAGCAAGAGAUCGUAGUGUCCUCUUACAAAUGGGAUCCAAAGACAACUUUUUGAUAAACAACUUAAAAGAAGAAGAAGCCGGGAGAUUGUUUAAGAUGAUGGCCGGUGAUGAUGUUGAAAAUCGUGAGUUGAAAUCUACAGCAAUAGACGUCGCCAGGGCAUGUGGAGGUUUGCCCAUUGCCUUGAGUACGGUAGCAAAGGCAUUGAGAGGCAAGAGUCUGCAUGAAUGGAAGAAUUCCUUGCGAGAACUCCGAACGCCUUCAAUGGUAAACUUCGAAGGAGUAUCUGCAGAGACUUAUGCAAGUAUUGAGCUGAGUUUCAACCAAUUAAAAGGUGAACGCAAGGAAAUUUUUCAGCUCUGCAGUCUAAUGGGUAACCGUAUUUUUACUUUCGACUUGUUUAAGUACUCCAUGGGUUUGGGUAUAUUUAAAGGAGUCAAUAAGAUGGAAGAUGCACGAGACAAAUUAUAUGCAUUGGUCCAUGAACUUAGAGACUCUUGUUUGUUGCUUGAGGGUGAGAGCAAUGAACAAUUGUCAAUGCAUGAUGUUGUUCGCGAUGUCGCGAUAUCAAUUGCAUGCCGCCAGCAACAUGUGUUUUCGGUGAGGAAUGAGGAUGUGUGGGACUGGCCAGAUAAGGAUGCACUUCGAAAUUGCAAAGCUAUCUCUUUAAUAAAAAAUAGUAAUCGUGAAUUUCCUGAAGGAUUAGAAUGCCCAAACCUUGAAUUUUUAUAUAUCUCUCUCAAAGAUUUUUCUCUUGAAAUCAAUAUUCCUGAGAACUUUUUUGUAGGGAUGAAAAAGCUUAGAGUUCUAGAUUUUACUCGAAUGCAGUUUUCUUCUUUUCCAUCUUCAAUUGAUCUUCUAGUAAAUCUUCACACACUAUGUCUGGAUAAAAGUGCGUUGGGCGACAUAGCAAUCAUUGGGAAGUUGAAGAAUCUAGAAGUCCUUAGCUUUUUGAAGUCUGAUAUAACGCAGUUGCCAGAAGAACUAGGUCAAUUGAAUAAGUUGAGAUUGUUAGAUUUAACCAAUUGUUUCCGUCUGAAAGUUAUUGCCCCAAAUGUCAUAUCAAGCUUAAUCCGAUUAGAAGAGCUGUAUAUGGGUAAUUGCUCCAUUGAAUGGGAGGUUGAAAGAGCCAACAGCAAAAGAAGUAAUGCUAGCCUUGAUGAAUUGAUGCAUUUACCUCGGCUAACCACUCUAGAAAUUGAUGUUAAAAAUGACAGUAUGUUACCAGAAGGUUUUUUGGCCAGAAAGCUCGAAAGGUUCAAAAUAUCUAUUGGAAAUGGGUUAUUCACACAUCCCAUGAUUGCUGAACAAAAUUGGUUCCAAAGUCUGCGGCGCUUUUCUCGCAAAAGUGAUCGCAAGAGUUUAAGAGCAUUGAAGCUCAAGCUUGCUUUUAUGGACAUUUGCUCCAUGAAAUUGCAGGGCAUCAAUAACGUAGAAUGCUUAUGGUUGGACAAGCUGCAAGGCAUCGAGAAUGUUCUUUUCAAUUUGGACACAGAGGGCUUUUCACAAUUGAAGCUUCUCUGGGUUCAAAAUAAUCCUGACAUCUUUUGUAUCGUCGAUUCAAGGGCGAUGGUCGCUUGUGAUGCCUUUCCUCUUUUGGAGUCACUUGGCCUUCACAAUUUGAUCAACAUGGAGAGGAUAUGUAUUGAUCGGCUCAAAGUAGAGUCCUUCAACGAACUCAAAAUCAUACAAGCAUAUAAUUGUGAUAAAUUGAGUAAUAUCUUUUGGCUCUCUACAACAAAAUGCCUUCCAAGACUUGAGAGAAUUGCAGUUAUUAAUUGCAGCAAGAUGAAAGAGAUUUUUGCAAUUGGGGAAGAAGUUGAUAAUGCAAUUGAGAAGAUAGAGUUUGCUCAAUUAAGAUCUUUGAGUCUGGGGAAUCUUCCAGAGUUUACAAGUUUUUGCCGUGAGGUGAAGACUCCUUCAGCAUCACCAAACAGACCAGCGUCGCAGGAGGAAUCGACGACUACGUAUAGCUCCAGCGAAAUCACUUUGGAUACUUCAACUCUGCUUUUCAACGAGAAGGUGCGUAGGCUAACAUUUUCUUUAUUCUAUCAUGCGUUCUGUUUUGAUGUCAUACGUGGAAAAUAAUUAAAUCAUUUAAAGAAUUGAAAGAAAAUGGAAAAAAGGAUAAAAAGAAUCUCACGCGCUCACUAAUUGAGCUCUUAACAAGUAGUAUGAAUUAGAAUGCAUACUCAGCUGUCAGUUGGAAAUUGAUUCAGACUUGCAUUAAUUUGUAAUCAAAGAAGAAAAUUUCAACAAGUGCUUCCCAUAUGGAUAUUGGAUCUAACGAGAAAUUCUUCUUUUUUUAGGUUGCGUUGCCUAACUUGGAGGCUUUGGAGAUAUCUGCAAUUAAUGUCGACAAGAUUUGGCACUACAAUCAAAUUCCAGCGGCCGUGCUUCCUCACUUUCAAAGUUUAACACGAUUGAUUGUGUGGGGUUGUCACAAAUUAAAAUACAUAUUUUCAGCGUCUAUGAUCGGAAGCCUUAAGCAGCUCCGACACCUAGAUAUACGCUUCUGUGAGGAUUUAGAGGAGAUCAUUUCUGAAAACAGAGCAGAUGAAGUUAUCCCUUAUUUUGUCUUUCCACAGCUCACCACUCUAAGACUCGAAUGUCUACCAAAACUUAGAUGUUUGUACCCUGGAAUGCAUACUUCGGAAUGGCCCGCACUAGAAAUUCUUUUAGUGGGUCGUUGUGACAAAUUAAAGAUAUUCGAUGCAGAUUUAUCGCAGAAUAAUGAGAAUGAUCAACUUGGUAUUCCUGCACAACAGCCCCUAUUGCCGUUGGAAAAGGUACGAAGCCAUUUUCUAGAUUUUUUAUCAAUAGCGUAUUUUUAACUUCGAAAAAAAUGACAAAGCAUCGAUAAAUUAACACUCAAUAAAUUGAAAACUUUUAUUAUACAAUAAUCUUUGCUAGUCUAGAUUAAGAGAUCAAUGUGGUAGAUUAAUAAUUAUAUGAACUUUUUAAGGUAUAGCAUUUAUAAAAGAAUCCUUAGUCUUUCCAUAUAGAAGAACUUACAAAAUAAAUUAGUAAUUUAUUAUUGUGCAAUAAAAUAAUUUCAAACCAGUAUAAAUCAACCUUUUUUCCCUAAUUUCUUUUUUACCUCUAAAAUUAACAUAUAAAAUAAAUUUUAUCAAUAAUUCAUUUUUUUUUUAAAAUAUAAUAUAAAACAAAUACUAUAAAGUCACUGCGUGUGACCGUAGAUCAUCAAUUGACCUCAUUAGUUAUUAUGAUUGAUGAUGAUCAGAUCGUACCCAACUUGAAGGAACUAUCACUAAGUGGAAAAGAUGUGAAGAUGAUUUUGCAGGCCGAUUUCCCACAACACCUUUUUGGCAGUCUUAGAGAACUAGAGAUUGCUGCAGAUGACUCAGCUGGUUUUACAAUCUGGAACGUACUGGAGAGAUUUCACAAUCUCGAAAUACUCACACUGUUGUUUUUUUCAUCCCACGAAGAGCUAUUUUCGAUGGAAGGAUGCUUACAGAAACAUGUGGGGAAGUUGGCAAUGAUAAAAGAAUUACAGCUGCGCUGGCACUAUCAUCUGGAGCAGCUGUGCAAGCAAGACUCCAAACUUGGCCCCAUUUUUCAGUAUCUUGAAAUUCUAAAAGUAUAUCAUUGUCAAAGUCUGUUAAUUCUAUUGCCAUCAUCAUCGGUAUCUUUUGGGAACCUAACAAAACUUGUAGCUUUCGGUUGCAAGGAAUUGAUACACUUGGUAACAUCCUCCACAGCAAAAACUCUGGUGCGACUCAUAGCAAUAGAAAUAUAUGGAUGCAGAGCAAUGACAGAGGUGGUAAUAAAUGACAAAGAUGGAGUUGAAAAAGAAGAGAUUGUUUUUAGCAAAUUGAAGACGUUGGGACUGUUUGAUUUAGAUAGCCUCACAAGUUUCUGUUCUGCCAAUUACACCUUCAAAUUCCCAUCUUUGGAAUAUCUGGAUGUGAUUGGUUGUCCCAAGAUGAAGAUUUUCACUACAGGAGAAUCAAUCACGCCUCUAAGAGUAAACGUCUGCUAUGGAGAGACAGCGGAUCAACGGCGCUGGGCUAAUAAUGAUCUAAACACAAACAUACAACAAUUACAUGCUGAGAAGGUACGUAUAUACAUAUUACUCUCUAUCUCCCAUGAUAAAUUUUUACAAAAUUUGCUUUCUUAAAUACAAUAUAGAUAAGAUAUUUGUUAUAAAGUAAGUUUAAAUUGAUGAAUAAGAAUUUUACUUUCAGCUGUUGGCGGUGUCGUCGUCAUACUCUACGCAGUACGACUAAUUUCAUAGGCUUCUUAUGACUUGGAGUUGCGAAUUUUUAGAAGAAAGUCUCAACUGGUAAUUAAUUUUUAUUUCAUUUAUUUAAUCCCAUGUCUUGUUUCACAAUUUCAUCUGAAUUAUUUAGAAUGGGUCCCUCGGUUUACUGUUAAAUUUGCAAUGCAAUUUUAAUGAUCCUUUCAGACAUUUAUGGACAGAUUUUGCAAAAUUGAAUGUCUUUUAGUCUAGUUUAAUUUGAGUUUUUCAUUUUUUUUUUAGAGCUCCCCUUGUUUUCUAAAAUUUUAUAAUUCCUUGCAUACUUUUUAUGAUAAAGUUUCAUUAAAAGCCUUCAUAUUUUAUAAUUCCUUGAAAACGUGCAUACUUUUUCCUUUUUUUCUUUGCCAAUUAUUUAUUGUCAUCAUUGCUGUUCUUUUAUUUUAGUUUGUGCUCUAUUUGUUCAUUGGGUUUGCUUUUCGGAAAGUUAGAAGGCAAGGAAAGUACUUAGAAAAUAUUCUUCCCUAUGAACACAUAAUUAACAGCUGAAUAUCAUUCAUUGGAUUAAAAAAAAUUUAAAAUAAAAAGAAAGUAAUCAGCCCAUUAUUCCUAGAACAAAUCCUUAAACCAUCAAACGUUAGCUAUGAACAAGUAUAUUGGUCUAUAGCAUAUUCAUAAUAUUUUCUCUGCUGUUCCUGUUAAAAUUUCUCUACUCUAUGAUUGCAAAAUGUCUGGAUACUGAUGAAGAUUUAAGUCACUCUUCUUCUGUGAAUAAGGUCGUUUUUCUUUUUUCCUCUAUUCAAAGUUUCCAUUCUGAUGGGUUCCCAUUUCCAUCUUCGUGAUCUUCUUGUGAUAGUGUGAGUUACAACCUGUCUGUUUCCUUUGUUUGAUCAUCACAAGUUCAAAGACAUUUUAUUCUAGCUAAGCUCUGUGUAUGUAUUAUAACAUUUUUAUUCUCAAUAUAUAUGACUCAAUGAGAGGUCUUUUAUUAUAUAUAUGUCGUGAAUUUCUAUUGUAUUUUGACAUUUGAUGGUGUAUCAUUGUCUCAUUGCAAGGUCUUUUAAUCACUCUGAUUCUCAUUUGAGGAGGUUGGUCUCGUCUAUGUGUAUGUAUUUAUAUCCACAAGAAAUUUGAUAAAUGGUCUUGUCAUUUUCUCAUCAAAACAUCUGGUGCUUCAUAUGUUGGAGGGUUACCAGGCAUCAGGGCCAGAUUUUUAAACUCAAAGUUCUUCGUGUCAUUUUUUAACAAUAAUAAGGAAAGCCCAAGAGAAAAUCUAGAAGUCCUAAUAAGGACCGCUUCUACAUAUAUUGUUCAUUUUCUUAAUUACCUUCAUUAUUAUUUUCGUUUUCAAUCGAUCAAACUUCAGUUUCUUCAUCUUGAAAUCCUUAAUUUACUCAUCAAAAUGUGAACGCUUAGUGUAUCAUUUUUACACUAUAAGAAAUAGUCGUAUUACCGACCAGACAUUUCCACAAUAUACUAUUCAAAAUAAGUACUUUUUACGAAGGUAUUGUCAUUGACGAGCCGUUGGAUAAAUAUGAAAAGUAUCAUUCCUUGGUGAUAAAGAAAAUUCGUUUGUCGGAAAUGGAAUGUCGAGCCCAAAAUUACUCUAAACUUGGUAAAGUUAGAUUUUGGCCCAAUUUGUUUGAAAGUUUUAUACAUAAAGCACUUUUUUUUUUUUAUGUAAUUUGUGCAAUCUGAAGGGAGGUAUUGUAAAAUUAACAUAAAUAAAUGUAAUAUGCCAAUACCGUUUAAAACAAAAAAGAAAUCAUGAAAUUGAAAAUAUAUAUAUAAUAAUAAUAAUAACAACAUUAAAAGAAAAAAGGGGAUUACGGAGAAGAAGAAUCUCUUCUGGAUCACAACUCUCAAUUUCACUCAGUGGUAAUUAAUUCUUCACUCUCACUCGCCUUAUUUCCUGCGGAUUUCUUCAUUUUCCUUCACUGUUCAUUUUUAAGGUUCCAUUGUAUUUCCAUUGAGUUUGCAACUGUUCAAUUGAUCGAUCCUUAUUAGUUUUGGGACUUCAAUGACCAUAGAAGAAGAUUCUCACAGACAACUCUUCCUUCUUUUGUCUUUGUUUUUUUUUUUAUUUGUUUAUGCAUGUUUCCUUUGCUGAUUUAUUUACUUAUUUCUUUCUCUGAUGUCCCAAUUUAUCCUAUGAUAUUUCAAUUGAUGUAUUACGUUCAUGUUAUGUUUAUGGAUGCUUGCUCUACUGUCCUAAUUUACAAUUAAAUUUUACUCCGUCCUUAGCUAUCGAUUCACAGUGGUGUGUCAUUAAUAUGUACUUGUCUUAUUUUAUAUUUCAUUAACUAUUAUUUCAACAAUUGCUGCAGGUGUCAAAUAAUGAAUUUGUAUGAGCUUCAGUCCAAGGUAAUUAUCUUUUUCAUUUCAUGUUAUUUGAUCUCUAGGUUUAUUUUAUCGUUUCAUCUAAAUUAUUUGGAAUGCAUCAGCUGGUUUAUUCUUAAUUUUGGAACGAAUUUGAUGCAGCAGAUGGUUGCGAAGGAUGAGUGGAGUAUCUCUCUAGGGUAACAACUUGAGCUAUAAGUAUCUAUUUAGGGUGCAUAAUAUACAUUUCGAAGUUCGCGACGAGGGGAAUCUAAUCUAAUACUGUAGCGCCGCAUUAGUCUCGUGGUUCGAUUGAAAAUUAUAUUUAUUUCAUAUUAUUUUACAAGUUUAAGAUCUAUUUUCCUAUUGUUUUCGGGAUUUUUAUCUUUUUUUUUUUUCUAGAUAUAGAAUUUGAGUAACAUUUAUCUUAUUUCAGUUAGGAGAAUGUUAUUAUGUAGUAAUAUGUAGGUUUACUUAUUUUGGUAAAUUUGUGAUAUUUAAGUUUAGUUUAAAAGAAGUCCAAAACCUUAAUUUUGUUAUUCAGACUUUCAUUAAUAAAAUAUAAAACUUUCUAAAAAAGAAAAUGCUCGUCUGGUACCUAUAUUUUAACUUCAAUGCUCGUUUAGUUUUUAUAUUUUAAAAAAUACCUCAAUAUACCUUGAUAUUAAAUACGUUACAUUUUUCCUUAAAUUUUAUUUACUUUUACAAUAAUAUCUUGGCAAUAAUAUUCUUAAAUUAAUUAAUUUAUUUAUAAAAAAGUUAAUUGGAAAAUUAAUCAAGAAAUAUCAAUAUGAAAUAACCAGUAUUUUUUGUACUUUUACAACAAUCUUGCCAAUAAUUCUUUAUAAAUAAAUUAAUAGCAGCCAUCUUAAAGUAAUGUUUAAUAUUCUUAAAGCAAUCUUACUAAUAAAUGCAUAAAAAAUUUAAUUUACGAAAUUAGUCCUAAAACUAAAAUAAUAACAUAAAAGUUUUUAUUAAUAUUUAUUUUGUUUAAGGCUGGCUAGAUGAAUUACCAUUUUUUUCUUUUCAUUGAUAUUCCCAAAAAUAUUAUUCCAACACAGUAGGGGUGUCUUGAGGUUAGGGAUGGCAAUGGGGAGGGGAGGGGAGGGGACUAAUCUCCCCGUACCCAUCCCCGAUAUUUUGCGUAUGUCCUCGUCCCCUCCCCGUCCCCGUCCCCGUCAGAAUUACUUGAGAGAAUCUUCAUCCCCUCCCCGAAUAAUAACAGAGGAUCCCCGAUCCCCGAAUAACUAAUACAUUUUUUUUUUUCAAUUUUGAGUUAAUUAUAUUAAAAUAAAAAAAUUCAAAUAAAAGUAAAUUUCGAAAUAUAUCUUACAUGAAUAUCUAUUUCAAAAGUCACAUACAUUAAAUUAGUAAGUAACGCAGCAUGCAAGGGAUACAAACUAUCAUGAACAAAUUAAUAGUCUAAUACAAAAUUGUUACAAAUAAAAUCGAAUUUAGAUUCAAAAUUAACUUUUUCAAUGGUGGCGUGGGCACUUUAUAAAUGUGGACUAUUCCCUUUACAGCACAAUAGUUAAGUCCGAGCAAAUCAAGAGCAAAUAUUAGAUUAGAUUAGAUAUUAAAAUUGUGAUUCGCUGUGGGCAAUUAUAACAUCUAAAAAUAAAUAAAUAAAUAGAUUUAAGUUUAAAAUAUUUAAUGAAUAUUAAAAUUAAAACAAAAUUUUUGGGCUAAUAGAAUCUACUGGUCUUUUUAAUGUCCUAAAUAAAAAUUUAAGACUUUAAUUUGUUAAUUAGGCCUAAAAGUUUAAUAAUAUAAAUAUUUUGAUAUUUGUUAUUUUUACCAAUAUUUAUAAUUUUAUAAUUUAUUUACUAGUAAUUUUAAAAAAUAAAAAUAAAAUUAAAAAUUAAAAUGGGGAAAUGGGUAGGGUAUGGGGAUUCCACCUCAUCGCCGUCCCCUCCCUAAAUAAGAAAUUGGGUAAAAAAAUUUGCCCGUCCCUUCCCCGAAUAAGAAAUUGGGUAUGAAAUUAUCCUCAUACCCUCCCCGAAUAGGGAAAAUCCCCGAUGGUACCCGUCCCCGUGGGGAUUUUUGCCAUCCCUACUUGAGGUUGAGGCACUUUUUAAAAUAUAAGAACUAAAUGCGCUCUCAAGUCAAAAUAUAGAGACUAAAUGAACAUUUAUUCCUUUUAAAAAGCUUGUGUUUCUCUAUCUUUUCAAUCUCAAUGUUUUUGUUUCCGUUUCAUCAUAAGUUCUAAUGUUUGGUUCUCAUCUUAAUGUGCAAAUUUUACAUCAUUGAAGGUCUUUUGAUCUGAGUUAAGAUCAUAAAAUUAUACUUGCAUUGGUCAGGUUAUACGAAAAUUGUACAAAAUAAUAUUCUUAUAUAACUGUUGUCCUCUGUUAUUACGGAAUCCCCAAGUUCUGAAGAAGGUCGAAAUCAGGUCUCUCUACUGUGAAGCCCCUGGAAUAAGAGCUACAAAUGUGUUACCGUUGAAAGCAUGGCAGAAAACUUAGUACUUAAUUCAGACUCUUUGUGGCUUCAAUAUUUUACUUAACAUGAAAAAUUCUUUCUAGCUUGCAUCAUUGUAAAGAUAAAUUGUCGCAGUUCUGACAAUGAACAAGUAUAAAUGUCCACAGAGAAAAGUACUGAACAAUUAAUGUUAACAGCAAUCGAUUGGUGUGAGCGCCAACCACCAUUUUCAUAUUUAAGCCUUUAGAACAGCAAAACAAAAUACGGCAAGUGGCAACCACAUCAAAUAAUCAAAUUGUUGAUAGAUUUUGAAAGCUUUAAUUUGCUUGAUAUAUAUUUAAAUAUUUCAACAGAUGAUCUUUUCGCUACUCACGGGGCACGCUGAGUUAGAAACGGUUUGGAUGUCAAUAUUACUCCAAGUGCCUCAACCAAAUUCAGAAUGAAAAAAAACCAUCUGGUUACCUGCACUUUUGUUUAAGCAGCUAAUGAAGCUAAUUAGCACGAAAUAGUACACAAACUCGCGAGAAAUUUCAUUAGUAGAUCAUCAUCCUGGGAGGAAACCAGCAUCUUGACGCUUUUGUGAUCAAGAAAAUCUGCCAGAACCCCAAUUAAUGAAAAAGAAAUUAUAACAUCAUUUACGUAUAGUUUUACAAAAUCAACAGGACACUCACAGAGCACCUCCUACAGCUGGACCGGCAGUUUUGGUAAGCGACACUACAGUCAUAGCAAGUCCAUUAGCAGCUCCUCUUUGAUGCUGUUCCUUUUGUUGUGGCAUAAACCAACAAAUUAAAUUUAAACUUUGACACAUACAAAAUUUGAAAAAGCUGAAAGCAUGUAAAUGUACUAAACAAACAAAAGAAAAAAAAUAUUUACCACUGCUCUGUUUUGCAGAAGGAAUAAUCUAGUUAUUAUAGACACCUGAUAUUAUAAUUCAGGAAUAGUAAAAUAGAAUUACAACAUUUCUAAUAAAAAAAGACACAAAAUAAUUUUAUACAUACUUGAUGGAUAAUAUAACCUAAGUAUAUGGAUCAAUGAUUAGGAUAUCCACUUACAGCUAAAACAUUCUUCAUCACAGAAGCACAGUUUAUCAAAAAGGCAAGGCUGAACCCAGAUAGCAUUGCUAUGUAAGUGUAACUUGUCAAAAGCGGUAUCGAUAAAACCUGUACAUACAUAGAAAAUUAUGGGACCAAAACCAUGAAGAAAAGUAUUUUAUAAACAAAUAUGUUUGAAACAAACUAUCAAAUGGUCUAAAUGCCACAUGGUGUGUUCAAAAUUAUUGUUCUGUUUUAGUGACAAAACACUCAUCCCAUGACAUUGAGCUAUCAAUUCUCAUGGAUUCGUCACGCUUGAAAGGUUUGGUAGUUGUUCUGUUUUAUCUUCAGUUUCAUUUGUGAUCACAGAAACGUUAGGACUUGCGUGCAUGAAAGCACAUUAAAAUUUGAAAGUUCUGAAGAAGAUUCAGGUCACUCGCGUGCAGCCUCUGGAAUAAGAGCUGUGUUACUGUUUAAAAGUUUUCAUGCUGUGGGGCUUCCAUCUUCAUUAUUCUACGAAUGCUUAACUUCACUAUUCUACGAAUGCUUCACUUCACUACAUUGACAGCGUUGAAAGUGUAACUAAAACCCUUGCUUUCACAAGCAAGCAUCGGUGAAUGAAAAAGAAAGUCUCUCUCGAAGGUAAUUGACAGAGGAGCAAUCUUCUUACUCUUUAACUAAAUAUCAGAAAUACAAGGUUAAGGCAGCUAGGGUUGCGAAGGAGAAGGAUCGUUCCCGGAUUUUGCCUGCUUCAAGUUGUUGGGCUUGGUGAACCAAGUUGUGUACACGAAUUGCUUAUGAGGGCCCACAUGGUUGCAGACAAGCCUGAGCUUUUGUCUCUCCCUCAUGUCUCACAUUUUAUGAUGAAUCAAAUUGAACUCCCAACACGGUAGUUCAUAAAAUAUGCUUUUCUUCUUCCAAGUAAUCUUAUCAUUUCUCUCAUUUUAUUCAUUCUCCACUUUUCAAGUCUUCAAUCUUAAACUCAGUAAGGAUAUUAUUCAACUGCUUUUUCACUUCAGCUCCAGACAUCCGAGAAGGUGCUUGUCCCCACUCUCUAGAUUUAUCAAAAGGCACUAUAUUUUCGAAACCUAUGAUUCGUCAGUAAAAAUCGACGUUACCGACGUGACAAAAUUUUCUACUAUGUAUCAACCAAUUAGAUCUAGUGUUUUGUUGGCAAACAAGAAAUGCUUAUUUACCUUUAAUACUCCACUCAGACAAGUUGGCAUGUGCUAGAAAGUCACUGAUAGUCCAUAACAAUGCUGUGUGUGAAUUGAAUAUUUGAUUACGUGAUGUAUCAUGUAUCAUUCCAACCAUAUCAUCAUCAGCACCCGAGUCAUGACUAACCUGUUUCUUGGUUAGAUUCCAAAGAUGAAGAUGGCUCACCAUGCAAUAUCCAGUUUUAAUACUUUAACCAAAAACCAUUUAUAAUGAUAUGGUCUCUUGCUACUUCCCUUAAAACGAAAUAUUCGACACUUCUUACAAGGAUAAUAAAUUCUUGCAUCACCAACAACAUUCUCAAAUGCAAAAUCUAUAACUUAGAUAUCUAUUUGCCAAACCAACCCAACUCUUCUCCAUUACCAUCUCCUUUUAAUGCACUACAAAAAUUAGUUAGAUAAAUCAUUUUAGUUUUUCAUUUCUACUACUGACCAAGAUAUUUUCGUGUGUGCACAGUUUUGCAAUAUAAUUAAAAAAUCAUUAUACAAUUUUAUGGUUAAUUUCAUUAGAAUUUAUAUAUAUGAAAGCAAGUAAAGCGACAAGAAUCAGAGAAAAAGACGUGAAAAUUAAAGUAUAUAUACAACAAUAAUUAAUGUAAAAAACAGUUUCCAAUACCUUCUGUAAAGAAAUAUCCUCACCCACAGCUGAGAACUUCAGUUGGUUAUCAAUUACAGAUACAAAGCAUGUUACCUAGAAACAAAAAAAAAGGUCAGCCAGCUGAAACAUAUUUAUAAACCAACAUUGGAGAUAGUACUCCAUUUAUAAACAAAAUUACAAGCUCAAAACCAAGUUAACUCAGCAAAACUAUAACCGAUUACGUCCAUCCAACUCAGCUCCUCCACUCCCAUCAAUAUGUCCAACACUCCCUUCAUAUUUACAAAAGGUAAGUGGUCCCGUAUAUCCCUCUCAAGAAUGCAUAAGUUUCUUCAAUCUCAAGUACUUUAAAGUUUUCUUCUACGUUUAUAGAAAUUUCGGCAGCAUCUCCCUUUAGUUCUCCAAGCAACGACAUAGAUAUAUGAGUGUUUAUGUGUUAUCUAGUAUGCACCCAAAGAAGAUGAGAAGCAGCUUGCGAAAAACUCAUUUUUACGUGGGAAAAAAACUUCAGCUACUAGCUACCAUAGAAAACUAUGCAUUCCCAAACAGUUCAAGCCUAGACAAUUCAAGAAUUAUUAAUAGGCAUAUGAUCCUCACUAUCAUCCAAAGAUGACACUAAUAAAACAUGUGUCUAUUAAUAAUUUCUUAAACGAUCUAAGCUUUCAAUGCAUGUAUUGAAAGUUUAAAAUUCAAUCUGAAAUUUGAAUAACACAUAAAUAUCAUAAAUCUCUUCAAUUUGUUCCUAAUACAAUGUAGCAUUAUUACGCGCAUCAUUUCUUAAGCAAAUCCAUAAAAAAUACAAACAAUAAAUACAUUUUCUAGCACUGAUGCAGAUUAUGUUUACUAAGCAAUAAGUUUUAAGUCAUUCAUGUUAAAAUACUUUUUCCUAUUCUUUCAACAUAUAACUAGUACGUGCACACAAUUAAUAAAUUAAAUAUAACCUGGUUGUGAAUCUCGCAAAAAUCUUCCUAUUUUUUUUUUUUUGGUUGGGGGGGGGGGGGGGGGGUGUGAGCUGCUUGUGAAUCUUGCAAAUCCUCGGGAAGGCAUGUUAAGUCAAGGCCAACUUACUAUUAGGGUAUGAAAGAUAUAACCUUUUUUUUCCCUUUUCAGAGUAAAAAGAACAUUGACAGUGUUAAAAAAAUCUAGAGGAUUUCAGGCCCAUAUCCUAACAAAUCAAGGAUAUUAGAAAAAUUUACUGAGGAUAUAGUUUAUGCUCAAUUGUAUCUUGCAGGAAGAAAUUGAUAAGCCUCAGUUUCAAUUAGCUUCAUUAUAGCCAAUGAUUAGGUGUUUAAAAACCAAUGAAUAUUUUUAUAAGAAAUCAACCGUAUUGUCGGAAGAAAAACCAAAUAAAAAUAACAAAGCCAAUGAACAGACUAAUGCUCUUUAUGGUCUAAUAACUAAAAACCAAUGAGUAUUUUUAUAAGAAAUCAACAGUAUUGUUGGAAGAAAAACCAAAUAAAAAUAACAAAGCCAAUGAACAGAUUAACGCUCUUUAUGGUCUAAUAACUAAUCAAACUAAGUUGUGGGUAAAGGCGAAUAUGUUUGUUUGGUCAAUAAUAAGCUCAACGAAUCACUAAUAAGCACCUAAUCACUAUUCCUUAUGCUAUGCAAUGUAAUGGCCUGGGUAAUGGCAGCAAGGCAGGCAAGAACUAGCUAGCCAGUUAUGAUAGUUGAUUAAGAAACUUGAUUAUAUGUAUAUUUUUGUUUGCCACAUUUAAAGAGAAUUUUCCAAAGAUGCUAAGAUACACCAAAUCCCACUAUUUCCAUACUCAUAAAAACAAAAAGCCAUGGCAAAAAUGAAUGACUAUAUAAAAUAAAAUAGGUCAUAGGACAUUGAGAUUAAGGCAACAUGAUUUGUAUACCAUAAAAUAACUAUAUCUGCAUAGUCAAUUAUAUUUCUGUUAGAACUCUAAAGUUUUCAUUUAAAUUUUUUUCCCUGUUAUGUAAACCAUUUAACUGAAAUGCUUAAGCCAAUAUUAACAAUCAUAGACAUACAAGUAUUAAUAGGCUCGUUCAAGUGAAAUGAGCAUUAUUUCUCAUAUCCUUUAGGUUUUUAAGUCAUUUAGAAGUCAUUCAUGUUAAAAAAUUUCUUCAUAUACUUUCAUUAUAAUUAGUACAUAGACAAUUAUUUAAAUAAAUAAAUCUGUUUCUGCUAGUACAGGAAAUUAAUUAAUCAAAGCUAGUAGUUAUAGCUAGGACUUGAAUGAGGCACCUUUCAGAGUUCAAGAGGAGCAUCUGAACAGAACCUUUAUAGAAAUGGCAAUGACGCUUUACAUCUACAUGCUCUUACACAAUAUGGACUUUCAUUUAUUCAAGAACAUAACACUACUCCAAGCUCUUAUUCUACAAGUUAAUUCAGUUUAUAUUAUAAUUUCUGAAAAUAGAACGUAACAUUAUUAAUAUAGAAUCAGCAAUAUAUAUAACUUAUCAGACAAUAUAACAUGCACUUGGUGAGCAUACAAGAUAAACAAGUUAUCUAGAAAAUGAAACUAAAACCCAAGCUCCGCUAUUCAUUGUAGAAGCUUUAAACAUAAAAUUAAAGUAAAUCUAAUAGCAAAACAUUAGAAUGGAUGUUGGAAUUAAAGCUAAAUUCAAUAGUAAUUCAAAUGAAUCCAUUUGAACUUUGUAGAACAAAAUUAAUUUGAGUGAGCAAACACACCAAUGGAACAAGAACACAGGGCUUCAACUUGUAGGAAUAAAAACAAUUGCUGGCGAGACAAAAAUUGACAAUAACGACUACAAUACGAAUUAAAAAGAAUCAAAAUCUAUAAUUACAAGCUAAGUAAGAGAAGAAACUCAUAAUCACAAGCUUAACUCAAAAGAUGAAGGGAGAAUACGAUGAAGAAGAAGAUGCCCGGUGUUUUACGCCGUUCGCCGGCAACCAGUUAGGUUUACGAUGGAGUCCAGCGAAUAGUUUUCUAACUGGAAAUAAAUUUAAAAUUCUAAAAUAGUAGUAUACCGAACGGCUCUUUACCGUCACGUGGUUAGUAACAUAUGUGACAGCAGUGUGGCUGUCACAUAAAGGGUAACAAAAGCAACUCGGGGUUACAAAGAAGUUAGUGAUAUACGUAAUGGCUGCUUUUGCAUUCGCAUUAGGGGUCACAUAUACCAUAUUUUCUUGUAGUACAUGGUAAAUUCUAUUUGAAAAUUGCUAAGUAUUUUAGAUUUGUAUGAAUUCAUUUUUGUGUGCUCGUUGGAUAAUAAUAUAUAAUAAAUCAAAUUUUUGGUGUAAUUUUCACAAUAUUGUAUUAUAAAUAUGUCUCGUUGAAAGGUUUUGAAAUCGUUUUGAUUGAUCAUAAUUGAUAUUUCCACAUUUGCAAAAGAUGCCAGAGAAAAUCUGAUUAUCUUAAGAAAUGAGUGCAUGAGAUAUGAAAUCAACCAUAUAAUAAAAUCAAAUUUUAUUGUGUCAUCCUUCUUGGUUCAAAUUUAUGGAAACAAUAAUCAAAUGCAUCCAUGAACUAGCUAGUAUAUUCCGACACAUGUACCAUCAAAUUUUUGCUAUGUCAUACUUAUAUUUUGAAAUUUUAAUAACAACAAUUGGGCCAAGCAUAUGUUGGUACUUGAAGAUUUAUAAGCUCCAUCCUUGAAAAAAUAAGGCUUGACUGUCCUCAAUCUAAUUCUUUUUGUUUUAAGUUCCUAAUUAAGCUUUCUUGCUUGUUUUCAAGAGCCAGUUUUGUAAUGAUCGACAAACAUGAUUUGCAUAUAUUGCACUUGGUAUUUAUGUGUCACUUAUUAAUUAGAUUUAAAUUUUAUAAAUUAAUUAAGCUGAUUAAUACUUUAUGUUGAUGCAGAAAUCUAGUUGAGUUGGUUGUUGACUCAAAACCACAUCCCCGCAUCAGUAAUAAAUUUGUUUGGUGAAGAAGCGGCUUAUUAAUCUUCAAGAAAAUCCUCUAACCAUGAGCAGAUAAUUCAUGAGCCGAUAAUCUAUGAGCUGUUGAUUAGUGAGCACCAUGAGCAGAUAAUCCACGAGCUGCUGAUCAGUGAGCACCGUGAGCAGAUGUUCUAUGAGCAGAUGAUCCAUGAGCAGAUAACCCGCGAGCAUGCAAGCACAAAGAACAGUCAGGGGGCGCUAGAAGUUUUUCUGGUGAAAACCCUCCGACGCUCAAGUCACAAUAUUGUAUCCAACCAAUAAAAACUAAAAGAUCCAAAAGUUACAAGUUCUAACACCACCCAAAUAAAGGCAUGUUAGGAUUGUUUUUGGGAAGCUCAAAAGUGAUUUUAAAAACUAAAAGCUAAUUUUUAAUGUUUUAUAAAUUUAAAAACUAAAAGUUCUAACACCACCCAAAUAAAGGCAUGUUAGGAUUGUUUUUGGGAAUCUCAAAAGUGAUUUUAAAUAUUAAUGGUGCGUUUACUUCUUGGAAUAGGAAUGAGGUGGAAUGGGAAUGGACUGGAAAGGAAAUGAGGAAUGGGAAUGAGAUUUCAAUGUUUACUUGGCAAAAAUAAAUGGGAAUGGGAAUGUGCUGGAAUGCAAUUGAUGUGUUUACUUGGAAAAAUAAAUGAGAAUGAGAAUCAAUUUACCAUAAUACCCAUAGUAUUAAUAAUUAAUAAAAAUAAUUAAUUUAUCAUUAUUGUUGUUAUUAUUACUAUUAUUACUAUUAAAAAUAAUAUUAACAAUAAUUAAUAAUAACUAAAAUAAUAAAGUUAAUAAAAUAUUAUUAAAUUUUAUUAACUCUAUUAUUUUAGUUAUUAUUAAUUAUUGUUAAUAUUAUUUUUAUUAAUAUUAUCAUUAUUAACAUUUAUUAUUAUUAUUAAUAUUAUUAUUAUAUUUUAUUAACUUUAUUAUUUUAGUUAUUAUUAAUUACUGUUAAUAUUAUUUUCAUUAAUAUUAUCAUUAUUAACAUUUAUUAUUAUUAUUAUUAUUAUUAAAUUUUAUUAAAUUUAUUACUUUAGUUACUAUUAAUUAUUGCUAUUUUUAUUUUUAUUAAUAUUAUCAUUAUUAAAUUUUAUUAUUAUUAUUUUAAUUAAUAUCAUUUUAAUAAUAAUAUUUAUACAUGUAUCUAGAUAAUGAAAAUUACAUUAUUAUUAUUAUUAUUAUUAUUAUUAUUAAAUUUUAUUAACUUUAUUAUUUUAGUUAUUAUUACUUAUUGUUAUUAUUAUUAUUAAUAAUAAUAAUAAUAAUAACAAAAAUAAUGAUAAUAUUGUUAAUAAUGAUAAAUUAAUUAUUUUUUAUUAAUUAUUAUUUUUAUCAUUAUUUUUAUUGUUAAUAAUAAUAAUAUUAAUAAAAAUAAUUAAUAAUAACUAAAAUAAUAAAGUUAAUAAAAUUUAAUAAUAAUAAUAUUAUUAUUAUUAUUAAUGAAAUUUUAAAUAAUAAAAUUAAUUGUGAUUUGAAUGAGGGUAAUUUGGGAAAUAUGAAAAAAUUAGAGGGAUACAAAAGUAAAUAUAUAUUUCAUUCUCAUUCCCUCAUUUUUAUUCCCAACCCCUCAUGGGCUUGGGAUUCCCAUUCUUUAUUCCCAAAUUGUGUGAGACCCACACAUUUUAUUCUCAUUCCCAAAUUAUAUUUUGCCAAGUAAACAUGGGUUUCAUUCUCAUUCUUUCAUUCACAUUCCUCAUUCCAUGAAGUAAACAUACCAUAAAAGCUAAGUUUUAGUGUUUUAUAAAUUUUUUUAGUAAUUACUUUUGGUAAAAUCAUCUCAUCAUACAGUAGAUUUUGAAAAGUAGUGAAUGAAUAGUUUUUCAAAAUUUGAUUUUGAGAAUUACUUUUAUACUUAAUCCAAUUCUAUAUAUAUCCUCAUUAUAUAAUAAAAAUCCAAAAUUAUCUUUAUGAAUUAAGAAAUAAAAUCAUUAACUUAAAAUAGAUUAUUAUUAUUAUUACCAAUUAUAUUGAGAUAACAAAAUAGAGAAUACAAUUUAAUAAUAUAAAAUAUUUAUUUUAGUUAUCAAUAAUUAUAUGUACAUAAUAAAAAUAUUUUAUAUACAUGUUUGUAAAUGUGUAAAUAAAUUUUAUUUAGCAUUAUGUUCAAUUCAGUCAUUUAUAUUUUUUCACCAGUUUAAUAAUAAAAUUUACGAAACACAUACGUCUGCUUUUAAAACUAAAAGUACUUUUAAAAAUAAAUUUUACUAAAUGUUCAGCUGAUUCUCUUCACAAUUGAUCAAUUUCUACAGCAUAACUAACUGAAAUUAUUUUAAAAAUAAAAUUACCAAACUGACCCUAAAUCAAACCAAUAAAAAUGUUUAAAAGUAAUAAAAAUAAACCAAAGUAAAUGUACAAAAAUUCAUGCAUAAAUUGAUAAUCAACAAAAACAACCAAAAGUUUAACUCCAAGUUUUCUGUUCAAUUGACAUAACCCUUAAAUUUCAAAAGGCAUAAUCAAUUUUGUGUCUAAUCCUAUAAAAUUAGAAAAUUAAUGAAUUCAAGGGCAAAGCUACAUUGCAACAUGCCUUUGGUACCCCUCUCUUUUGUCUUUUUAAAGGUCAAUUAUAAUAGUGUCCUGGUAUUUGUUAUAAAAAUGAAAAUGUUGAAAAUUUUUAAAAUUUUACGCAUUAGUCCUACACCUACACAGUAUCAUUUUUCUCAUCCAUUUUGCACCAUCAAUGACAUCAUUUUUCUCACCCAUUUUAAUUAAAAGGUAAUUAAAAUUAUUUUCCAUAUAGAAACAGAAUAAUAAAAUAAAUUUUUUAUUCUUAUUUUUUAAUUAAUUAUAAAAAGAUAUUUUGUAUUAAAACAAUCACUAGUGACUACUGUUUCUUCGCGUGCAAUGAUAUUUUUAAUCGAAAGGGGACAUGAAGGGUUCCAUUAUAUUUGAAAUUGGAUGAUUUACAUAAAGAUAGUCUCAAUGCUAGCAAAUGGUGAUAUGUAAAGUUGCAUGCUCCUUCUAAAAUAACUGCAACAAUAACUAUACCACAAAAACACAAGGAGUUACAUUACACUACCACCUUUUCUUUUCUUUUCUUUUCUUUUUUUUUUUAAAUUUAGAGACCCUCAAUUUGGUUGUUAAAGGCAAUGAACCUUAAAACGUGAUGUAGGAAGCAUAUUAGAUAAAAUGAAUUAGAAUUUACUAGAAAUUAUAAUAUUUGGGUCAAUUUAAAAUUUAAUAUUUUAUUAAAAUUUAUCUUAUUUAUUAAGCUUACUUGAGUCAUAUUUGUAAUUCUAACCUAAUUAGGAUUUCAGAUUAUUUCUCUUAUUUGAGAAAGAUUAGCUACUAUUAUAUAUAUAAACUUGUUAUUCUUAAUUUAUGAUAACAGACACAAACUUCUUAUUAAUAAUUUUUAAUUUUUUCAUAAUUGAGAUAUCUUCUCCUUGGUGAGAGCAUCUUUUUAAAGUUUUCAAGACAUAAAUCAUAUUAGAGUUUUUUUCUGUACCAGGCAGAGCAUUCUCGACCACCAACUCCAUACAUUAGUUCCAUCAAGUUAAAAAAAAAAAACCCAACAAAACCCGAAGCCACCAUCACAUCCGUGCCACACGGCUGCCGCCGCCACUGGUUUCUCUUCUUUUUGGUCGAUCCUCUCUCCCAUCCAAAAGCCCUCACGUCGCCAAUCAUAACCCAACCCAUAACACCACCAUCCCGUCACCGUAGCCACGGGAAACUAGCCAAAACAGCCGCUGAACCACCACGAAAAUCCACCUCUCUAUUCGCUGCAAUCCGUUGCGAUUCACAUCCUCCACCACCACCCAUUCGUCCACGAUCAUCAGCUCUUUCUUUUCAACCCACUCACGCUGCCAACCCUCGGCCGGAUCGCCAGAAACUGAAACCAACCUCCACCCACUACUUUAACUCAACUUUUCAAUCAAAUCACAACUAUUUGAGACAAAUCACCACCAGCAUCACACUCAACACCAUCAAAUCUUCUAGAUCCACCUAUCCUAGGCCAAAUUUUCGACCAUCGUCGCUGGCAACACCAACUUUUGCCUAUUUAUAAUUUUGCCCCUUUACUUUUCUAUACUUAUACUAUUACCUAUAAUUUUAUGUUCUUUAAAAAACACCCAAAAACCAAACAAACUUAUAAAAAAAUAAAUAAAUUAGAAUUUACUAGGAAUUAUAAUAUUUGGGUCAAUUUAAAAUUUUGUAUUUUAUUAGGAUUUAUCUUAUUUUAUUAAGCUUACUUGAGUCAUAUUUGUAAUUCUAAUCUAAUUAGGAUUUUAGAUUAUUUCUCUUAUUUGAGAAAGAUAAGGAUUAAUUUAGCUACUAUUAUAUAUAUAGGCUUUUUAUUCUUAAUUUAUGAUAACAGACACAAGCUUCUCAUUAAUAAUAUUCAGUUUUUUCUCAAUUAAAAUAUCUCCUCUUUGAUGAGAGUCUCUUUCUUGAGUUUUCAAGACGUAUAAUAGAACGAAAUCUAGUAUCGCUUCCGCCCUGCGUUAAAAUGUCAUCUAAUCAUAGGGUCUUGUUAUAGUUGUUUGCAUUGGAAGGCUCAUCUAUCGCCGACAUAUCUAUUUAUCCGGCAACAUUGCCACCAUUACAUUGAUCAGAGAAUUUUGAAUACGUUGAUAGUUUUUUGUUUUUCUGUUCACUCACGUCUAUUUCUUAGUGAUGAUACCGUCAUUGUUGUCAUUGGUGGUGCAAUAAUUUUUAGCAAUAUUAUUUUGAUUUUUCAUUUGAUUUACAAAACUUAAAUAUUAAAUAUAAUACUUAAUUUUAGUCUCAUACACUUAAAUAUUACUAAUAUUCAAGUUCAUGGAUGGAUAUUGAAUAAAUCAAAUUCAGAGUAUUUUAUAUGGAUACUAUCCAAUCUAUUCAGAUCAGAUACUUAGACAUCCAACUUGAAUGGAUUUGUUUGCUCUUUCUAGCUGUUAACUUGAUUAAUAAUUCUAUUGGGUUUGGUUUUAAAACUCCUAAUAUGAUAAUUCAUUCAUGACACAAUUAAUUAUUCACUUAAUUAUAUUAAUUGACUUCUAUUUUAAUUGAUAGAUAUGUGUUGAAUUGUCAUCUCUAUUGUUAUCCAUGUGUGAUGUUAGCAAGAAAGAAGAAAGAAUAGAAAAUACUUAUUUUUAGUUUUUUUUAAAGAAAUAUUUAAAUUAUUUUCAAAUAGAGUAAUUGUUUAGAAUUUUUUUACCCUUCUCUCCGAUAAGUUAAUGACUAUUUAAAUAGUUGGGGUGGAGUAACAAAUACCAAUUUAUUUAAGCGUGCAAUUAAAUUAUUAUUAUUUAUUUAAGGACAAAAACUCAUUGUUAAAAAAAAGAUUUUACAAGUUAAUAAACUAACAUUUUAUUAUUAUUAGUAAAUUAACAUAUUUUUACUAUAUAAUUAAAUAGUUGAUAGUAUGUUUAAUAAAUAUUAUGUUACAAAAAAAAUUAACUACAUAGAAUAUGAAAUUAAGUUUAUUUUUGUAUUUUGUAUAUUUCAUCUACUUGAGAUAAUAAAAUCUCUUGUGUUGAAAAACAAAAUUAUGGGUUUUGAACCUUGUUCACAUAGGUGAGAGAUAAUUGGUUGCCAUUAUGUUAAAUUAAAAAAAAAAGAUCAUAUUUAUACUUAUCACUAAUUAUGGUUAGUAAAUAAUAUACAUGCAUUGUUUAACUAUAUAACAAAGUAGUUAAUUAAUUAAUUAAUUAAUUAAUUAAUUAAUUUAAAUAGAUAUUAAUAUAUGUAAGAAUAAGUCAUUUAAUUGGAAACCUAUUUCAAUGGAGUUAAAAAAAAAAGAGAGAAUAUUAUGGACUUAUAUGUCAAAUUUCAAAACUUUUGAUUUUGUUUAUUUUGCAUGAACAAUAAGGGUCUUUGAUGUUAAUAACCCAAUAAUCACAUCUCAGCCAUUACGCAAUUCUUACAUUAAAUCCAACGGUAGGUUUGAAAAAGACAAAAAAUAGGGUACCAAACCCCACGGGUAUUGUAGUUGGACCCUGAAAUUCAAACUCCUUUCACUUUUCUGUUGUUUGGUUUUCACUAAUAUAUGGGAAUUUAAUUUCUAUUUAAAUUUAAUUUUCAUCAAAUUGUGCAUUUUGGAUUCCCCACCGAAGGCUGUAAAAUUCAAAUUCUCCUCCUAUUAGAAAUCGAAUCUUCCAAAAUUGCUCCUCUCAAAUAUUUAUCAAUUAUUUUAAUUCUUAUCAAAUAAUUCUUAUUUAUGAUUUUAUUUUUUCAAUUUAAAUUGUCACUAAGGAGCCUGACUUACUACCACAGAAAAGCAAAAAUACAAUUUAUAGAUUAUGAUAAUUCCAUGUAUUGUAUGAGAAUUGCAAUCUAAAAAUUUUCCCUACAAAACUUUAAAGAAAUUAUUAUUAUUACCAAUUAUAUGGACAUAACAAAAUAGAGAAUAAAAUUUAAUAAUAUAAAAUAUUUAUUUUAGUUAUCAAUAAUUAUAUGUACGUAAUAAAAAUAUUUUAUAUACGUGUUUGUAAAUGUCUAAAUAAAUUUUAUUUAGCAUUAUGUCCGAUUCAGUCAUUUACAUUCUUGCACUGAUUUAACAAUAAGAUUUAUGAAACACAUACGACUGCUUUUAAAACUAAAUGUACUUUUUAAAAUAAAAUUUACUAAAUGUUCGGUUGAUUCUUUUCACAAUUUAUCAAUUUCUACAGCAUAGCUAACUGUAAUUAAUUUUAAAGAUAUAGGAUUACCAAACUAACCCUAAAUCAAACCAAUAAAAAUGUUUAAAAGUAAUAAUAAGAAACCAAAAUAAACGUACAAAAAUUCAUGCAUAAAUUGAUAAUCAACAAAAGCAUCCAAAAGUUUUACUCCAAGUUUUCUAUUCAAUUGACAUAACACUUAAAUUUCAAAAGGCAUAAUCAAUUUUGUGUCUAAUCCUAUAAAAUUAGAAAAUUAAAUAAUAUUAUAUACUAAUAAUUAAAUAAUAUGCAAUUAAUAAUGUUUAAAAAAUAAUGUUAAACAUAUUGUCAACUAAAAUAAUUGGGAGAAUUGGAGUUCCAAGAUAAAUUCUUAUCGAGUCCCAAAUCAACAAUUGGGAUUAAUUUCAAUCUUAAACUCCGAAACUCCGACUGCUUUUAAAAUUGGUCCUAAUAAUAUGAACAAAUCCCAUUCUGAUCAGUAUGGGAUCCCAAUCCCAUACCUUUGGAUUUCGAUGGUAUUUAGUUGGAGGGAGAAGAGAGGAAGGAAAUGAAUUCAAAUUCCUUUCACUUUUCUGUUGUUUGGUUUUCACUAAUAAAUGGGAAUUCAAUUUCUAUUGAAAUUUAAUUUUCAUCAAAUUGUGCAUUUUGGAUUCGUCACCGAAGGCUGUAAAAUUCAAAUUCCCCUCCGAUUAGAAAUCGAAUCUUCCAAAAUUGCUCCUCUCAAAUAUUUAUCAAUUAUUUUAAUUCUUGUCAAAUAAUUCUUAUUUAUGAUUUUAUUUUUUCAAUUUAAAUCGUCACUAAGGAGUCUAACUUACUACCACAGAAAAUCAAAAAUACAAUUUAUAGAUUAUGAUAAUUUUACGUAUUGUAUGAGAAUUGCAAUCCAAAAAUUUUCCCUACAAAACGCUUUUUAAUCGACAGCAAAUACAUGCUUUCAAAUUUAGUCAGCUGAACUAAUUUUUGUUUUUUUGGAUUAAUUUUGAAAUGUUGCAUCCAUAACGAGCUGGUAUUGAAAUUAAUGUUAACAACAAAAAUAGAUGCAAAAGGAGAAAUAAGCAUCAUGGCCAUUAAUAUUUUGACAUUCAAUGUUGAUUUUGAUCCCACUAAAUUAAGCCAUCAAAAAUUGCUGGGAAGGGAGUAAUAUCUAUUUAUAACUGGAAAUUACUCACCGUACAAUGAUGAUUGGAGCUGCAUGUAUCAUUUAUUAUUAACAAUUAACUUAUGAAAUGCUUUGAAUGUACCUCCUAGGUCGUAUUUACUACACUAGUUAGGAGAAAUUACGAUGUUAAAUUAUUUGAUAAAUACUUAUUAUAAUUUGAAAAAUAUGUCACAUUUGUCCUCCACUUUAUGAUAAAAAAUUUAAAAUAUAUAUAAAUCAUUCAUUUUAUAAUCUUGAACUUUAUUAAAGUUCGAAAAACUAGUAUUACUCUAUAUGAUAUAAUAGUGUGAUGUUGUUACACUAUUUUACCAUAUAAAAUAUAUUUGCUUUCUUAUAUAUAAUGGUUCUGACAUCCUUAUUUUAACAAAGUGAUGAUAUCACUAACAAACUAAAUAACACAUAUUUCAAUACACCAAUAGAUUAAAAAGAUACAGUUCUUAAUGUGUUAAAAUAUAUGUUUCUUGUAUAUUAUUGAUAUUUUCACUUUAACAAAGCGAGGGUCUCCUCACUAUAGAAGUACUUUAUAAAUAUUCUUUGUAUUUUUGUGAAAAUUAUUAUUUAAAAGUCAUAUCUUACCAAAGACUAAUAGUUUUUAUUUUAUCACUAUACCGUACUUUUGAAGAUAGAACACCUCAAUACCAUGACCUUAAUUUUUGAACUCUGCUGUACAAAGUUGUUGGCUGGUCUAUUUAGUUUAGUCUUUCAAUUAUUUGUCGUUUGAACUGAGAUGAUCCGAAUAAAGCUAUAUAUCAAUAAUUUCCUAGUGAAACUUCGGGAAAAAAAAUAAAAAUCCUCUCAUAUAGUGGCAUUAUUUUAAUUCUCAGCUUGAUUAUGUUUUGAGUUAACUUAUAGAUUAUUUGAAAUAAAAAGAAUAUAAUUUAUUUUUCUAACUAAAUAUUUUUAAAUAAUUUUGUUAAUUUAAUGAGUAAUUAUACACUUACAAAGUUAUGAUAUAAAAUUUAAUCUAAUUUAGCUAAGAUGUCCAAUUUAAUACUAAGAGCAAUGUUAAGGAUCCCAAUAAUUGAGUCUCAGCUGAUAUGAUAGUCAUUUAUUAGAUAAUCGAAAUAUUAAUUUUAUUAGUUAUGAAAUUUAUUAUCUAAUAAAAAAAUAACACAUAACAAUUGGGUCUCAAGUUAGAAUUCUACUAUCGAAAUUCCUAACAUUAUUCUCAAAUUAAAAAUUCAUCAAAAUAAUAUCUAUUAUCUAAAAAUAUAAAUAUAAAUAUAAAACCAUAGAUUUACUCUUCAAUCUUCGUGAUUUGGCCGAUUUCUCUUAAAGCUUUGGUUUCUUUAUAAGUGCAACGAGAAAUAGUAAGAAGAUUAAAAAAGCAAUAAAGUAAAACUUUAAAAUUUUUAUUUCUUUAUAUUUUUAUCGGUCAUUUGACCGGUACUGGCGUUUGAUUUUCUGACCGAGCUACUGUUUAGUUCUAAGUUUUGGCAAUUAGAACUGGUGGAUGUCGACUGUUCAAUAAUGAUGGCAGCAUUGACGCAGUGGAAUAAGGAUCACAUAUCUCAAACUUUAGGUGAUGAUAUUGUUAGAUAUUUCAUUGAUUGAGGAUCACAUGUUUUAUGACCACUAUUGUUAGAUAUUUUAUUGACUUACUAUGUAAGUCAAGCAAUUAUUUUUAAAUAAUGAUAUUAUAAUUAAAAAUCAAGAAAUAUUUAUAAUACUUAAAGACUAAUUCAGAUUAUUAUUAUUUUAUAUGACUUAAUUAUUAGCUGACAAAUAAUUAAAAGGUCAUAGAACAAUAUUUUUAGGUCAAAUUUGUAUUCUAAUAUGACACAACUUGUACUUUCAUUCCUAUGCUAAAAUAUAUCUAACCUACUAAUAGUCAAGAAAUAUAUCUAUUCAUCACAUACUUGUUAGAAAGAUUAUCUACUAAUUAAUCAUUGAGACGAGAUUACGAGUCUCAACAUAAAUUAGGAUAAAAAUUAAUACAUUGAAAUUCAGAACAUUUCUUUUUCCUCCUUCUGCAGUUUAAAAAGGAGUCGCCCACGAGUACUGAAAUAAUUUUAUCAGAUUCGCUUGAAAGUAGUUUUACGAGCAAGCAGUUUUUCCCUCUUGAUCCCCGUAUUCGUCAGCUCCUACUCUUUGCCUUCAAUUCUCAGUCAAGUAGUAUCAGUUUUUGUUGUCAGCUCUCUUGAAUUUCACUGGAUCAAGUUUUCUCUUGGCAUCUGUUUUGUUGUAAUCUCCAGUCUUUGUUAAUUAGUUUCUCUCCAUUCCCAAUCUUGUUGUGGCCUGCUGUUGUCUCUGUUUGGUUCCAUAUCUACCCUUUGUACUUCUACCGUGUCAAGAUACCUUCAUUUUUUCCAUCUCUAUUACCAGUCAAUAUUUUUUCCGUCUUUCUUCUGGUCAAUUCUUCAGUUAUUCUGAUUGGUUCCCUUCGCCUCUAUUAUCUAAAUCAUUCCUUAUAUUAAUUCAAUCAGUUCUCGAACUAGAAAUUUUUUCCUUGUUUCCAUCUUCUCACCAGAUCCAUAACAGCUUUUACUCUUUCUUUCAUUUCUCCGCUUCCAAAACCGGAUAAACUGUCCAUCUUCGUUGUUUCGUUUUUUUUUUUUUUCACUCCCUCUUUGUUUCGCUCGUUUUCUAUUUUCUUGUCAGAACUUUGAAAAAAAAAAAAAAAGGGAUCCAGGAUGGUGGAAAGCAUUGUUACUGUUGUUUUAGAAUUUUUGAAAUGCUUGGCUCCUCCAACAGAACGCCGAUUUGGUUAUUUGCGUAACUAUAAAGCCAACGUUGAGAAUCUCAAGGCAGAAAUAGACAAGCUCAAGGAUGAAAGGAGAAGCAUUCAGCACAGGAUUUCUGAGGCUGAAAGAAAAGGGGAAAAGAUUGAAGAGAAGGUUGAGAAGUGGCUGGUUCGUGCGAACAACACCAUUGAGCAGUCAGCCAAAUUCAUUGACGAUGAGGAGACAACAAAUAAACGAUGUCUCAUGGGCUUGUGUCCUAAUUUGAAGACCCGCUAUCAGCUUAGCAAGGAAGGAGAAACAAAGGUGAAGGCCAUUGUUGAACUCAAAGAAGAAGCUGGGAAAUUUGAUGAUAGAAUUUCCUACCGUACCAUUCCGGAGGAUAUAUGGCUCAAGUCUCACAAAGGCUACGAGGCCUUCGAAUCAAGACUUUCUACUUUGAAGGCCAUACAAAAUGCAUUGAUCGAUGUUGAUGUCAGCAUCAUUGGGGUCUACGGCAUGGGCGGCAUUGGAAAGACGACACUGGUGAAGGAGUUUGCAAGGCGAGCCAUUGAAGACAAGCUUUACGAUAUGGUGGCUUUUUCGGAGGUUACCCAAAGUCCAGACAUAAAAAAGAUCCAAGAGGAAAUUGCGGAAACGUUAGGCCUACAGUUGUCCGAGGAAGCUGAGUCUAGAAGAGCUGGUAGACUAUAUGAAAGAUUGAAGAAUGAGAAGAAGAUCCUUGUGAUUCUGGAUAACAUCUGGAACCCUCUUGAUUUGGGGACUAUUGGAAUUCCUUUUGGAGUUGAGCACAGAGGAUGCAAAUUAUUAUUCACAACAAGAGAUCUUGAUGUGCUGUUAAGGAUGGGAUCUGAAAAAAACUUCUCGAUUGGCAUUUUAAAUGAACAAGAAGCCUGGAGAUUGUUCAAGAUAAUGGCUGGUGAUUAUGUUGAAAAUCGUGAGUUAAAAUCUACAGCAACAAGUGUAGCCAAGGCAUGCGGAGGUUUGCCUAUUGCCCUAACCACAGUAGCAAAGGCACUGAGAAAAAAAGAGCUGCCUGUGUGGAAGAAUGCCUUGCAAGAACUCCAAACGCCUUCAGAGGCGAGCUUCGACGAAGGAGUACCAGCAGAGGCAUACUCAACAAUUGAGCUGAGUUACAAGUACUUAAGAGGUGAGCAACUCAAGAAAACUUUUUUACUGUGUAGUCUUAUUACGCCAGCACCAAUUAUGGACUUGUUCAAAUAUAGCAUGGGCUGGGGUGUAUUUAAAAGUGUCCACAAGCUAGAAGAUGCACAUAACAAAUUACAUGCAUGGGUCCAUCAACUAAGAGACUCUUGUUUGUUGCUUGAGGAUGGUGGCAGUAAAUACUUUUCUAUGCACGACGUUGUUCGCGAUGUUGCCAUUUCAAUUGCAUGUCGUGACAAAAUUGGAUUUGUGGUGACAAAUGAGGAUGAUUGGAAAUGGCCAAAUGCAGAUGAAUUAAAAAAAUAUCUUGCAAUUUCUUUAAAAGAUAGUAUUAUUAAUGACAUUCCUGAAGGGUCCGAAUCUCUACAACUUGAACUUCUAGUCAUGUCUCCCAAGAACUCUUUUGCUGUGCCUAAUAUUCCUGAGAACUUCUUCAAAAGGACGAAAAAGCUUCGGGUUUUGGAUUUUACUGGAAUGCGGUUAUUGUCAUUGCCAUCUUCAAUUGGUCUUCUAGUAAAUCUUCAGGCACUCUGUCUUAAUCAAAGCAUUUUGGGAGGCAUAGACAUAGCCAUUAUUGGAAAGUUGGAAAAUCUAGAAAUCCUCAGCUUUUUGCAAUCUGAUAUUGUAGAGUUGCCUAAAGCACUGGGUCAACUGACUAAGCUAAGGCUGUUAGAUUUAACAGACUGUUUCCGUCUGAAAGUUAUUGCCCCAAAUGUCAUAUCAAGCUUAAUCCGAUUAGAAGAAUUGUAUAUGGGUAAUUGCUCCAUUGAAUGGGAGGUUGAAAGAGCCAACAGCAAAAGAAGUAAUGCUAGCCUUGAUGAAUUGAUGCAUUUACCUCGGCUAACCACUCUAGAAAUUGAUGUUAAAAAUGAUAGUAUUUUACCAGGAGGCUUUUUGGCCAGAAAGCUCGAAAGGUUCCAAAUACAUAUUGGAAAUGGGUUAUUCACACAUCCCAUGCUUUUUAGACACAGAUGGUUUAAAAGUUGGCAGCACUUUGUGAUCGACAGAGAUCGCAAGAGUUUAAGAGCAUUGAAGCUCAAGCUUGAUUUUAUGGACAUUUGCUCCAUGAAAUUGCAGGGCAUCAAUAACGUUGAAUGCUUAUGGUUGGACAAGCUGCAAGGCAUCGAGAGUGUUCUUUUCAAUUUGGACACGGAGGGCUUUUCACAAUUGAAGCUUCUCUGGGUUCAAAAUAAUCCUGACAUCUUUUGUAUCGUCGAUUCCAGGGAGAUGGUCGCUUGUGAUGCCUUUCCUCUUUUGGAGUCACUUAUCCUUCACAACUUGAUCAACAUGGAGAGGAUAUGUAUUGAUCGGCUCAAAGUAGAGUCUUUCAACAAACUCAAAACCAUAGAAGCAUAUAGUUGUGAUAAAUUGAGUAAUAUCUUUUGGCUCUCUACUACAAAAUGCCUUCCAAGACUUGAGAGAAUUGCAGUUAUUAAUUGCAGCAAGAUGAAAGAGAUUUUUGCAAUUGGGGAAGAAGUUGAUAAUGCAAUUGAGAAGAUAGAGUUUGCUCAAUUAAGAUAUUUGAGUCUGGGGAAUCUUCCAGAGGUUACAAAUUUCUGCCGUGAAGUAAAGACUCCUUCAGCAUCACCAAACAGACCAGCGUCGCAGGAGGAAUCGACGACUACGUAUAGCUCCAGCGAAAUCACUUUGGAUACUUCAACUCUGCUUUUCAACGAGAAGGUGCGUAGGCUAACAUUUUCUUCAUAUAUAACAGAUUUUAUUCAUAUAAUUAAGAAAAUUGGUCAACUCAAAUGGACUUAAUCAUUUAAUUUUUCGUAAUUAAAUCAUUUAAAGAAUGGAAAGAAAAUGGAAAAAAAAGGAUAAAAAGAAUCUCACGCGCUCACUAAUUGAGCUCUUAACAAGUAGUAUGAAUUAGAAUGCAUACUCAGCUGUCAGUUGGAAAUUGAUUCAGACUUGCAUUAAUUUGUAAUCAAAGAAGAAAAUUUCAACAAGUGCUUCCCAUAUGGAUAUUGGAUCUAACGAGAAAUUCUUAUUUUUUUAGGUUGUGUUGCCUAACUUGGAGGCUUUGGAGAUAUAUGAAAUUAAUGUCGACAAGAUUUGGCACUACAAUAAUCUUCCGGUCAUGUUUCCUCGCUUUCAAAAUUUAACACGAUUGACUGUGCAUCGUUGUCAUAAAUUAAAAUACAUAUUUUCAGCGUCUAUGAUCGGAAGCCUUAAGCAGCUCCAACACCUAGAUAUACGACUCUGUAAGGAAUUACAGGAGAUCAUUUCUGAAAACAGAGCAGAUCAAGUGACCCCUCAUUUUGUCUUUCCACCGCUCACCACUCUGAGACUCGAUGGUCUACCAAAACUUAGAUGUUUGUACCCUGGAAUGCAUACUUCGGAAUGGCCCGCGCUAGAAAUUCUUUAUGUGUAUGGUUGUGACAAAUUAAAGAUAUUCGCUGCAGAUUUAUCGCAGAAUAAUGAGAAUGAUCAACUUGGUAUUCCUGCACAACUGCCCCCCUUGCCGUUGGAAAAGGUAUGAAGCCAUUUUCUAGAUUUUUUAUCAAUAGCUUAUUUUUAACUUUGAAAAAUAUGACAAAGUAUCGAUAAAUUAAUACUCAAUAAAUUAAAAACUUUUAUUAUACAAUAAUCUUUGUUAGUCUAGACUAAGGGAUCAAUGUGGUAGAUUAAUAAUUAUAUGAAUUGUUUUAGGUAUAGCAUUUGUAAAAGAAUCCUCAGUCUUUCCAUAUAGAAGAACUUACAAAAUAAAUUAGUAAUUUAUUAUUGUGCAAUAAAAUAAUUUCGAGCCUGUAUAAAUCAACAUUUUUUCCCUAAUUUCUUUUUUACCUCUAAAAUUAACAUAUAAAAAAUCAUUUAAUAAAUUUUAUCAAUAAUUCAAUCUUUUUUUUUUUUUUUGAGAAUGAUGAACUUGAUACUCCUGCACAACAGGCCCUAUUGCCGUUGGAAAAUGUAUGAAGCCAUUUUCUAGAUUUCUAUCAAUAGCUUAGUUUGAACUUUAAAAAAUAUGACAAAGCAUCAAUAAAUUAAUACUCAAUAAAUUGAAAACUUUUAUUAUACAAUAAUCUUUGCUAGUCUAGACUAAGGGAUUUAUUGAUAGAUUAAUAAUUAUAUGAACUUUUUUAGGUAUAGCAUUUAUAAAAGAAUCCUUAGAGCAUCACCAAAAGACUCUUUAAAUAAGAUUUUAUUACUUAUUUGAAGAGCCACAUCAGCAUUUAAAGUUCCAAAAGAUACUCCAAUUAAGAUUCUUCAAAUAAGAAAUGAUCAUCUCUCUUCAAAUUUGGAGAGUUGCAUUCCCCCUCUUCAAUUUAUAUUUUAUUACUUUUUGUUGGAGAAAGAGAGAGAGGUGUUUUAAUUACUAUUGACUUUUUAUUUUUUAAAAAUAGUUAUUUAAUUAAAAUAAUAUUAAUUCAUUUCUAUUUGAAGAGUCUUUUGGAGAAUAACAUAUUUUUUCACUUUUCUAUUUGCCACAUAGGUAAGCAAAUAGAAAUUUGAAAGAGUAAAAUUUAUAGAGCCUUUUGGAGAUACUUAGUCUUUCCAUAUAUAAGAACUUACAAAAUAAAUUAGUAAUUUAUUAUUGUGCAAUAAAAUAAUUUCCAGCCAGUAUAAAUCAAAAUUUUUUCCUUAAUUUCUUUUUUACCUCUAAAAUUAACAUAUAAAAAAUCUAAAAUAUAAUAUAAAACAAAUACUAUAAAGUCACUGCGUGUGAUUGGAUUACUUAAAAUCAUUUGAGAGAACAUCAAUUGACCUUAAUAAUUAUUAUGAUUGAUGAUGAUCAGAUCUUACCCAACUUGAAGGACCUAACAUUAAAUGGAAAAGACGUGAAGAUGAUUUUGCAGGCCGAUUUCCCCCAACCCCUUUUUGGCAGUCUUAAACAACUAAAUAUUGUUGGCGAUGACUCAGCUUGUUUUCCAAUCUGGAAUGUACUUGAGAGAUUUCACAGUCUCGAAAUACUCAUACUGUGUUAUUUUUCAUUCCACGAAGAGGUAUUUUCGAUGGAAGGAUGCUUAGAGAAACAUGUGGGGAAGUUGGCAAUGAUAAAAGAAUUACAGCUGCACCAGCACUAUCAUCUUGAGCAGCUGUGCAAACAAGACUCCAAACUUGGCCCCAUUUUUCAGUAUCUUGAAAUUCUAAAAGUAUAUGAUUGUCAAAGUCUGUUAAUUCUAUUGCCAUCAUCAUCGGUAUCUUUUCGGAACCUAACGGAAAUUGUAGCUUUCGGUUGCAAGGAAUUGAUACACUUGGUAACAUCCUCCACAGCAAAAACUCUAGUGCAACUCGUCACAGUGCGUAUGCGUGAAUGCAGAGCGAUGACAGAGGUGGUAAUAAAUGACAAAGAAGGAGUUGAAAAAGAAGAGAUUGUUUUCCGCAAAUUGAAGACGUUGGAACUGCGUGAUUUAGAUAGCCUCACAAGUUUCUGCUCUGCCAAUUACACCUUCAAAUUCCCAUCUUUGCAAGAUUUGUGGGUGAUUGGUUGUCCCAAGAUGAAGAUUUUCACUACAGGAGAAUCAAUCAUGCCUCUAAGAGUAAACGUCUGCUAUGGAGAGACAGCGGAUCAACGGCGCUGGGCUAAUAAUGAUCUAAACACAACCAUACAACAAUUACAUGCUGAGAAGGUACGUAUAUACAUAUUACUCUCUAUCUCCCAUGAUAAAUUUUUACAAAAUUUGCUUUCUUAAAUACAAUAUAGAUAAGAUAUUUUUUAUAAAGUAAAAGUUUAAAUUGAUGAAUAAGAAUUUUACUUUCAGCUGUUGGCGGUGUCGUCGUCAUACUCUACGCAGUACGACUAAUUUCAUAGGCUUCUUAUGACUUGGAGUUGCGAAUUUUUAGAAGAAAGUCUCAACUGGUAAUUAAUUUUUAUUUCAUUUAUUUAAUCCCAUGGCUUGUUUCGCAAUUUCAUCUGAAUUAUUUAGAAUGGAUCCCUCGGUUUACUGUUAAAUUUGCAAUGCAAUUUUAAUGAUCCUUUCAGACUUUUAUGGACAGAUUUUGCAUAAUUGAAUGUCUUUUUAGUCUAGUUUAAUUUGAGUCUUUUUUUUUUUUUUGGCGAGCUCCCCUCGUCUUCUAAAAUUUUGUAACUCCUUGCAUACGUUUUGAUGAUAAAAUUUCAUUAAAAGCCUUCGUAUUUUUUAAAUCCUUGAAAACGUGCAUACUUUUUCCUUUCUUUCUUUGCCAAUUAUUUAUCGUCAUCAUUGCUGUUCUUUUAUUUUACUUUGUGCUCUGUUUGUUCAUUGGGUUUGCUUUUCUUCACACCUAUAUUUCCUUGGAAAGUUAGAAGGCAAGGAAAGUACUUAGAAAAUGUUCUUCCCUAUGAACACAUAAUUAAAGAACAGCUGAAUAUCAUUAAUCGGAUUAAAAAAAUUAAAAAAAAAAAGUAAUCAGUGCAUAUUCAUAAUAUUUUCUCUGUUGUUCCUGUUAAAAUUUCUCUACUCUAUGAUUGCAGAAUGUUUGGAUACUGAUGAAGAUUUAAGUCACUCGUCCUCUGUGAAUAAGGUCGUUUUCCUUUUUUCCUCUAUUCAAAGUUUACAUUCUGAGGGGUUCCCGUUUCCAUCUUCGUGAUCUUCUUGUGAUUCACUGCAUUGUGUCGCUACAUCUGUGAUAGUGUGAGUUGCAACAUGUCUGUUUCCUUUGUUUGAUCAUCGCAAGUCCAAAGACAUUUCAUUCUAGCUAAGCUCUUUGUAUGUAUUAAAAAAAAUUUAUUCUCAAUAUAUAUGACUCAAUGAGUGGUCUUUUAUUAUAUAUAUGUCAUGAAUUUCUAUUGUAUUUUGAGAUUUGAUGGUGUAUUAUUGUCUCAUUGAAAGGUCUUGUAAUCACUCUGAUUCUCAUUUGAGGAGGUUGGUCUCGUCUAUGUGUAUGUAUUUAUAUCCACAAGAAAUUUGAUAAAUGGUCUUGUCGUUUUAUCAUUAAAACAUCUAGUGCUUCAUAGGUUGGAGGGCUACCAGGCAUCAGGGCCAGAUUUUUAAACUCAAAGUUAUUCGUGUCAUUUACCCAUUUGAUUAUCAAAUAGUCAUAAAAGCAUAUAAAUUCAAGUCAGUGUAUCAUUUGUACACAAUAUACUAAAACUAACACAAGAACUUGGCCGACAUUUUCAGUUGAAUAACUCAGACCCCCCUACUUCCUCGGGCUGACAGCCCAAAGUGAAAAUAUCUAAAAAAAAUAGUUUGCUCCACAUCUAUCUUUCCUAACUUAGGAAGGCAAGGAUUUUGAAAGCUUUGCUUGAUAAAAUCUGAAAGUUCUGAAGAAGAUUCAGGUCACUCGCGUGCAGCCUCUGGAAUAAGAGCUGUGUUACUGUUUAAAAGUUUUCAUGCUCUGGAAUAAAAUUUGCUUUACUGUGUUACUGGUCAACUUCAUUAUUCUACUAAUGCUUUACUUCAUCUUCAUUGUAUCACUACAUUGACAGCGUUGACAGUGUAACUAAAACCCUUGCGUUCACAAGCAAUUUUGAUCACAUUAAACUUUUAAGAAAUUAUCUUUUAUAGCCAUCUUCCAUAUUAUUAGGAGGAGUCGUUUUCACUAUUUUUAAGAAAUUUUGAUCACAUUAAACUUUUGAUCUGAGUUCAUAACAAAAAUCAAAACGGUGCAUGACAUCAAGAUUAUGAUGAAUCAAAUUGAACUCCCAAUAUGUUAGUUCAUAAAAAAUGCUUUUCUUCUUCCAAGUAAUCUUAUCAUUUCUUUCAUUUUAUUCAUUCUCCUCUUUUCUCCUCUUUUCAAGUCUUCAAUCUUAAGUACAUUACUGAACUGGUUUUUCACCUCGGCUCCAGACAACCGAGAAGGUGCUUGUCCCCACUCUCUAGUUUUAUCAGAUGGCACUAUAUUUUCGGAACCUAUGAUUUGUUGGUAAAAAUCGACGGUGACCCACGUGACAAUUUUCUACUAUGUAUCAACCAAUUAGAUCUAGUGUUUUGUUGGCAAACAAGAAAUGCUUAUUUACCUUUAAUACUCCACCCAAACAAGUUGGCAUAUGCUAGAAAGUCGGAGAUAGUCCAUAACAAUGCUGCGUGUGACUUGAACAUUUGAUUACGUGAUGCAUUAUGCACCAUUCCAACCAUACUAGCAUCACUACCCGAGUCAUGACUAACCUGUUUCUUAGUUAGAUUUCAAAGAUGAAGAUGGCUCACCCUCCAAUAUCCAGUUUUAAUACUUUAACCAAUAGCCAUUUAUAAUGAUAUGGUCUCUUGCCACUUUCCUUAUAAUGAAAUAUCGAUAUUACAACACCUCUUAGAAGGACAAUAAAUUCUUUUAUCACCAACAACAUUCUCAAAUGCAAAAUCUAUAAAUUUUUUGACCCCCAUCAGUAUAUGAAUUGGAUAUCUAUUUGGCAAACCAACCCAACUCUGGUCCAUGACUAUCUCCUUUUAUUGCACUAGAAAAAUUAGUUAAAUAAAUCACUUUAAUUCUUCAUUUCUACUACUAAACAAGAUAUUUUCAUGCGUGCGCAGUUUCGCAAUAUAAUAAAAAAAAUUAUUAUACAAUUUUAUGGUUUUAUAUAUAUGGAAGCAAGCAAAGCCACAAGAAUCAGAGAAAAAGAUGUGAAAAUUAAAGUAUAUAUACAAUAAUAAUUAAUCUAAAAAACAGUUUGCAAUACCUUCUGUAAAGAAAUAUCCUCACCCACAGCUGAGAACUUCACUUGGCUAUCAAUUACAGAUAUAUAAAGCCUGUUACCUAGAAACAAAAAAUUAGGUCAGCCAGCUGAAACAUAUUUAUAAACCAACAUUGGAGAUAGUACUCCAUUUAUAAAAAAAAUUACAAGACUCAAAACCAAGUCGACUCAGCAAAAUCAUAACCGAUUACAUUCAUCCCACUCAGCUCCUCCAAUAUAUCCAACAUUCCCUUCAUAUUUACAAAAGGUAAGUGGUCCUAUAUAUCCCACUCAAGAAUGCAUAAGUUUCUUCAAUCUUAAGUAUCUAAAGUUUUCCUCUACGUUUAUAGAAACUUCGGAAGCAUCUCCCUAUAGUUCUUCAAGUACACGACAUAGAUAUAUGAGUGUUUAUGUGUUAUGCCAAAACAAUACAUGACACCCAUUUGUCUAGUAUGCACCCAGAGAACAUGAGGAGCAGCUGCUGAAAAACCCAUUUUUACGUGGGAAAAAAAUUUCAGGCACUAGCUACCAUAGAAAUCUAUGCAUUACCAAACUGUCCAAGCCUAGAUAAUUCAAGAAUUAUUAAUAGACAUAAGAUCCUCACUAUCAUCCAAAAGAUGACACUAAUAAAACAUGUGUCUAUUAAUAAUUUCUUAAAGGAGUUUAAGCUUUCAAUGCAUGUAUCAAAAGUUUAAAAUUGAAUCUGAAACUUGAAUAACACAUAAAAAUCAUAAAUCUCUUCAAUUUAUUCCUAAUAAAAUGUAGCAUUUUUUCACAUUUCAUUUCUUAAGCAAAACCAUAAAAAAUUACAAACAACAAAUACAUUUUCUAGCACUGAUGCACAUUAUGUUUACUGAGCAAUAAGUUUUAAGUCAUUCAUAUUAAAAUACUUCUUCCUAUUCUAUCAACAAAUAACUAGUAUGUACACACAAUUAAUAAAUUAAAUGUAACCUGGUUGUGAAUCUUGCAAAGUCUUCCUAUUUGGUUUUUUUUUUUUUGGUGGUGGUUGGGGGGGGGGGGGGUGGUUAUGCUCAUUUGUAUGUUGUUAACAGAAAUUGAUCCAAAGCCUCCGUUUUAAUUAGCUUCAUUAUAGCCAAUGAUUAGGUGUUUAAAAACCAAUGAAUAUUUUUUAUAAGAAAUCAACAAUAUUGUUGAAAGAAAAACCAAAUAAAAAUAAUAAAGCAAUGCAUAGAUUAAGGCUCUUUAUUAUCUAAUAACUAAUCAAACUAAGUUGUGGGUAAAGGCGAAUAUGUUUGUUUGGCCAAUAAUAAACUCAAGGAAUCACCAAUAAUCACCUAGUUACUAUUCCUUAUGCCAUGCAAUGUAAUGGCGUCGGUAAUGGCGACAAGGCAGGCAAUAACUAGCUAGCUAGUUAUGAUAGUUGCUUAACUUAACCUACUGGAAAUCUGAAGACCAAAAUGAAGAAACUUUGUCUAGAACUAGAAUAGGAAAACAUUCAUACCCAAAACCAAUAUACAUGAUUAAGAAACUUGAUUAUAUGUAUAUUUUUGUUUGCCACACCAAAUCCCACUAUUUCCAUACUCAUAAGCACAAAAAACCAUCGCAAAAAUGAAUGACCAUAUAAAAUAAAAUAGGUCGUAGGACAUUGAGUAUAGGACAAUAUGAUUUAUGUACCGUAAAAUAACUAUAUCUGCAGUCAACUAUAUUUCUGUUCGAACUCUAAAGUUUUCCAUUAAAUUUUUUCCCCUGUUAGGUAAACCACUUAACUGAAACACUUAAGCAAGAUUGACAAUCAUAGACAUAAAAGUAUUAGGCUCGUUCAAGUGAAAUGAGCAUUAUUUGACAUAUCCUUUAGGCUUUUAAGUCAUUUAGAAGUCAUUCAUGUUAAACAAUUUCUUCAUAUACUUUCAAUAUAAUUAGUACAUACACAAUUAAUUAAUUAAAUAAAUCUGUUUCAGCUAGCACAGGAACUUAAGCAAUCAGAGCUAUUAGUUAUAGCUAGGACUUGAAUGAGGCACCUUUCAAAGUUCAAGAGGAGCAUCUGAACAGAAUGAAAGCAUUUUGUAGAAAUGGUAGUGAUGCUUUACAUCUACAUGCUCUUACACAAUAUGAACUUUCAUUUAUUCAAGAACAUAACACUAAUCCAAGCUCUUACUCUACAAGUCAAUUCAGUUUGUAGAUGCAAGCCAUUGUAAAAACUUUUGUGUUAUAAUUUCCGUAAAUGGAACAUGACAUUACUAAUAUAGAAUCAGCAAUGUUAUAUAACUUAUCAGACAAUAUAACAAGCACUUGGCGAGCAUAUAAGAUAAACUAAAACAAGUUAAUUAGAAAAUGAAACUAAAACCCAAGCUCCGCUAUUCAUUGUAGAAGCUUUAAACAUAAAAUAAAAGUAAAUCUAAAUACAUGAUUGUAAAACAUUAGAAUGAAUGUUGAAAUGAAAGCUAAAUUCAAUAGUAAUCCAAAUGAAUCCAUUUGAACUUUGUAAAUUCCGCAGAACAAAAUUAAUUUGAGUGAGCAAAGUCACCAAUGGAACAAGAACAGAAGGGCUUCAACUUCUAGGAACAAGAAAUAUUGCCGGCGGGACAAAAAUUGACAUUAAUGGUUACAAUACGAAUUAAAGAAAUCAAAACCUAUAAUUACAAGCUAAGAAAGAGAAGAAACUCAUAAUCACAAGCUUACCUGAAACGAUGAGAGAGAUAAUAAGAUGAAGAAGAAGAUCGCCGCCGUUUUACGCCAUUCUCCGGCUACCAGUAAGGUUUAGGAUGGCCAGGCACGCACGAGAGAGAAUUUGGGACUUUGGUUUUGAAAAUAUUGACUUCAGCAAAUAGUUUUCUAUUUAGAAACAAAUUUAUAACUCUACCGUCAAAAUAAUAGUAUGCCAAUUGGCUCUCUACCGUCACGUGGUUAGUAACAUAAGUGAGAGCAGUCUAGCAGAUAUUCCCGCGGGGACAUGACCCUCGAGAUUUUCCCAAUUCAGGAGGGUAUAUGAAUUGCUAGAGAUAUUUUGGCAAUUCUAAUUACAAAUGUUGCUUCUGAAUUAGUUUUUAGCACCAGUGUUAGAGUACUGUAACACGUUUUAUUCAAGCACAUUGGAGGCUUUAAUAUGUUGUCAAAGUUGACUACAAGCUUACAAUGGCAAUAUGAGUUUAUUUUACAUUGUAAUUAUAUUAUAUAAUUAUUAAUAUUUUCACUUAGAAUUUACAUUACUUAUAUUAUUUUUGUUGUUUUAAAUUUGAAAUCUGAGGCUAUCUCUCAAUUUGUCACAUUUCUCGAGGAAGAACAAGAAGAGUAGGAGACACAAGAGGUAAAUACUUUUAUUAGAAAUAUUGAUUAAGUAUCUAUAUUCAUUUCAUUUAUCUCAUUGUUGAUAUAAAAGUAAUUUCUUUUUUUUUUAUUAUAUGAUUUUGAAGAUUGCCGAAGAUAAUUAUUAUGGUGAUUUAUACUUUGUAAUGUGACUUUUGUAAUAGAUUAAUGUUAAUGUAAGAUAUAUCGUCAAACUUUAUUUUUAUUUUUUAUUUUAAUAUGAUUAAAUUAAAAUUUAAAACUAAAAACGUAUCAGUUAUUCGACAAUCGAGGACCUUUAAGGAUCCCCUAUUAUUAUUUGGGGAGGGGAGGGGGAUUCCCUAAAGUAAUUUUGUCGGGAAUGGGAAGAGGACAUGGAUAUAUGCAGAAUAUCGGGAAUGGGUACGGGGAGAUCAGUCUCUUCCCCUCCCCUUUCCAUUGCCAUUCCUAACAAAGUUGGCAAUACAUGUACGGGCCGCUUUUGUAAAAUUGCUUUAAGGGUCGUUUGGGAUUGCUUUUGGGAAUAGCAUGCAAGAUAUAUAUAAAAAAUAAAAUCGUAGAAUAACUUUUACCUCUAAUUCGAUUUUUUCUUCUUUUUUGUAAAUUAUUAUGCAUUUAUAUUAAAGUCACUGUGUAUGAUUGGAUUAUUAAAAGUUAUUUGAGAGAAUAUGAAUUGACUUAAUAAGUUAUUACGUGAUUGAUGAUGAUCAGAGCUUACCCAACUUAGGAGGAACGGGCAUUAAGUGGAAAAGACUCGAGGAUGACUUUGCAGAGCGAUUUCCCACAACACCUUUUUGGCAGUCUUAAACUACUACAAACAGUGAAUAUGAGAUUGUUUUCACCAAAUUGAAGAUUUUGUAUCUGUAUGAUUUGGGUAGUCUCACAAGUUUCUGCUGAUAGUCUCAGAAGUUUCUGCUCUGCCAAUUACACCUUCAAGGAAUCUUUGGAAGAUUUAUCUAUAAUUGGUUGUCCCAAGAUGAAGAUUUUCACUAAAGGAGAAUUAAACGCGCCUCUGAGAGUAAACUUCUACUAUGGAGAGAGAGAUGAUCAACAGCUUUGGGACCAAACUAAAUUCGUUAAUCAUUAGUUUUUAACUUCAUUACUGUAUGGAAGUCCUGUCAAAUUAAAUUGCUGCUGUUAAAUUUAUUAAAUCUCUUGCUUCCCUGCAAAUCUCUGUGUGCUUUAAUUUUAAUUGAAACUAAUGAAUGAAAAUUUUACUUUCAGCUGUUGGAGGGGUCCUCAUCUUAUUCAACGAUGUAUGUGUCCUAAUGGCAUUGGCAUUUUACUUUAAUUACAAGCGAGUUGUGAAUUUGAAAAACAAAGUCCCGGUUAAUUCAAUUUCAUUUCAUUUUAUUUGAUUUCUUGGCUUGUUUUAUUGCUUCAUCUAAAUUGUUUGGAAUACACCACUAGUUUAUUUUUACUUUUAGAAUGAGUUUUAAUGUUUUGUUAUGAGAUUUAUAUGCUUAUUUUAUAUCAUUAAAGGUCUUAGUGACUUAUCUAUUUAUUUAUUUUUAUAUCAUUAAAGGUCUUCACUUAUUUAUUUAUUUAUUUUUUUGACGGUGUGGCUUUAUAAUGUGCUAUUUUUUUUUUAAUUUUGAAUUUUAUAAUUCCUUGAAAAUGUCAUUGAAAGGCCCAGCACUUUUAUGUGGAAACCAUCUCAUCCUCUUUAUUUCGAACUAUUAAACAACCAAAUGUAUCCUAACAUAUAUGUUGAGAAUCAAUCUACUGAUUAAGAUAUAUGGCAAUGGUAUUGUCUGUUUGCUAUAGUUUGAUUACAAGAGAACUUUUCCAUUUGUUAGUUGCCAUCUUUGUUGAUCUGUUAAUUCAGUCUUCUUCUGUUUGUCCUGUUUCUCUGUUUAUUUCAACCUUUCUUUCAAAACUUAGAAGGUAUGGAAAGAGCAAGUACUUAGAAAUUGCAAGAAUUAUAUCAAAUCAUGCAUAUAUGCCCCUGCCUAUGAACUCUUAGGAACAAUCGAAUAUCUUUCCUUGAAUAACAUAAAACAAAAUCUACAGAUCAUUAAACCAUCAAAAGUUAGCUAUGAACAACAAUAUUGACCCCACAAAAGAGUUUUCUAUUUAGAAACAAAUUUAUAACUUUAAAAUAAUGGCAUGCCAAUUGGCUCUCUACCGUCACGUGGUUAGUAACAUAAGUGAGAGCAGUCUAGCCGUCACAUAAACAGUCACAAAAGCAACUGGCUGUUGCAAAGUAAGGGGUGGCAGAAAUUCCUGCAGUGAUAGGGAUUCUCGGAAAUUUUCUCCAUUUGGAUAGGAUAAAGAGAUAAUUUUUUAUUUAAUUUCUUAUGCAGAGAAGGGAUGAAAAUAAUUUUUUUAUCUAAUUUUUUAUUCGAAAAAAGGAUGAGGAUACAGCGGAAUCCUCAUCCCCUCCUAAUUUCUUGAUUUUAAUUUUAUUUUUAUUUUUAUUUUUUAAAUUAUUUAUAAAUAAAUAAUAAAAUGUAAAUUAUAAAAUAUUAAAUAUUAGUAUAAAUAAAAAAUAUCAAAAUAAUUAUAUUAUUAAACUUUAAGGCCUAACUUACUGCAUUAAUAUUUGGAUGAGAAAGUUAUCCUACGGAUGAAAGAUUUUAAUAUUUUAAGUUGGUGAAAAACAAAUGCUCAUAGGUAUCCUAUAUUGGCACGAAUUGCUGGAGAUAUUUUAACAAUUCUAAUUACAAUUGUUGCUCCUGAAUAAGCUUUUAACACAGUGGUAGAGUAUUGUAACACGCUUCAUUCAAGCACAUUGGAGGCUUUAAUGUGUUGUCAAAAUUAGUUACAAGCUUAAAAUGGCAGUAUGAAUUUAUUUUACAUUGUAAUUAUAUUAUAUAAUAAUUAAUAUUUUCACUUAUAAGUUACAUUACUUAUAUUAUUUUUAUUGUUUUAAAUUUAAAAUCUGAGGCUAUCUUUCAAUUUGCCACAUUCAUCGAGGAAGAACAAGAGGAGCAAGAGACGCAAGAGGUAAAUACUUUUAUUAGAAAUAUUGAUUAAGUAUCUAUAUUCAUUUCAUUUAUCUCAUUGUUGAUAUAAAAGUAAUUUCUUUUUUUUUAUUGUAGGAUUUUGAAAAUUGACGAAGAUAAUUAUUGUGGUGAUUUGUACUUUGUAGUGAGAUUUUUGUAAUGGAUUAAUAUUAAUGUGAGAUAUAUCGUCAAACUUUAUUUUAUUUAAAAUUUUAUUUUAAUACGAUUAAAUUAAAAUUAAAAACUAAAAACAUAUCAUUUAUUCAGGGAUCGAGGACCCACAGAGAUCCCCUAUUAUUAUUCAGGGAGAGGAGGGGAUUCUCUAAAGCAAUUUUGUCGAAGAUGGGAAGAGAGUAAGGAUAUAUGCAAAAUAUCGAGGAUAGGUACGGUGAGAUUGGUCUCCUCCCCAUUAUUAUCCCUAACAAAGUUGGUGAUACAAGUAACGGCCGCUUUUUGUAAAAUUGUUUUAAGGGCCGUUUAUGAUUGCUUUUGGUAAUAGCAUGCAAGAUAUAUAUAAAAAAUAAAAUGGUAGAAUAACUUUUACCUCUAAUUCGAUUUUUUCCCCUUUUUUUUUGUAAAAUAUUAUGCAUUUAUAUUAAAGUUACUGUAUAUGAUUGGAUUAUUAAAAGUUAUUUGAGAGAAUAUGAAUUGACUUAAUAAGUUAUUGCGUGAUUGAUAAUGAUCAGAGCUUACCCAACUUGGAGGAACGGGCAUUAAGUGGAAAAGACUCGAGGAUGACUUUGCAAAGCGAUUUCCCACGACACCUUUUUGGCAGUCUUAAACUGCCACAAACAAUGGAUGAUGCCUCAACUUGUUUUCCACAUGGUUUACUUGAGAGAUUUCAUAAUCUGGAAACUCUCAUACCGGGUCGUUGUUCAUGCGAAGAGGUAUUUUCAAACGGAGGAUACUUGAGAAAACAUGUGAGGAAGUUUGCAAUGAUAAAACAUUUAGAUCUGCACAAAUUUAAUCAUCUGAAGCAAUUGUGGAAACAAGACUCCAAAUUGCACUUCUUUUUUCAAUGUCUUGAAAUUCUAAAUGUACAUUUUUGUCAAAAUCUGUUAGGUCUAUGGCCAUCAUAUCAUCGGUAUCUUUUGGGAAUGUAAAAGAACUUCUAGUUCUUUUUGCAAGGAAUUGAUGAGCUUAGCAACAUCCCCCACAGCAAAAAGUCUAGAGCGACUCUUAUCAAUGGUGGUAUGUGGAUGCAGAGAAAUGAGAGAGGUGGUGAUAAAUGACGAAGAUGGAGCAGCAAAUUUAAAAGAAGAGUUGUUUUCACCAAAUUGAAGAUUUUGUAUCUGUAUGAUUUGGAUAGUCUCAGAAGUUUCUGCUGAUAGUCUCAGAAGUUUCUGCUCUGCCAAUAACACCUUCAAAUUCCCAUCUUUGGAAGAUUUAUUUUUACUUUUGGAAUGAGUUUUAAUGUUUUGUUCUGAGAUUUAUAUGCUUAUUUUAUAUCAUUAAAGGUCUUAGUGACUUAUCUAUUUAUUUAUUUUUAUAUCAUUAAAGGUCUUAAUUUAUCUAUUUGUUUAUUUUUUUUGACGGUGUGGCUUUAUAAUUUGCUAAUUUUUUUUAAUUUUGAAUUUUAUAAUUCUUUGAAAAUGUCAUUGAAAGGCCCAGCACUUUUAUGUGAAACCAUCUCAUCCUCUUUAUUUCGAACUAUUAAACAACCAAAUGUAUCCUAACAUAUAUGUUGAGAAUCAAUCUGCUGAUUAAGAUAUAUGGCAAUGGUAUUGUCUGUUUGCUAUAGUUUGAUUACAAGAGAACUUUUCCAUUUGUUAGUUGCCAUCUUUGUUGAUCUGUUAAUUCAGUCUUCUUCUGUUUGUCCUGUUUCUCUGUUUAUUUCAACCUUUCUUUCAAAACUUAGAAGGUAUGGAAAGAGCAAGUACUUAGAAAUUGCAAGAAUUAUAUCAAAUCAUGCAUAUAUGCCCCUGCCUAUGAACUCUUAGGAACAAUCGAAUAUCUUUCCUUGAAUAACAUAAAACAAAAUGUACAAAUCAUUAAACCACCAAAAGUUAGCUAUGAACAACUAUAUAAAAAUCAUUUGUUUCUCACCUUUUCGUGAGUCUGAGAAGUUGUAAAUUCUACUGAGUUUCUCACCUUUUUUUUGACAAUUGGAGUUUUUAGUUUAUGAAAUUUAAUGCCUAUAUUUCUCACAUUGUAGAAGUGUUUUGAAAAGAUGGUUUAUAUUGCACCAUAAAAAUGUGGUCUGAUAAACCAACAGGGGAGUAGUUUGAUCCAGUUACGUGAAAUGCAUGCAAAAUAAUAUUUUCUCUAUAGUUACUGAAGAGAAUUUUGGUCACUCUGGUGUGCAUUAUCUGGAAUAAAGUCGUUUUCCAGUUUCUUCAAAGUUUAUGUGCGGAGGACUUCCGGUUUCCAUCUUUAUGAUAUUCUUGACAUGCACUUCAUCCUGUCUCUCAAGUUCAAAUACUAAUAAAGAUGAGUAAAUUCAUCAUCCGUGUGUCUGCUCUUUCUAUGCAUUUUGACAUUUUUUAUUAAUGCGUCUCAAUGAGAUAUCUUGAUUAUAUGUAGCGAAUUAAUAUUCUGGCGUUUUUUGAGAUUUGAAGACGUAAUAAUUUCUCAUUGGAAAGCCUUUAAUUAUUGAUUUUCAUCAAAGGGGAUUGGUCUUGAAUGCAAAUGAAAUUUGAUAAAGGACCUUGACAUUUUUUAAAAUCAUCUAGCCUAGUAGUACUUUAUGUGUUGGAAGUGUCCCAGACCGAGAAAGAUUUCAACUUGGAGGAAUUGACAUAAAGCAAAAUGGUCUUCAUCAUCAUUUGUAUGGCAGCAGGGCCAGCUUCGUAAACUGUCAUUUUCCACGAACCAGCUGUUUUUCAAGUUGGAUUGCUCCGGAAUACUCACAAUCUGGAAAAGCUUGUAACCGUACAUAGAAAUAUUUUCACGUGCGGAGGUUGGGGAACGUGCUGAGAGGCUCACACAUAAAAACCUUAAAAGCUAAAAAUGGACUUUGGUGCAUUAAAAUUUUUAAAAUAUAUCAGAAGUAUCAUAUCAAUCAUACGAUAAGUAGAUAAUGUUAUAACAUGUGUUUAUUUAUUCUGAAAAAUUACUAAUCUGUAAUGUAUUUUAGAAUUCCUCCUGGUGGAUAGUGGAGCACUUAUGGAAAACAGAUUCCAUUUAUUUCUUCAAAAUCUUGAAAUUCUAAAGGUAUAAAAAUGUCGCCACAAUUUGAUAAAUCUUGUACCAUCCUCAGCAUCUCUCCGAAAUCUAACAGCAUUUACGCGGCUGUGCGGGACGAAUAAGCUAAUUAGUAUUUACUAACCCCAAACAAUUGAGAAGGAUACUAAAAUUUGGACCCUAUCACUUCAUUCGGUGUAAAUAACUAACUAAAAGUAGAUAAAUAAAUAGCUGAAAAUAUCACAAACUAUUUUAAAUUGAUUAUUAAAGUAAUGGAAUAUAUUAAAAUGAUAUAUAUAUAUGCGAGCGCGCGCACGUAUGUAUAUAUAAAAUAAAUAAUAUAUAUAGUCCUUUUUUGGUACAGACGCGUUCAUUUUUUCAUGCUAACAUGCUUUUAAGCCGUACAAUUUAAGAGAGCUAGUUGAAAGUUAGUUUUUAAUGUUAUUAAACCCUACGGCUUAAAAGGGUGUUUGCAUUAAAAAAAAAAAGAGAACACUAGCACCUAAUAAUGAUUAUAUAUAUAUAUAUCAAUUCAAGAUUUUAAAGUGCAAGAAAGUCCAAAAAAACUUUAAACAGUGGGGUUUUAAAAAUUUUCCGGACCUUUCUUGCACUUUAAGAUCCCGGAGGCUCUUGAUUAAAUCUUCAUCAUACUUGGAGAAAAUUAAAAAUGUAUGGAAGGAUAUUUUCAAGCUUGGUAAGGUCAAAUAAUUGUGGAGUUAAAAAAUUGAAUGAUGGGCAAGUUCAAACUACAAUACAAUUUAGAAACUUUUAGCGAAAAAUAAUAAGUGGAAAAACUUUAAAUUUCAUACAAAUAUGAAAUAUGUAUUAUGGGCUUGGCUAAGUUACGGUUUGUGUUAAUUUAAGGUUCAUGUAACUAACAACUUUAAUGAUAAAAUUGAAUAUAACAGUAGUUUUUUUCACAGAAAAAAUUAAAAAAAUAUAUGUAUUUUGGGCGAAACUUUUUGCGAAAAAUAAUGAGUGCCACGCUUUAUAACUUAAUAUGUAUUUUGGGCUUGGCGAAGUUACGGUUCAUGUAAUAAUCAAUUUAAUCAUUACCGGAUAAAAUUGAAUACACCAGUAGUGUUUUUCCGCGGAGAUAUCGCCAAAUUUUGUGUCAAAUAAAGAAUAAAAACCAUAAAUACCAGUAGUGUCCGAUUUUGAAAGCAAAGCAGCAUACAUAUUAACUACUAGGCUUUGAUGGUGGUUGCAGUAAAAAGGAUUAAAAGAGAGAGAGAGAGAGAACUUGAAAACUAUGGAAUGGAAGAUAAAUCAAAGUUAUAAAUUUGGACUCAAUAGUUUUGAUGUUCAAUCAAAUAUGGAGGGGCGAUUAGAAAUUAUCAAAAAUUUAGAGGGAUUUCAACCGUUCAAUUCAUUAUUAGGCGUUGUAGACUGCGGGGAUGCAGAAAUUUCCACAGGGACGAUGGCCCCGAGGGAUCUUCCUCAUUCGGGAGUUUGAUAAUUUUAGAUCUAAUUUUUCUAUGUGGAGACAAGAAUCUGAUAAAUUAAUAUGUGUGGGUGUAUAAUUUAGUGUUUGCCCUAAUAUUUUAUUUGGCUCCACAUUUUUCUAUUUCCAUCUUUAGUUUCUAUUUUUAAUUCUUUUUUUUUUCAAAUUUAUAGUAAAUACAUUUAAAAUUUCAAUUGUAAUAGUGUGAUGUAAAUAAAAAAUAUCAUAAUACAUUUAUAAAAAUAAUAUAAAUAACAGCCAAUAUAAAGUAAAUAUAAACACUUUAAAAUUGACAAAGAUAAUUUAAUUGAUGGUUUAUACUAUAUGACAUUUAUGGAUGAGUUCAACUUUGAAGAUUUACUUUUGCUUAAUUAGUUCAAAGAUUAUCUUCUCAUUUGAUGACAUUGACUUAAUUUGAUGGAAAUGAUUUUAAUCACUUUAGUUAAUUUGAUAUUUUUUGUGUUAAUAUGAUUUUAUAUUUUUACUUUAAGAUGAUUAAAUUAAGAAAAAAAAGAAAUUAAAUAAUCAGAGAUCGGAUGCCAUAAGAGAUCCCUUUGUAUUAUUUAGAAACAUCCAUCCCCUCGUUUCAAGUAAUUUUGAAGGAAAUGUCUAGAGUACAAAGAGAUAGACAGAGUAUUAAAGAUGAGUAUGGGGAAAUCAAUCCCCUCUCCUUCGCAUCUUAUUGACAUCCUUACAUAUGAGCCCAAGGGGAAAUGCACCGUGCCUGAUAAAAGUAAAAUUAAAAAUAAAAAAUUUCUUUUAUCAAAUCAUUCUAUGUGGUGGAGAUUAUUGUAUAAUCAAGUACACAUGGCAUUUUUAAAAGCUUUUUCUUUAUUUAAAGCUCUAAAGGUCUGCCUAAGAGUCAAGGUUGGUGCCGUUCUUCUAGAAGAACAACCCGUAUCUUUUGAUAUUCAAAGUUUGAAUAUCAAGUUCAAACUUUAAAUUUUGAAAUAAUAAUAAUAAUAAAUAUAAAAAGUGCCCAAAUUUUUAGCUAUAAAUAGAGGGGUUCACCCCCUCAUUUCAUUCAUUCUAUUCUUUUCUUCUUUAGUUCUAUAAUGAGAGAUUAAGAGUUUUAUACUCUUGAGUGACUAGUGUUUGGAGAGAUUGGGUGUAUUAAGGUUUUGAGAAGUGAAACAAAAUACUAAAAUACUUAUAAUCCUCAUUUCACUAGUAAAGUUUUAUCCUUUUGUCCUUACCUAUGGGCAUAAGUUAAAAGUCGAACCAAAUAAUUUAUGGUGUCCUCAGUGUGCUUGCUCUUCAUUUUCUUCCAAUUUCAUUUUACUCGCGGCCCUACUUCACAAAUUAAUUUUCUAAUAGUGGUAUCAGAGUCGGGUUGUAUUUUUUGGGGUCAAGAUACUGUUUACAUAUAUUGUACUGUUCAUGUAUAUGAUAUUGUUUCUGUAUACAACACUUUAUUCAUAUAUACAGUUACUGCUCAUAUGAAAUGGUAGGAAUCGAUCUUAGCAAAGGUAGCUCGUGGUGAACAAUGAUGGCGGAAAAAUACAAAAUUGAGAAGUUCAACAAAAAUAAUUUUUCGUCAUGAAAAAUGAAGAUGAAAGUUGUAUUGAGGAAGAGUAAUUGCUUGGCAACAAUUGAAGAGAGGCUCACAAAGAUAACUGAUGAUGACAAGUGGAAUGAGAUAGACAAUAAUGCCAUUGCAAAUCUGCACAUACCACUUUCAAAUAAGGUAUUAUUCAAUGUGGUAGAGUAAAAGAGAGCAAAGGAAAUAUGGUUUACUCUCACAAGACUAUACGAGGUCAAAUCACUACAAAAUAAAAUCUUUUUAAAGAGGAGGCUUUAUACUCUUCGAAUGACGGAAUCUACAUCAGUGAUCGACCAUAUCAACACUUUAAAGACUUUAUUUUCAUAACUUACAACGUUGGGUCAUAAAAUAGAGGAAAAUGAUCAUGUAGAGCUUUUACUUCAAGGUUUACCAGAUUCGUAUGAUUAAUUCGUCAUUAAUCUAACUAAUAACAAUCGAGCAAACAAGUUAGUCUUUGACAAUAUGGCAGCCUCCGUAUUAAAUGAGGAGAGUAGCAAAAAAUAAAAAAGAUAGACAGACAAGUUCGCAGCAAGUAGAAGCGCUAUUGAUGAUGAAAGGAAGAUCCAUGGAACGUGGCCCUAGUGAGAGCCACAAUCACAGUAGAUCGAAAUCAAGAAGUAAGAAGAAUGUUAAAUGCAACAACUGUGGCAAGAAAGAGCAUGUCAAGGAAGAGUAUUGGAACAACUAGAAGAGAAGAGAGGGUAAAGAUCCUGAGUCAUCAAAUGCUCAAGGGUAUGUAGUAAGUACCUCGUAUAAUGGAAAAAUUCUCUACAGUAAGGCAACAACUGCUUCAAAAGGCAGAAAACCACUAUAUGACGUCUGGCUUAUAGACUUAAUAGUUGUUUGGCACAUGAUCUCUCCAAGAGAAUGAUUUCACAAAUAUGAACCUAUUUCAAGAGAAUCUGUAUACAUAGGUGAUAAUCAUGCCUUUGAGAUCAUUGAUAUUGGUACUGUCAAAAUAAAUAUGUUUAAUGGUAUGGUUCGCACAAUUGAGAAGGUAAGACAUGUCAAAGACUUGAAAAAUAUCUCUUGUCUUUAGGACAAAUAGAUAGCCUUGUGCACAAAACUCAUGUAGAAAAUGGGAUCAUAAAGAUAGUCAAAGGCACACUUGCAUUAAUGAAGGUGGAAAAGAUCGGUGCUAAUCUAUUCAUGCUUAAAUGGAAACACUACAGAAAGCUUUUGUGUGUGUCACAUCAAAUAGAGAAAAUUCAGCGAUGAUGUGGCAUCUUAAACUUGGCCACAUGUCGAAACAAGGAAGCAACAUAGAUGAAAGUUUAGCAGAUCCACUUUCAAAAGUAAAUGUAUUUUAGACUUGAUUCAUUCUAAUGUUUGGGAAUCAAUUGAUAUAUCUAUGGGAGGUGCAAAGUAUUUGGUGACUUUUAUUGAUGAUUAUUCUAGGAGAUAUUUAGUGUAUCCAAUCAAGAAAAGGUCAAAUGUAUUUCCAUUGUUCAAAGAAUUCAAAGAAUAGAUUGAACUUAAAUCAGGGCAAGGGAUCAAGUGCCUGAGGACAGACAAUGGUGGAGAGUAUACAGAUAGCAUGUUUCUUGCAUAUGUAAGUAAGAAAGUAUCUAGAGAUAAUUUACAGUGGCAUACACUCCUCAAUAAAAUAGAGUAGUAGAGUGAAAGAACAUGACUCUUAUAGAAAAAAUAAGAGUUAUGUUGAGAACUGCUGGUCUACCAACUCAUUCUAGGCGGAAGUAGCAAAAACUACUUAUUAUGUGGUAAGUGGGUCAUCAUUCAAGGCAAUCGGGUUGAAGAUUCCAAUGGAAAAAUGGACAGGAAAGCCAACUGAUUACUCUCAUCUCAGGCAUUUUGAUGUCCUUUUACGUGAUAUACGAUACCCAAGUGAGAUUAAAAAUGGAUCCAAAAUCCAAGAGAUGUAUCUUCUUAGAAUCUAUUGAUGGAGUGAAAGGGUAUUAUCUGUGGGACCUCAAUGCCCACAAGAUCGUUAUUAGCAGAGAUAUUGUCUUUGUAGAAGAUCAAAUGCAAAAGAGAGAUAUGGAUGAUAGCACUAUUAAAAUUUAGAGAUUGUGCUAAUAUAUGUUGAAAAUAAUCUGGAAAAUGAAGAUUCAGAUUUUUUUGAAGCAGCACCAAAGUAUGAGAACAAGAACCAAUCAAGUCUGAGGCCCCAAAAGUUUGUUGGUCAACUCGUGAUAGAUAAAUGUAUGUGUGGCAUUUGGAUUAUGUCACAGAUAUCAAUUUUGCAUACUGUCUUUUAAUAGAGAAUGGAAAGCCAUCAACUUUCUAUGAAAUUUUAAACAGCUCAGAUGUUACUUUGUGAAUGAUAGCAAUGCAGGAAGAAAUUAAGGCUCUACACAAGAUUAUGACAUAGGAACUCGUACUACUACCAUAUAAAAAAAAACCAUUGGUUGCAAAUGGGUUCACAAGAUCAAACGUGAUGGUAAUAACCUAGUGGAGCGAUAUCGUGAAAGAUUGGUGGUGAAAGAAUGUAUUAACGUCAAUGAGAUAUUUUCUCCAGUGAUUUGACCCAGGACAGUCAGAGUGGUCUUGUCGAUGUGUGCUACAUUUGACCUAUAUUUGGAGCAGUUAGAUGUGAAAUUUUCAUUUCUUCAUGGAGAACUUGAAGGAAAGAUUUAUAUGCUCUAACUAGAAGGUUUUACUAAAAAGGGACACUUGGUUUGCAAGUUGAACAAAUCUCUAUACGAUCUCAAACAUGCACCGAGAUGUUGAUAUAAGAGAAUUGGUCAUUUCAUCAUAAACCUUGGAUACAAUAGAAUCAUUUCAUACUGUUGUACAUAUUACAACAAGUUUUAUAAUAAUGAUUUCAUCAUUCUACUGUGGUAUGUGGAUGACAUAUUGGUAGCAAGCCCCAACAAAGAUCGAGUCCAAGAACUGAAGGCACAGUUAACUAGGGAGUUUGAAAUAAAAGACUUAGAACCAGCAAACAAGAUUUUAGGGAUGCAAAUUCACCGAGAUAGUAAUAGCAAGAAGAUUUGGCUUUCUACCCCGCUUCUUAUUAAUUUCAAGUUAUUCUUAAGUAUUCAUCUAGUAAUGAAGUAGAGAAGAAGAGAUGUCUUGAGUACUGUAUGCAUCAGCAGUGGAAAAUUUAAGGUUUGCUAUGAUUUGUACAAGUAGUGGGAGCAGUUAGUCGAUACAUAGCGAAUCCUUGCAAAGAACAUUGGAAGACUAUUAAGAGGAUUCUGAGAAAUAUCAGAGGAACAUCAGAUGUUGCAUUAUGCUGCGAAGGAUUAGAAUUUACUGUCAAGGGCUUUGUGCAUUCAGAUUUUGCAGAAAAUCUUAAUAAAAGGAAACCCACUACUGGCUAAGUAUUUACACCAGAAGGCGAAAUUGUUAGUUGGAUUUCAAAAUUGCAGACCAUUGUGGCUUUAUCAACAACAGAAGCAGAUUACAUAGCAGCUACACAAGCUUGGAAGGGCUAUUUGGAUACAAAGGUUACUGAAAGAGCUUGGGCAUAAAAAUUUUUAUGGUUUGUGAUAGUUAGAAUGCAAGGAAUCCAACCUUUUAUUUCAGGACAAAGAAUAUAGGAGUACAAUAUCACUUCUUCGUGAAGUAGUGAAAGAUACAAGAGUGGAUACCAAGGAGAACUUAACAAAUGUUUUGCCCAAGCCUAUCAAUGCUGAUAAAUUUGUUUGGAGUAGAUCAUUUUAUGGCCUAGUAGAGACAUAAGCAACAUGAUAGCGACGAAGCAGAAAGGAUGGUGUGGAGAUUGAUUGAUUCUCAAUCAAAUUUCUAAGUGGGAGAAUGUCAAAGUCAAUGUCACUUUUCUAGAAGAGUGACCAAUACCUUUUGAUAUUCAAAGUUUGAAUGUCAAGUUCAAACUUUUAAUUUAAAAAAAAUAUAUAAAAAUAUAAAUAGUGCCCAAAUUUUUAACUAUAAAUGAGGGGUUCACCCCUGCAUUUCAUUCUUUUCUUCUUCAAUUCUAGAGUGAGAGACUAAGAGUUUUAAUGCUCUUGAGUGAUUAGUGUUUUAAGAGAUUGAGUGGAUUGGGGUUCUAGGAAGUGAAACAAAAUAUUAUAAUACUAGUAAUCCUCAUUUCACCAGUAAAGUUUUAUCCUUUUGUCUUUACCCGUAGACGUAGGCUAAAAGUCGAACCAUGUAAUUUUUGGUGUCCUCUAUGUGCUUGUUCUUCAUUUUCUUCCAAUUUCAUUUUAGCUGUGAACCUACUUCACCAGUCAAUUUCCUAACACUGAUAGGGGCGGAUCUGCAUUGGGAGUUAAAUAUAUGAAAUUUUAUUAAUUUAUGACUUUUUCUAAAAUUUAUUUUUUUUGUGACUUAUAUAUGAUUUUUAAGCAUUUACAUUUGAAUAGAAAAAGUAACUUUUGUGACUUUUAUUGAAUAGGAAAAAGUCUAAAUAAGAAUUAAAUAUAUAUUCUAAAAAUAUUUUUAUAAAAUAUAUUUAUUUCUUAAACUAUAAAAUCUAACUACUUUUUUUUGUUUUUAUUUGUAAAAAUAUAAAUAUCAAAUAACCAUAUUUAAGAUAAAUAAGAUGUCACUUAUAUUUGGGUAUUAAGAAAAAGAAAAAUAAAUAUAUCAUUCAUAUAUUUGUACUCAGCUCAUUCAUGCUUACGAAAAAUUUAUACCUAUUCAGAUUAUAAAAACAAACAAACAAAUAAACAAACGCCUUAGCCUAGCGUGGGCAAUUGACUUUACUGAAAAAUAGUUUUCAUUUAAUUUUAUUUUAAUUUAUGGAAAAUUUUUCUUUUAAUGUGGCAAUUUCGUAGACGACUUUCUUAGUGGGAUUAAUUUUAUAACGCAAGUUUAUUUUUCUCACAUUUGAAAUCUGUAAUUGUUUUUAUUUUUAUUCAAAAGAUUAUCUUAUAAAUCAAUCUCCAGGCUCCGCCCUUAUUUCUAAGUAUGAGACGUUCGCAUCAUUAAAAAUGGGGAAGCAGCAACAACCUACUGGCCAAUAGUAUAGGAUAGGAGUUAUUAAUGCAUAUCAGCUAUUUGGUGAAAUGCUCACAAGAAAUGGAAAUUUGACAUGUAUGCAUUUCUCGAACUUUACCAACAAAACUUUUAUAAAAGCAUAUUUGUGAAUGAUUUUCCUGAAAUUUAAUGUUUAUCAUCUCCAAUCUUUUUACUCCUCCAGUCUUGAGUAAUUAUGGUGUUGCCACCCAUGCAUGCUUAUAGAUGCUUUGGUUCCUGAGAUAAUUAGUUCAUCAAAUUAGCAGCCUUAGCCUUAUAUUUGCAUUUUAUUUUUGUCAACGUUAACUGGUUAAAUUGAAUCAGUAGUGAAACUGAAAUGAAAGUAACUGAAUGACCCGAAUUUAAAAAUAAUAAUAAUUUUGUCAACUAAAUGAUCCUUCUGUUUGCUUUAGUAUUAUUUUUUUCCCCCUUAUCAAUUCAAGUUUGAAAGACAAGCAAUGUAUAUACCUAAACUGAAGUUUAUGGUUUCUCCGUGCUCCUUGUAUUACAAGUAUCAAAGCUGUGACUUCACAUGAACCUUAGCAGAAGCUUCUGUGAUAUUAUUUAUGUAGCUUUUAACUUUAACAAAAGCAUAUGGAUUUUUAUUUUUUGACUUGAUUUGCCAAGAUGACGAUGAGUGGAAUUCAAUUCAUUUUCUAUUUUUGUAUUUUUUUUUUUUCAUUCUUUAAAACCAAUAAUUGUGUUUUGUUGUUGCAAUUUAAUACAUCAAUAACAUUUAUUGAAAAAUUGGCUAAAUUAAAAUGUGUUAACAUAAUGUACAAAGUAAAAUGCAACUUAUAAUUCAUAAAAUUUUAGAUGCUGAUCAGUCUAAAUAGAAAGGAUGUGUUUCACCUACUCUGUUUUGUACUAAUAAUCAACUACGCUUACCAAAUAAUAAUCUUUCUGCAACUGUCUGGGGGUGACUUUAUUCCCAUCCCUUGAUCUUUAUUUAUUUAUUCUUUGCUUCACUUCUGAACUUAGCCAAGGAACUUGAACUUUGGCUUUUCAAAUGGACUAGUUUUAGCUUUUAAUCUCGGCCAUGAUCUUCAUUGUGAAGAUGACGAACUAUUAUUCUUUUAUUCUUCACUUGUUGAAGUUACGAAAUAUAUAACUUUCUCAAAAUUUUAGCAAAUCGUUAUCCGUCAGCUUCAGAACCUCAUUAAAAAGUCAUCCUUUGCACUCGUUCUCAAUCAAGAAACACAUAUGCUCCCUUUUGCUGUCAACUCACUUGAAUUUCACUGGAUGAAGAAACCCUUUUCUCUUGGCAUCUGUUCUGUUGUAAUCUCCAGUCUUUGUUAAUUUGUUUCUCUCCAUUCCCAAUCUAGUUGUGGCAUGUUGUUGUCUCUGUUUGGUUCCAUAUCUACCCUUUGUACUUCCGCCGUGUGAAGAUAUAUCUUUUUCUCCAUCUCUUUUACCAGUCAAUAGCGCGUGUUUGGUAACGGAAAAAGGAGGAAAAAAAGGAGAGUGGGGGCAUUACUUUUAUCUCAUCCUUAACUUCCGAAAGUGGGAGAGAACAAGGGGGGAAAGAGGGGAGUGGGGAGUUAGCUAGGGGGGCUUUUUGGGCUCUCUUCCUCUCAUGGAAAAUUCUUUCUUUGACACUCUGCUUUACUUUCUGUAAAUUACUCGAAAAGCCUUGGGUUUUAAGGCAAUGUUUAUUAAGCCACAUGAGUGGUGGCACAAGUUUUUCCGAAAGGCCUAGAAACUAACUUGAGUGUCGGAGGGUUCACGCCGGAAAAACUUCCGGCGCCUCUAACCUUCUUCUAUGAUUUCAGGUAUUCCUAGGUUAAUCGCUAGUGGUUGCAGGACAUCUUGACGAUUGACCAAUCGAUUCUCUACCAAAUAAAUCUAAUACUGGUGUAGAAAUCUGACAUUAAGUCGCUGAUAGACUAGAUCAGAUUUGGGCAUCAACAGCGCGGUUGUUGUCUCUAAUAUUGUUUGCAUCUUUCUUCUGGUCAAUACAUAAGUUAUUUUGACUGAUUCACUUUUCCUCUAUUAUCUAAAUCAUUCCUUAUAUCAAUUCAAUCACUUUUGAACUAGAAACCUUUUCCUUGUUUCCAUCUUCUCACCAGAUUCACAACAGUUUUUAAGCUUUCUUUGAUUUCUCCGCUUCCACAACCAGAUACACUUGUCAUCUUUGUUGUUUCAUUUUCUUUUUUUCGUUUUUCUUUUUUUUUUUUUUUGCCUCUCUUUCUCUUUGUGUUUCGCUCGUCGUUUAUUUUCAUUUCGGAACUUUGAAAAAAAGAGGAUCGAAGAUGGUGGAAAGCAUUGUUACUGUUCUGUUAGAAGUUGUGAAAUGCUUCGCUCCUCCAACAGAACGCCAACUUUGUUAUUUGCGUAACUAUAAAGCCAACUUUGAGAAUCUCAAGGCAGAAAUAGACAAGCUCAAGGAUGAAAGUAAGAGCAUUCAGCACAGAGUUUCUGAGGCUGAAAGAAAAGGAGAAAAGAUUGAAGAGAAGGUUGAGAACUGGCUGGUUAGUGCGAACAACACCAUUGAGCAGGCAGCCAAAUUCAUUGAAGAUGGGGAGACAACAAGUAAGCGAUGUUUCAAGGGCUUGUGUCCUAAUUUCAAGACCCGCUAUCAGCUUAGCAAGAAAGCAGAAACAGAGGUGAAGGCCCUUGUUGAACUCAAAGAAGAAGCUAGGAGAUUUGAUGAUAGAAUUUUCUACCGUACCAUUGCGGAGGAGGUAUGGCUAAAGUCUAACAAAGGUUACGAGGCCUUUAAAUCAAGACUUUCUACUCUGAAGUCUAGACAAGAUGCAUUGACUGAUGUCAAUGUCAGCAUCGUUGGGGUAUACGGCAUGGGCGGCAUUGGAAAGACAACACUGGUGAAGGAGUUUGCAACGCAAGCCAGUGAAGAGAAACUCUUUGAUCAGGUGGUUUUUUCAGAGGUUUCCCAAACUCCAGACAUAAAAAAGAUUCAAGGGGAAAUUGCAGAGAAACUAGGUCUGGAGUUGUCCGAGGAGGCUGAAUCUAGAAGAGCUAGUAGACUUUAUGAACGAUUGAAGAAAGAGAAGAUGAUCCUUGUGAUUCUGGAUAACAUCUGGAAAUAUCUUGAUUUAGAGACUGUUGGAAUUCCUUUUGACGAUGAUCAUAGAGGAUGCAAAUUAUUAUUAACAGCAAGGGAUCGUAAUGUCUUGUUAAGUAUGGGAUCUGAAAAUAACUUCUUGAUUGGCAUUCUAAAUGAGCAUGAAGCUUGGAGGUUGUUCAAGAUAAUGGCUGGUAAUUUUGUUGAAAAUCGUGAGUUAAAAUCUACAGCAACAAAUGUAGCCAAGGCAUGUGGAGGUUUGCCUAUUGCUCUAACCACAGUAGCAAAGGCACUGAGAAACAAAGAGCUGCCUGUGUGGAAGAACGCCUUGCAAGAACUCCAAACGCCUUCAGAGGCAAGCUUCGAUGAAGGAGUACCAGUAGAGGCAUACUCAACAAUUGAGCUAAGUUACAAGUAUUUAAGAGGUGAGCAACUAAAGAAAACUUUUUUACUGUGUAGUCUAAUUACACCAACUUCAAUUAUGGACUUGUUCAAAUAUAGCAUAGGCUUGGGUGCAUUUGAAAGUGUCCAUAAGAUAGAAGAUGCACAUAACAAAUUACAUGCAUGGGUCCAUCAACUAAGAGACUCUUGUUUGUUGCUUGAGGAUGGUGGCAGUAAAUUCUUUUCCAUGCAUGAUGUUGUUCGCGAUGUUGCCAUUUCAAUAGCACGUCGUGACAAAAUUGCAUUUGCGGUGAGAAAUGAGGAUGUGUGGAACUGGCCAGAUGCAGAUGCACUAAAAAAAUAUUUUGCAAUUUGUUUAAAAGAUAGUAUUAUUAAUGACAUUCCUGAAGUGUUGGAAUCUACACAACUUGAAUUUUUAUUCAUGUCACCCAAGAACUCUUUUGUUGGGCCCAAUGUUCCUGAGAACUUCUUCAAAAGGACGAAAAAGCUUCGGGUUUUGGAUUUGACUAGAAUGCGGUUAUUGUCAUUGCCAUCUUCAAUUGAUCUUCUAGUAAAUCUUCGGACACUUUGUCUUAAUCAAAGCAUUUGGGAGACAUGGACACAGCCAUUAUUGGAAAGUUGGAAAAUCUAGAAAUCCUUGGCUUUGUGCGGUCUGAUAUUGUACAGUUACCUAAAGCACUAGGGCAACUGACUAAGCUAAGGCUGUUAGAUUUAAGAGACUGUUUCCAUCUAAAAGUUAUUGCCCCAAAUGUCUUAUCGAGCUUAAUCCGAUUAGAAGAAUUGUAUAUGGGUAAUUGCUCCGUUGAAUGGGAGGUUGAAAGAGCCAACAGUGAAAGAAGUAAUGCUAGCCUUGAUGAAUUGAUGCUUUUACCUUGGCCAACCAAUCUAGAAAUUGAUGUUAAAAAUGACAGUAUUUUACCGGAAGGCUUUUUGGCCAGAAAGCUCGAAAGGUUCAAAAUAUCCAUUGGAAAUGAGUCAUUCAUGCCUCCCAAGAGUAUUACAAGAGAAUGGUUUCAAAGCCGGCCGCACUUUUUGAUCAACAGUAAUCGUGAGAGUUUAAGAGAAUUGAAGCUCAAGCUUGAUUUUAUGGACAUUUUCUCCAUGAAAUUGCAGGGCAUCAAUAACGUUGAAUACCUAUGGUUGGACAAGCUGCAAGGUGUCAAGAAUGUUCUUUUUGAUUUGGACACAGAAGGUUUUUCACAAUUGAAGCAUCUCCAUGUUCAAAAUAAUCCUAACUUCCUGUGUAUCGUGGACUCAAUGGAGAUGGUAGCUUGUGAAGCCUUUCCUCUUUUGGAGUCACUUAUCCUUCACAAUUUGAUCAACAUGGAGAGGAUAUGUAUUGAUCAGCUCAAAGUAGAGUCUUUCAACGAACUCAAAAUCAUACAAGCAUAUAAUUGUGAUAAAUUGAGUAAUAUCUUUUGGCUCUCUACUACAAAAUGCCUUCCAAGACUUGAGAGAAUUGCAGUUGUUGAUUGCAGCAAGAUGAAAGAGAUUUUUGCAAUUGGGGAAGAAGUUGAUAAUGCAAUUGAGAAGAUAGAGUUUGCUCAAUUAAGAUCUUUGAGUCUGGGGAAUCUUCCAGAGGUUACAAAUUUCUGCCGUGAAGUAAAGACUCCUUCAGCAUCACCAAACAGACCAUCGUCACACACAAGCUCGCCCGCGAAUGGCAUGAGGAAGCGGACAUCACGCGAGCCUACCUCGACAAUGCCGCGAGGAAAAUGAAGAAAUGGGCAGAUACAAGGAGACGGCAUGUUGAAUACAAGGAAGGAGAUCAAGUCAUGAUCAAGCUCCUACCCCAACAAUUCAAGACGUUGCGGAAAGUCCACAAGGGGUUAGUGAGGCGCUACGAGGGACCCUUCCGAGUUGUUCGACGUGUGGGCAACGUCUCAUAUCAACUCCAACUUCCGCCAAGACUCAAGAUCCAUCCGGUCUUCCAUGUGAGCCUUCUCAAGCCAUAUCACGAAGACAUGGGAGAACCAAGUCGCGGAGAAUCGAGGCGCGUGCCAACUGCCGUUGUCACCGCAUUCGACAAAGAUGUGGACUACAUCAUUGCGGACCGCACGGUUUCGAGGAGGGGCGUGCCAGCACAUAGCAAGUACUUGGUGAAGUGGAAAAACCUCCCCGAGAGCGAAGCCACUUGGGAACGUGAAGAUGACUUAUGGCAAUUCGCUGAGCACAUCCAGAAUUUCAAGCACGAGAGCGCGACGAGGACGCCGCGAGCUUAGGUGGGGGAGGAUGUUGCGGACCGCCCAAUUCGCUAGCCCAAUUGCCCACAAUUUCGGGCUAGAGAGCCAACACAAGGCCAAGAGUGCUAGCUUGGCCCAAUUCCGGAAAGUUCUAGGCAAUUCUAGCACAUGUGAGCUUGCAAAUACUCUAGAAUUCUCCUUACAAUUCCAGCACAUGUAAAUAGCUAGGAAAUGGUAGAAUUCUCUAGAAUCUCUAGAGCUUGGCAAGCCUCCCCUAUAAAUAUGGGAUGGCAUUAGGCAUUUGUAUCCAACAAACACAACAACAAGCAUUGUAAUCUCUCUUUGUGCAAUACAAUUUCUCUUAUUCGGCUCAAUUGCUCUCUUCUCUAGUUCGAGAAGCUCUAGGCUUACUUAGCAACAUUCGGCAAAGUUGUCUAAGUGCCGCACGGGUUAGCUGCGCAAAAUACUCAUCCCGUGACAAGUGGUAUCGGAGCUAAGGUUUGCACGCACGCAAGUUAGCUCACGAAGCACAAUGAAGGCAGUAAACUCACCCGCCAAGCCAAUUGCGGGAAUUGCACAAGGCGUGCACUUAACACUCGGUACGUGGAGCGGAAAGCUUGAUUUCUCCAUCAUCCCCAUGGAUGACUUCAAGAUAGUCCUCGGCAUGGAAUUUUUCGACCAAGUCCAUGCCUUCCCACUGCCCGCUACAAACUCCCUAAGCAUCCUCGACGGGAGCAAAGCAUGCAUGGUACCCACGGAGCGAGGCAAGUCCGAGGAGAAGACACUCUCCGCCAUGCAAUUCAAAAGGGCUUUCAAGAAGGACCCAAGCUUCUUGGUCUCCAUCCGGGAACUAAACAAGGAAGGAAAGAGCAGAACGUCGCCAAGCCAAGUCCCUUCGCGAAUUCAAGCCGUUCUCAAUGAAUACAAGGACGUGAUGCCUCUGGAACUUCCGAAGAAGCUCCCACCUCGGCGAGAGGUAGAUCAUGCGAUCGAGCUGGAACAAGGCGCGAAGCCACCAGCCUUGGCGCCCUACCGCAUGGCGCCACCCGAAUUAGAGGAGUUGCGGAGACAACUCAAAGACUUGCUGGACGCAGGCUACAUUCACCCCUCAAAGGCCCUAUUCGGUGCACCGGUCCUCUUCCAAAAGAAAAAGGAUGGAUCGCUGCGGAUGUGCAUCGACUAUAGAUCGCUCAACAAGAUCACCAUCAAGAACAAGUAUCUGAUUCCCUUGAUCGCGGACUUGUUCGACCAACUUGGCAAAGUGCGGUACUUCACCAAACUUGACUUGCGCUCCGGGUACUAUCAAGUGCGCAUCGCCAAGGGAGACGAACCGAAGACAGCGUGCACUACAAGGUAUGGGUCUUUCGAAUUCCUUGUGAUGCCUUUUGGCCUUACUAAUGCACCUGUUACAUUUUGCACGCUCAUGAACAAGAUACUCCAACCAUUCCUCGACCGCUUCGUGGUCGUGUACUUGGACGACAUAGUGGUGUAUAGCACCACACUCGAGGAUCAUGCCCAACACUUACGACAAGUCCUCCAAGUACUCCGAGACAACGAGCUCUUCCUCAAGUUGGAGAAGUGCUCGUUUGCCCAACAAGAAGUGGAGUUCCUUAGCCACAAGGUUGCGGGCGGAAAGAUCAUGAUGGAGAAUGCCAAAGUAAAGGCCAUCCUCGAAUGGGAACCUCCCUCGAAAGUACCCGAGCUUCGCUCAUUCCUUGGGUUGGUGAACUGCUACCGCCGCUUCAUCGAGGGCUACUCAGCCAAGGCAGCACCCUUGACGGAUAUGCUCAAGAAAAACAGAACGUGGCAUUGGUCCGAAGAGUGCCAACGCGCAUUCGAGCAGUUGAAGAAGGCAAUUUCGGAGGAACCCGUCCACGCUCUUCUGGACCACACUAAACCCUUCGAAGUUCAAACGGAUGCCUCGGAUUUCGCCAUAGGUGGAGUCCUUAUGCAAGAAGGCCAUCCCAUAGCGUUCGAGAGUCGAAAGCUAAACGAUACGAAACGCCGCUACACGGUGCAAGAGAAGGAGAUGACCGCAAUCAUACAUUGCUUGCGGGUGUGGCGACAUUACUUGCUAGGCUCUCACUUCAUGACUAUGACGGACAACGUAGCGACGAGCUACUUUCAAACACAAAAAAAGUUGAGCCCGAAGCAAGCACGGUGGCAAGAUUUCCUUACGGAAUUCGACUAUUGGCUCGAGUACAAACCGAGGAAAGCCAAUGUCGUUGCAGACGCUCUAAGCCGUAAGGCCGAAUUGGCAACAAUUAGCAUGAGCCAACCAAAGUCCGACCUUGUCUCACGCAUCAAGGAAGGCCUCCAACAAGAUCCGCUAGCAAAGGAUUUGCUGGAGAAGGUGCUCGAAGGCAAGACAAGGCGAUUUUGGCAAGAGGAAGGCAUCCUCCACACCAAGGGAGAUCGGCUGUUCGUGCCAAGGUGGGGAAACUUACGGAAGGAGGUAAUCAAGGAGUGCCACGACUCUAAGUGGGCUGGUCACCCAGGAAUCGAGCGCACCACCGCACUAGUUCAAGCCUCGUAUUUUUGGCCGUACAUGAGGGACGACAUCGAAGCAGAUGUGCGAACUUGUCUUGUGUGCCAACAAGACAAGGUGGAUCAUCAACUUCCAGCGGGAUUAUUGGAGCCGCUACCACUAGCAACAAGGCCAUGGGAAAAUGUCUCCAUGGACUUCAUUACUUCGCUGCCCAAAUCCGAAGGUUGCGGAAGCAUCAUGGUCGUUGUCGACCGAUACAGCAAGUACGCCACAUUCAUUGCCGCACCAAUCGAUUGUAAAGCGGAUGAGGCAGCCUGCCUAUUCAUCAAGCACAUUGUGAAGCUUUGGGGAGUUCCAAGGAGCAUUGUGAGACCCUCGGUUCACUGGGCGUUUUUGGACGGAGCUCUUCAAGAUGUUGGGGACCGAUCUCAAGUUCUCGACAAGCUUCCACCCACAAACGGAUGGGCAGACCGAGUGCAUCAAUGGCCUCCUCGAAAUGUACUUGAGGCAUUAUGUGAGCGCUCAUCAGUGGGAUUGGGCGAAGCUACUCGACAUCGUCCAAUUUUCUUAUAACUUGCAGCGAAGUGAGGCUACGGGCAAGAGUCCGUUCGAGAUCAUCGUGGGAUUCCAGCCCAUGACCCCCAACGCCAUAGCCUCGACUUACGGCGGGAAAAGCCCCGCGGCACACAAGUUCGCCCGCGAAUGGCAUGAGGAAGCGGACAUCACGCGAGCCUACCUCGACAAAGCCGCGAGGAAAAUGAAGAAAUGGGCGGAUACAAGGAGACGGCAUGUUGAGUACAAUGAAUGAGAUCAAGUCAUGAUCAAGCUCCUACCCCAACAAUUCAAGACAUUGCGGAAAGUCCACAAGGGGUUAGUGAGGCGCUAUGAGGGACCCUUCCGAGUUGUUCGACGUGUGGGCAACGUCUCAUAUCAACUCCAACUUCCGCCAAGACUCAAGAUCCAUCCGGUCUUCCAUGUGAGCCUUCUCAAGCCAUAUCACGAAGACAUGGGAGAACCAAGUCGCGGAGAAUCGAGGCGCGUGCCAACUGCUUGUCACCGCAUUCGACAAAGAUGUGGACUACAUCAUUGCGGACCGCACGGUUUCGAGGAGGGGCGUGCCAGCACAUAGCAAGUACUUGGUGAAGUGGAAAAACCUCCCCGAGAGCGAAGCCACUUGGGAACGUGAAGAUGACUUAUGGCAAUUCGCUGAGCACAUCUAGAAUUUCAAGCACGAGAGCGCGACGAGGACGCCGCGAGCUUAGGUGGGGGAGGAUGUUGCGGACCGCCCAAUUCGCUAGCCCAAUUGCCAACAAUUUCGGGCUAGAGAGCCAACACAAGGCCAAGAGUGCUAGCUUGGCCCAAUUCCGGAAAGUUCUUGGCAAUUCUAGCACAUGUGAGCUUGCAAAUACUCUAGAAUUCUCCUUACAAUUCCAGCACAUGUAAAUAGCUAGGAAAUGGUAGAAUUCUCUAGAAUCUCUAGAGCCUCUAGCUUGGCAAGCCUCCCCUAUAAAUAUGGGAUGGCAUUAGGCAUUUGUAUCCAACAAACACAACAACAAGCAUUGUAAUCUCUCUUUGUGCAAUACAAUGUCUCUUAUUCGGCUCAAUUGCUCUCUUCUCUAGUUCGAGAAGCUCUAGGCUUACUUAGCAACAUUCGGCAAAGUUGUCUAAGUACCGCACGGGUUAGCUGCGCAAAAUACUCAUCCCGUGAUAGUAGGCUAACAUUUUCUUCAUAUAUAUAUAUAUAUAUAUAACAGAUUUUAUUCUAUCAUGCGUUCUCUUUUGACGUCAUACGUGGAAAAUAAUUAAAUCAUUUAAGAAUUGAAAGAAAAUGGAAAAAAGGAUAAAAAGAAUCUCACACGCUCACUAAUUGAGCUCUUAACAAGUAGUAUGAAUUAGAAUGCAUCAAACUCAGCUGUCAGUUGGAAAUUGAUUCUGACUUGCAUUAAUUUGUAAUCAAAGAAGAAAAUUUCAACAAUUUGUAAUCAAAGAAGAAAAUUUCAACAAGUGCUUCCUAUAUGGAUAUUGGAUCUAACGAGAAAUUCUUAUUUUUUUAGGUUGCGUUGCCUAACUUGGUGGCUUUGGAGAUAUCUGCAAUUAAUGUCGACAAGAUUUGGCAUUACAAUCAAAUUCUGGCGGCCGUGUUUCCUCACUUUCAAAGUUUAACACGAUUAGUUGUGUGGUACUGUGACAAACUGAAAUACAUAUUUUCAGCGUCUAUGAUCGGAAACCUCAAGCAGCUCCAGCACUUAGAUAUACGCUUCUGUGAGGAUUUACAGGAGAUCGUUUCUGAAAACAGAGCAGAUGAAGUGAUCCCUUAUUUUGUCUUUCCACAGCUCACCGUUCUGAUACUCCAAGGUCUACCAAAACUUAGAUGUUUAUACCCAGGAAUGCAUACUUCGGAAUGGCCAGCACUAGAAAAUUUUGCAGUGUGUCGUUGUGACAAAUUAAAAAUAUUUGCUGAAGAUUUAUCGCAGAAUAAAGAGAAUAAUCAACUUGAUAUUCCUGCACAACAGCCCUUAUUGCCGUUCGAAAAGGUAUGAAGUCAUUUUCUAGAUAUUUUUUUUUCAAUAGCUCAUUGACGACUUUUGACUUUGAAAAAUGUAACAAAACAUUGAUAAAUUAAUACUUAAUAAAUUAAAAAUUUUUAUUACAUAAUAAUCUUUGCUAGUCUUGACUAAGGGAUCAAUGUGGGAGAUUAAUAAUUAUAUGAACUUUUUUAGGUAUAGCAUUAUAAAAGAAUCCUUAGUUUUUCUUUAUACAACGACUUACAAAAUAAAUUAAUAAUUUAUUGUUGUGAAAUAAAAUAUUUUCAUGCAAAUAUAAAUCAACCAUUUUUCCCUAAUUUCUUUUUUACCUCUAAAAUUAACAUAUAAAAAAUCAUAUAAUGAAUUUUAUCACUAAUUCAAUUUUUUUUGGGGGUAAAAUUAAUAUAAAACAGAUACUAUAAAGUCACUGCUUGUGAUUGGAUUACUCAAAAUCAUUUGAGAGAACAUCAAUUGACCUCAUUAGUUAUUAUGAUUUAUGAUGAUCAGAUCUUACCCAACUUGAAGGACCUAUCAUUGAAUGGAAAAGAGGUGAAGAUGAUUUUGCAGGCCGAUUUCCCACAACACCUUUUUGGCAGUCUUAAACAACUAGAGAUUGCCGAAGAUAACUCAGCUUGUUUUCCAAUCUGGAAUGUACUUGAGAGAUUUCACAAUCUUGAAAUACUCUCACUGUUUCAAUUUUCAUUCCACGAAGAGGUAUUUUCGGAGGAAGGAAGCUUAGAGAAACAUGCGGGGAAGUUGGCAAUGAUAAAAACAUUAGAGCUGCGCUGGCACUAUCAUCUGAAGCAGCUGUGCAAACAAGACUCCAAACUUGGCCCCACUUUUCAGUAUCUUGAAAUUCUAAAAGCAUAUCGUUGUCAAAGUCUGUUAAUUCUAUUGCCAUCAUCAUCGGUAUCUUUUCAGAACCUAACAGCUCUGGUGGCUUUCGGUUGCAAGAAAUUGUUACACAUGGUAACAUCCUCCACAGCAAAAACUCUGGUGCGACUCGUAGCAAUAGAAAUAUAUGGAUGCAGAGCAAUGACAGAGGUGGUAAUAAAUGACAAAGAUGGAGUUGAAAAAGAAGAGAUUGUUUUCCGCAAAUUGAAGACGUUGGAACUGCGUGAUUUAGAUAGCCUCACAAGUUUCUGCUCUGCCAAUUACACCUUCCAAUUCCCAUCUUUGCAAGAGUUGUGGGUGAUUGGUUGUCCCAAGAUGAAGAUUUUCACUACAGGAGAAGCAAUCACGCCUCCAAGAGUAAAUGUCUGGUAUGGAGAGACAGCGGAUCAACGGCGCUGGGCUAAUAAUUAUCUAAACACAACCAUACAACAUUACAUGCUGAGAAGGUACGUAUAUACAUAUUACUCUUAUCUCCCAUGAUAAAUUUUUACAAAAUUUGCUUUCUUAAAUACAAUAUUGAUAAGAUAUUUGAUGAAUAAGAAUUUUACUUUCAGCUGUUGGCGGUGUCGUCGUCAUACUCUACGCAGUACGACUAAUUUCAUAGGCUUCUUAUGACUUGGAGUUGCAAAUUUUUAGAAGAAAGUCUCAACUGGUAAUUAAUUUUUAUUUCAUUUAUUUAAUCCCAUGGCUUGUUUCGCAAUUUCAUCUGAAUUAUUUAGAAUGGGUCCCUCGGUUUACUGUUAAAUUUGCAAUGCAAUUUUAAUGAUCCUUUCAGACUUUUAUGGACAGAUUUUGCAUAGUUGAAUGUCUUUUUAGUCUACUUUAAUUUGAGUUUUUCAUUUUUUUUUUAGAGAUCCCUUGUUUUCUAAAAUUUUAUAAUUCCUUGCAUACUUUUUAUGAUAAAAUUUCAUUAAAAGCCUUCAUAUUUUAUAAUUCCUUGAAAACGUGCAUACUUUUUCCUUUUUUUCUUUGCCAAUUAUUUAUUGUUAUCAUUGCUGUUCUUUUAUUUUAGUUUGUGCUCUGUUUGUUCAUUGGGUUUGCUUUUCGGAAAGUUAGAAGGCAAGGAAAGUACUUAGAAAAUGUUCUUCCCUAUGAACACAUAAUUAACAGCUGAAUAUCAUUCAUUGGAUUAAAAAAAAAUUAAAAUAAAAAGAAAGUAAUCAGCCCAUUAUUCCUAGAACAAAUCCUUAAACCAUCAAACGUUAGCUAUGAACAAGUAUAUUGGUCUAUAGCAUAUUCAUAAUAUUUUCUCUGCUGUUCCUGUUAAAAUUUCUCUACUCUAUGAUUGCAAAAUGUCUGGAUACUGAUGAAGAUUUAAGUCACUCUUCUUCUGUGAAUAAGGUCGUUUUUCUUUUUUCAUCUAUUCAAAGUUUCCAUUCUGAUGGGUUCCCAUUUCCAUCUUCGUGAUCUUCUUGUGAUAGUGUGAGUUACAACCUGUCUGUUUCCUUUGUUUGAUCAUCGCAAGUUCAAAGACAUUUUAUUCUAGCUAAGCUCUGUGUAUGUAUUAUAACAUUUUUAUUCUCAAUAUAUAUGACUCAAUGAGAGGUCUUUUAUUAUAUAUAUGUCGUGAAUUUCUAUUGUAUUUUGACAUUUGAUGGUGUAUCAUUGUCUCAUUGCAAGGUCUUUUAAUCACUCUGAUUCUCAUUUGAGGAGGUUGGUCUCGUCUAUGUGUAUGUAUUUAUAUCCACAAGAAAUUUGAUAAAUGGUCUUGUCAUUUUCUCAUCAAAACAUCUGGUGCUUCAUGGAGGGCUACCAGGCAUCAGGGCCAGAUUUUUAAACUCAAAGUUCUUCGUGUCAUUUUUUAACAAUAAUAAGGAAAGCCCAAGAGAAAAUCUAGAAGUCCUAAUAGGACCGCUUCUGCAUAUAUUGUUCAUUUUCUUAAUUACCUUCAUUAUUAUUUUCAUUUUCAAUCGAUCAAACUUCAGUUUCUUAGCAUUAAUCUAAUUAUGUACUUCAUCUUGAAAUCCUUAAUUUACUCAUCAAAAUGUGAACGCUAGUGUAUCAGUUUUACACUAUAAGAAAUAGUUGUAUUACCGACCAGACAUUUCCACAAUAUAAUAUUCAAAAUAAGUACUUUUUACAAAGGUAUUGUCAUUGACGAGCCGUUGGAUAAAUAUGAAAAGUAUAAAGAAAAAUCAAACGCCAAGAAAAAUCGUUUGUCGGAAAUGGAAUGUCGAGCCCAAAAUUACUCUAAACUUGGUAAAGUUAGAUUUUGGCCCAAUUUGUUUGAAAGUUUUAUACAUAAAGCACUUUUUUUUUUUAAUGUAAUUUGUGCAAUCUGAAGUGAGGUAUUGUAAAAUUAACAUAAAUAAAUGUAAUAUGCCAAUACUGUUUAAAACAAAAAAGAUAUCAUGAAAUUGAAAAAAAAAAAAAAUAAUAAUAAUAACAACAUUAAAAGAAAAAGGAAAUUACGGAGAAGAAGAAUCGCUUCUUGAUCUCAACUCUCAAUUUCAAUGCAAUCUAUGAAUCUCACUUCUCAAUGGGGCGAAGAAGGAUCUGUCUCCAUUCUUCAUUCGCAUUUACUCAGUGGUAAUUAAUUCUUCACUCUCACUCGUCUUAUUUCCUGCAGAUUUCUUCAUUUUCCUUCACUGUUCAUUUUUAAGGUUCCAUUGUAUUUCCAUUGAGUUUGCAACCGUUCAAUUGCUCGAUCCUUAUUAGUUUUUGGACUUCAAUGACCAUAGAAGAAAAUUAUCACAAACUCUUCCUUAUUUUGUCUUUGUUUUUUUAUUUGUUUAUGCAUGUUUCCUUUGCUGAUUUAUUUACUUAUUUCUUUCUCUGAUGUCCCAAUUUAUCCUAUGAUAUUUCAAUUGAUGUAUUACGUUCAUGUUAUGUUUAUGGAUGCUUGCUCUACUGUCCUAAUUUACAAUUAAAUUUUACUCCGUCCUUAGCUAUCGAUUCACAGUGGUGUUUCAUUAAUAUGUACUUGUCUUAUUUUAUAUUUCAUUAACUAUUAUUUCAACAAUUGCCGCAGGUGUCAAAUAAUGAAUUUGUAUGAGCUUCAGUCCAAGGUAAUUAUCUUUUUCAUUUCAUGUUAUUUGAUCUCUAGGUUUAUUUUAUCGUUUCAUCUAAAUUAUUUGGAAUGCAUCAGCUGGUUUAUUCUUAAUUUUGGAACGAAUUUGAUGCAGCGGAUGGUUGCGUAGGAUGAGUGGAGUAUCUCUCUAGGUUGCGUAGGAUGAGUGGAGUAUCUCUCUAGGGUAACAACUUGAGCUAUAAGUAUCUAUUUAGGGUGUAUAAUAUACAUUUCGAAGUUCGCGACGAGGGGAAACUAAUCUAAUACUGUAGCGCCGCAUUAGUCUCGUGGUUCGAUUGAAAAUUAUAUUUAUUUCAUAUUAUUUUACAAGUUUAAGAUCUAUUUUCCUAUUGUUUUUAGGAUUUUUAUCUUUUUUUUUUCUAGAUAUAGAAUUUGAGUAACAUUUAUCUUAUUUCAGUUAGGAGAAUGUUAUUAUGUAGUAAUAUGUUAGGUUUAGUUAUUUUGGUAAAUUUGUUAUAUUUAAGUUUAGUUUAAAAGAAGUCCAAAACCUUAAUUUUGUUAUUCAGACUUUCAUUAAUAAAAUAUAAAACUUUCUAAAAGAGAAAAUGUUCGUCUGGUACCUAUAUUUUAACUUCAAUGCUCGUUUAGUUAUUAUAUUUUAAAAAAUACCUCAAUAUACCUUGAUAUUAAAUACGUUACAUUUUUCCUUAAAUUUUAUUUACUUUUACAAUAAUAUCUUGGCAAUAAUAUUCUUAAAUUAAUUUCAUUUAUUUAUAAAAAAUUUAAUUGGAAAAUUAAUCAAUAAAUAUCAAUAUGAAAUAACCAGUAUUUUUUUGUACUUUUACAACAAUCUUGCCAAUAAUUCUUUAUAAAUAAAUCAAUAGCAGCCAUCUUAAAGUAAUGUUUAAUAUUCUUAAAGCAAUCUUACUAAUAAAUGCAUAAAAAAAUUAAUUUACGAAAUUAGUCCUAAAACUAAAAUAAUAACAUAAAAGUUUUUAUUAAUAUUUAUUUUGUUUAAGGCUGGUUAGAUGAAUUACCAUUUUUUUCUUUUCAUUGAUAUUCCCAAAAAUAUUAUUCCAACACAGUAGGGGUGUCUUGAGGUUAGGGAUGGCAAUGGGGAGGGGAGGGGAGGGGACUAAUCUCCCCGUACCCAUCCCCGAUAUUUUGCGUAUGUCCUCGUCCCCUCCCCGUCCCCGUCCCCGUCAGAAUUACUUGAGAGAAUCUUCAUCCCCUCCCCGAAUAAUAACAGAGGAUCCUCGAGGGUCCCCGAUCCCCGAAUAACUAAUACAUUUUUUUUAUUUUCAAUUUUGAGUUAAUUAUAUUAAAAUAAAAAAAUUCAAAUAAAAGUAAAUUUCGAAAUAUAUCUUACAUGAAUAUCUAUUUCAAAAGUCACAUACAUUAAAUUAGUAAGUAACGCAGCAUGCAAGGGAUACAAACUAUCAUGAACAAAUUAAUAGUCUAAUACAAAAUUGUUACAAAUAAAAUCGAAUUUAGAUUCAAAAUUAACUUUUUCAAUGGUGGCGUGGGCACUUUAUAAAUGUGGACUAUUCCCUUUACAGCACAAUAGUUAAGUCCGAGCAAAUCAAGAGCAAAUAUUAGAUUAGAUUAGAUAUUAAAAUUGUGAUUCGCUGUGGGCAAUUAUAACAUCUAAAAAUAAAUAAAUAAAUAGAUUUAAGUUUAAAAUAUUUAAUGAAUAUUAAAAUUAAAACAAAAUUUUUGGGCUAAUAGAAUCUACUGGUCUUUUUAAUGUCCUAAAUAAAAAUUUAAGACUUUAAUUUGUUAAUUAGGCCUAAAAGUUUAAUAAUAUAAAUAUUUUGAUAUUUGUUAUUUUUACCAAUAUUUAUAAUUUUAUAAUUUAUUUACUAGUAAUUUUAAAAAAUUAAAAUAAAAUUAAAAAUUAAAAUGGGGAAAUGGGUAGGGUAUGGGGAUUCCACCUCAUCGCCGUCCCCUCCCCAAAUAAGAAAUUGGGUAUGAAAUUAUCCCCAUACCCUCCCCAAAUAGGGAAAAUCCCCGAUGGUACCCGUCCCCGUGGGGAUUUUUGCCAUCCCUACUUGAGGUUGAGGCACUUUUUAAAAUAUAAGAACUAAAUGCGCUCUCAAGUCAAAAUAUAGAGACUAAAUGAACAUUUAUUCCUUUUAAAAAGCUUGUGUUUCUCUAUCUUUUCAAUCUCAAUGUUUUUGUUUCCGUUUCAUCAUAAGUUCUAAUGUUUGGUUCUCAUCUUAAUGUGCAAAUUUUACAUCAUUGAAGGUCUUUUGAUCUGAGUUAAGAUCAUAAAAUUAUACUUGCAUUGGUCAGGUUAUACGAAAAUUGUACAAAAUAAUAUUCUUAUAUAACUGUUGUCCUCUGUUAUUACGGAAUCCCCAAGUUCUGAAGAAGGUCGAAAUCAGGUCUCUCUACUGUGAAGCCCCUGGAAUAAGAGCUACAAAUGUGUUACCGUUGAAAGCAUGGCAGAAAACUUAGUACUUAAUUCAGACUCUUUGUGGCUUCAAUAUUUUACUUAACAUGAAAAAUUCUUUCUAGCUUGCAUCAUUGUAAAGAUAAAUUGUCGCAGUUCUGACAAUGAACAAGUAUAAAUGUCCACAGAGAAAAGUACUGAACAAUUAAUGUUAACAGCAAUCGAUUGGUGUGAGCGCCAACCACCAUUUUCAUAUUUAAGCCUUUAGAACAGCAAAACAAAAUACGGCAAGUGGCAACCACAUCAAAUAAUCAAAUUGUUGAUAGAUUUUGAAAGCUUUAAUUUGCUUGAUAUAUAUUUAAAUAUUUCAACAGAUGAUCUUUUCGCUACUCACGGGGCACGCUGAGUUAGAAACGGUUUGGAUGUCAAUAUUACUCCAAGUGCCUCAACCAAAUUCAGAAUGAAAAAAAACCAUCUGGUUACCUGCACUUUUGUUUAAGCAGCUAAUGAAGCUAAUUAGCACGAAAUAGUACACAAACUCGCGAGAAAUUUCAUUAGUAGAUCAUCAUCCUGGGAGGAAACCAGCAUCUUGACGCUUUUGUGAUCAAGAAAAUCUGCCAGAACCCCAAUUAAUGAAAAAAAAAUUAUAACAUCAUUUACAUGUAGUUUUACAAAAUCAACAGGACACUCACAGAGCACCUCCUACAGCUGGACCGGCAGUUUUGGUAAGCGACACUACAGUCAUAGCAAGUCCAUUAGCAGCUCCUCUUUGAUGCUGUUCCUUUUGUUGUGGCAUAAACCAACAAAUUAAAUUUAAACUUUGACACAUACAAAAUUUGAAAAAGCUGAAAGCAUGUAAAUGUACUAAACAAACAAAAGAAAAAAAAUAUUUACCACUGCUCUGUUUUGCAGAAGGAAUAAUCUAGUUAUUAUCGACACCUGAUGUUAUAAUUCAGGAAGAGUAAAAUAGAAUUACAACAUUUCUAAUAAAAAAAGACAUAAAAUAAUUUUAUACAUACUUGCUGAUGGAUAAUAUAACCUAAGUAUAUGGAUCAAUGAUUAGGAUAUCCACUUACAGCUAAAACAUUCUUCAUCACAGAAGCACAGUUUAUCAAAAAGGCAAGGCUGAACCCAGAUAGCAUUGCUAUGUAAGUGUAACUUGUCAAAAGCGGUAUCGAUAAAACCUGUACAUACAUAGAAAAUUAUGGGACCAAAACCAUGAAGAAAAGUAUUUUAUAAACAAAUAUGUUUGAAACAAACUAUCAAAUGGUCUAAAUGCCACAUGGUGUGUUCAAAAUUAUUGUUCUGUUUUAGUGACAAAACACUCAUCCCAUGACAUUGAGCUAUCAAUUCUCAUGGCUUCGUCACGCUUGAAAGGUUUGGUAGUUGUUCUGUUUUAUCUUCAGUUUCAUUUGUGAUCACAGAAACGUUAGGACUUGCGUGCAUGAAAGCACAUUAAAUCACAGAAAUUUUGUGAGAAAUGCCUGCAAGUGAAAUUUUAUCAGCAGUCUUGUAAUUUUCUAUUUUUGUUGUUGUCGUCAUUUUUUUACUACUAUUACUGUUUGAAAUUCUAGUAUUUUAGAUGUGAAAUUUAUUAUAUUAGAUAUUCGAGAUAUCUAUGAUGCUGAAUACAGGGCAUGUGUUGUCUAAAUUUAUUUUAUUUUGUUUGCUUCACUUCCAAUUUUCAAAAACUUUGAAGAAUGCUAAGAGAAGGAGCAAAGGGCUAAAGAGUCAAAUGUAACAUUGCUAUUAAUUUGUUAAUUGCCAUCAUUUUUAAUUUUUGCACUGUUUGUUCUGUUUACCCAUUUAUUUCAUUUGGUUUGCUUCACAUCUAUAUUUCCUAACUUAGGAGGGCAAGGAUUUUGUACUUGAGAACAAAUAGCAGUUACUCAAAAUGUGGCAACCACACCAAAUAAUCAAUUUGUUGAGAAAUUUUGAAAGCUUUGCUUGAUAAAAUUUGAAAGUUCUGAAGAAGAUUCAGGUCACUCGCGUGCAGCCUCUGGAAUAAGAGCUGUGUUACUGUUUAAAAGUUUUCAUGCUGUGGGGCUUCCAUCUUCAUUAUUCUACGAAUGCUUUACUUCACUACAUUGACAGCGUUGAAAGUGUAACUAAAACCCUUGCUUUCACAAGCAAGCAUCGAUUAAUGAAAAAGAAAGUCUCUCUCGAAGGUAAUUGACAGAGGAGCAAUCUUCUUACUCUUUAACUAAAUAUCAGAAAUACAAGGUUAAGGCUGCCAGGGUUGCGAAGGAGAAGGAUCGUUCCCGGAUUUUGCCUGCUUCAAGUUGUUGGGCUUGGUGAACCAAGUUGUGUACACGAAUUGCUUAUGAGGGCCCACAUGGUUGCAGACAAGCCUGAGCUUUUGUCUCUCCCUCAUGUCUCACAUUUUAUGAUGAAUCAAAUUGAACUCCCAACACGGUAGUUCAUAAAAUAUGAUUUUCUUCUUCCAAGUAAUCUUGUCAUUUCUCUCAUUUUAUUCAUUCUCCACUUUUCAAGUCUUCAAUCUUAAACUCAGUAAGGAUAUUAUUCAACUGCUUUUUCACUUCAGCUCCAGACAUCCGAGAAGGUGCUUGUCCCCACUCUCUAGAUUUAUCAAAAGGCACUAUAUUUUCGAAACCUAUGAUUCGUCGGUAAAAAUCGACGUUACCGACGUGACAAACCGAAAACUGAACCAAUUGAUUUUACUAUUUUUUUUAUAUUACUAUUUCGGUUUUUUAGAGAUAAAAAAACCACACAAAAACCGAACCGAACCGAUCGAUUCGGUUCGGUUUUUAAUUAAUCAGCUUUUUUUGCCCACCCAUAUCAUUAUGGAGGAGAGUUGAAGAAGAAUGGGAAAAUAAAAUUAUCGUUAUAACUAAAUUGUAAAUAAGAAAGAAUGCAAGGGAUUCAAUCAAAAAAAGACAAAAGAGGGGUACGGUGUCAUAGGGGUACCAAAGCUUUGCCCUUCUUGUUGAGCUUAAUAUUUAUUUUUAGUUAUUUUUUUAUUUUUUGUCCUUUACAAAGAUAUGAUGACUCUAAGUAUUUUAGACAUUUUUAACCCUAGUGGCAAAUGUUAGUUUAGUACAUAUAUUUUGAUUUAAGUGUCCAUUUAAUUUUAUAUUUAUAAGUUACCUAAAACACCCCUGCUAUUAAAUAUGUCACAUGCUUACCCUUACUUUUUCAUUUCUUUUAUAAUAAUACCUUUACAAAACUUUUUUAUUAUUCUUUUACUUUUAAAAUUCAUUUGGUAAAAUAAUUAUUAGUAAAAUUAUUGUAAAAAUAUUAGACAUUACUUUAAGUAGGCUAAUAUUAAUUUAUUUAUAAAAAAUUAUUAGUAAGAUUGUUUAACAGAUACAAAAAAUAUUAGUUCUUUCACACUUAUAUUUAUUGGUUAAUUUGCUAAUUAAUUUUUUUAUAAAUAAAUUAAUUAAUGUCAAGAAUAUUGUUGCAAUAUUAUUAUUGUAAAAGAAAAGAAACAAACAAUGAUAAGAAUGUAACAUAUUGAACAAUAAGAGUGUUUUUACGCACUUUUUAAAAUUUGGAGAUUAAACGGACACUUAUAUCAAAAUUUAGGGAUUAAACGAGUAUUUACCCAAUCAAUUACACUCAUAAUUUAUAAUGUUGAUAUUUGAGAUUAAUUACACUCAUAAGAGGCCAACUAUAAUGAAAGGGCACUGCUAUACCAACAAAUUUUAGUAACAUUGUAAAAAUGGCAAUAAGAUAGCCUGGAACAGCUAAUAGGUACAAAGAAAAUUAGCAAUAAUCAAUUGGCGAGAGCAUCAUCAUCAUCAUCAUCAUCAUAAGUUUAUGGCUACCCCAAAAACUGAUGUGGAACCCCAAAGAAAUAACUUGGUUGAAGCAUUCCGAAAACUUAAUUGGCUUGAAAAUUAAAAGGAUCUUUCUCUAGUUGCGGCGUUGAACUAAAAACGGCUUGAAUGUUAUCAAUACUCCAAUUGCCUAACCACGUUUAAAAUGAAGAAAACCACUGGGAACCUGAACUCAAACUACUGGCAUAAAAUAAUAGCAUUGGUAGGACCUAGCUGGCAUUACAAUUGAAAAACUACUGGAAUAAAAUAAUUUUUGGCGAGUGGAAGAGUAUUUAUGCUUUCAGUAAAAACUAAUGAAUAAAUAAAUAUUGGAUCGACAACUAUAAAUAUCUUGAACAAAAAGAAUAGAACACAGAAGAAAAGCAAAAGCACCAUCUGCAUAAAGAACCAAGAAUAACAACUGAAUCUCUCUACUUUUAUUAAUUAAUAACAACCAAAUUUAGAUAGAAAAAAAAAACAAUAAGUUUUCUGCAUCAUAAAAAGUAGACCCGAAUGAGGCAAUUCAUCAAGCACUAAACCUGCAUUCGAAACACAAACGAAUAACACUUAAGAGAAAGCGGAUUUCAAAUCAAAAAGUAAAUACAUAAAAUCAACAUUUAAUUCGCCAGUACACCUAAAUUACUCUAGAAAUUCAAAUUUAUUGCUAAUUAAACACUAUAAAAUAUAAAAAAAAAAAAAUCUAAAAACAAAAAUAUGUCGACAAUCAAAUCAAAAUCAAUACCUCUAAUUCGAUUCCAAGAGUCUCAGGCACGGGUCGCACGAUAGAGUGAACGAGCUUGCUAAUUGUUCUGCCUCUAUUUACAAGCUUAACUAUUCUUUUGCUCAAGUCAAUGUGACCUUUUAGCUUGUCACACAGACCAUGACGGCUCGACGCGGCUGACUUUGAUGAUGCUAAGAAUACGACUCUAUAAGAUCUCCAAGAAAAUGAUAAAUCCUUUUGAAGUUGUUGUGCUUGAGAAGGCGAGCAUUUAGGGUUUAGACUUUGAUGAAGUCGAAAGAAAAAACUACAAAAAUUGAGAAAGAGAGAGUGUGUUUUGACCUAGAGCUUCGAUCUUCAACUCAACUGUUUUGCUUCUGGUUCGAUCUAUCAUUAUUCAUUAAGAGGCUAGAGAGGUUGAGCUGCUUGAUCUGUUUCUGCUUUUGGUUUUGGCCUUUGUUUUAUUUUGGUAUUUUGUUUUGUUGAGAUACUGUGUCAGGAAAGAGAGGGAAACGAUUUUGUGAAGAAAGAGAAGAUGAAGACUUAAUAAUUUAUCUAAAUUUUAUGUCCAAAACGACAUCGUUAAGAAUAAAUGAAAUAAUAAAUUUCAAAAUAAAAUAAAAUAUAAAAUCUUCGCAUGAGUGAAGGUUUAUGAUCCUAUAAUAUCAAUAACUGUUGAUGCUGGUACGUUAAAAAUGUUAAAAACUACGUAAGUCAUCAAAUACUGAUAUUUUUUUAUUUAACAUUAAACAUAAUAUCAGCGAAUUGAGAAAUUUUAUAAUUCAUUAGUAGUAAUAUAAUCGAUUGAUGUAUGCAUAACAUGUAUAAUUAAAUUUAAUGUAACCAUUAUUUUACAUAAUGAUCUUUCACAAUAAAUACAUAAAUAUCACAGUAUCAUUUACUUGUUAUAUAACUGUUAUAAUACUUCUAAUGCAUUAUAGAAUUUAUCCAAAAAAUGUGAUUUUUCUUCUACCAAUAAUGUAUACUUAAUAUUAAUAUUUUCGUUCAAUCAUACAAGGUUGGUAACUUUAAUUGCAGUAACUGAUUCAAAUUCAGUAGAUGUUUCCAUUAGAUAUGUUUUUUUACUGCAUUGCAUAAAUCGAUGAAGACCCGUGUUGGGCUUACAUAUUGCUUCCAUUGGGCUGGACUAUAUCUGAACAGCGGCCUACACAAGUAUACAACAUAAAUCAAACCCGGCUCCCGCCUGUUUUUAGACAUGUUUGCACUAUAUUUAUUUGAUGAUGAUGAUGAUAAUAAUAAGAUCUCCCUAAGUUACAUGCAUGUAACUUACAACCAUCUCACAUUAAUAGUGAGUGGACCAACAUUAUUCACUAUUUAUGUGAGAGGGUUAUAAGUCACAUGCAUGUAACUUAGCAUUAGCCUAAUAAUAAUAGUUUAAAAACAUAUGUUUAUAUUUUUCAAAUAUUGUAUUGGUCAGCAUAUCUUUGCUCGCUCCUCAACUAAACUUUUCUUAUAAUUGUUCGUUUGCAUGCGGUCGUUAAACUCAUUUCAUAGCAAAUUUAGUACCACUUCAGUCUUCCUCUUUCGAGCUACGUAGUGGUACAAGAAUCUCCCGUAACAAUUUUUAGUUUAGUAUAGAUCUACCAUCAAAGUUUUAAAAUCGACAUAAAAAAUUUAUUCUUCCCCAAGAAUGCCUGAGAAUAGGCUUGGUCUUUUAGAUUUUCUAUUAAAUGAAAGUGUUGACCAAUUUGACCAAAUAAAAUUAUAAUUUCAUCCUUUAAUUAUAACGAAUAAUUAAUGUAAAAUGAUAAAUGUCCAUAAACUUUAUUUUAAUUUUCUUUUCUUACCCUUUGCUUUCUCUCUCCCCUUUCUAAUAAAUGUUGUCCAGUUAAAAAAUUUCGAAAGACUUCAUUUUUAAUCGAUUAUAUAUUUUCACAGUCAAUCUUUUUUUUUUCCUGGUCUAGUGAAUCGGUUGGUUCGAAAGAGAGUGCUUUCGACACACGAACCAUUUAAAGAAGCUUUAGACUACUAGGAUUAGGCAUUACUUGAACAUUGGGUCGUUAUAACUUGAAGGUACGUGAUUCAGAAAUGUAUAAUGGAGGUUUUCUAAGGUUGAUAAUUCAGUACUGUAUUUAUUUAUUAACUCUUUAGCAACAACAAAGGCAUCUUUUUUUUUUUUUUUCUACCUGAGGUAAAAUUCUUUGAUUAACAAAACAAGGAUCUAACAAAAGGGUACAAUUUCCAGCCAAACCAAUCACGGGUUGAACUAUUAAUUUUUCGUGGCUUUUCAAUUACUCGAGGCACCAAAUCAAAAAGUGAAAAAAAAAAAAAAUACUUAAGGCACAAUCCUGUGACUUUUCAACCUAUUAAUCCAUGUGAUAAACGAAUUCUUAGAGUUCCUGAAACCCAAGAACCCGUGCUCCUUACUCUUGUUCAUGCUAACAAAAUAACCCGCACCAAUAUUCAACACCACAUCUGCAUAUGACCAAACAGCAACCUCAUUCAAUUUUGUUGGCUGCAGCUGAUUCUCUCUCACAAUCUCCUCCCACGCACUUUCUUUACCUUUCAUAACUUCCUCCAAUCUCACCCUCUCACUACCCAUUUCUUCUCCAAACCCAUAAUUCUCAAUCUCAAACUGCUCAGCCAACACUUUCCAUAAAUGCUUCCACUUAAAAACAUCUCCAUUGGUGCAAUUGAAAGCUUCGUUUCUUGCAUUAGGAGCCACUGCCGCCCAAAUUUCCUGCUCCGCAACCAACUCUGCGUCUGAAAAUUCUUGGAAACCUUCCCAAGCAUCUCUAGUCCCAUGAAAUACAAGAGGAGCACCUUCGUGUUUACAAAUAGCUGCGUACACGCAGAGAAUGCCUAUAAUAUUCAUCAAACUAUAAGGUGAAAACCCAAAUAUUCCGGAAGGUCGGUGUAUGGACCAAGUCAAACCCCGUCUUUUGUCAACUUCUUCAAACAAUAUAUCUUCCUGAUUAUAGUAAAAAAGUGGUACGUUUAGUCUUGGCAAAUCCUCAGUAAAAGGCGGAUCGUGAGACGGUAUCUUGCCAAUACACUCGAAUGGACCGACGUAAUGUUUGCCUCCCGUUUGGAGACAGAUGUGGCGGAGAUUAGGCGCAUUCGGGAUUACAGAACGGAGCACGUUACGAAACAUGGCGCCGUUGAUCUGACAAUUCUCGGCUUCAGUGGGACGGCUGGCCCACGUCACAUAGAAUAUGUGGGUGACGUCAGCGAGUUUUGAGAGCUUGGCUUGCGUAUCGUCUGGGUCGGAAACGUCGCAUUGGAUGUAAUCAAUAGGGUACUUGGCGUUCCAGUUAGGCCUGGGACGUCUCGCCACCCCGUAGAUCUUCCACGGGCCACCGGGGGUAUCUGAUCGGGGCAAAAUCUCAGCUAGGCUGUUGCCUACAAUUCCUGUCACGCCUACUACAAGUCCCACGUUCUGGUAGUCUUGAAUUCGCGCAUCUUCUUCCAAUUUGUUCUGUACAGCGAAAAUUAAACAAACAUUAUUUUAAAUAUCAGCAUGUUACGUGUAUCUAUAAGCUUUUCAAGUGAAGAGACUUAAUUAGAGGGUUGAUCUUUACCUUAGCAGCGCCAAUACUACCUGCCCAGCGCCAGCUCAUUUUUCGGUGAAUCUGGAAAAUUGAUGAGAAGUUUGGAGACUGCUUAUAUAUAAACAAUUAUACGAGCACUUUCUAGAAGGUAAUUUUCCGUUGAAGUUAGAUAAUGUGAAUAUGUGAUCAAUAAUGAAAGAUCUAAUAUCAUAAUGUGUGGUGAAAUGUGGUUCCGGCCAAAGGCCAAGCUUCGUAUUGUCAUUGUCAGUCAGUUUGCUUUCCCGCAGUUUUCAAGCUCGGUGCCAACUCAAAUAAAUAAGUAGGCCAGUGUAGGUGACCAUUGCAAUAAAAUCGCCCUAUGUUUAUUACGGAAGUUUCAGUACGUGGACCCUGAGUUUUAAACCUAAAAUCAAAUAUGUCUCUUCACUUUUAUAAUUUGCUUAAGACACACCAUUUCUGUAACUUUUCGGAUUUCAAUAUCAGUUUUGGGACAAAAAGAGUCCUUCAAUUUGUAUUUUCAAUAUCACAACAACUAUUAUAUACUAAAUAGCUGUAACUUUUAAGAUAUAACUGCCCAACUUUAGUAUCAAAUAAGACCUUGAAGCCCGUUUGAAAUUGCUUUUGGGAGUUCCCAAAAGUAAUUUUAAAAAACUAAAUGUCAAUUUUGGUGUUUGACAAUUUUUUUUUAAAAUUACUUUUAGCUAAAUCACCCCGUCCUAUAGCAGGUUUUGAAAAGCGUGGAAGGAGUAUCUUUUCAUAAUUGGAUUUUGAAAAUCAGUUUUACAGUUAGUACAAUUUCAUAUAUAUAUAUUCAAUUAUAUUAUAAAAAUCUACAAUUAUCCUUAUUAAUUAGGAAAUAAAAUCAUUAAUUUAAAGAGAUUAUUAUUACCAAUUAUAUUAAGAUAACCAAAUAAAAAAAUAAAAUCAAUAAUUUAAAAUAUUUAUUUUAGUUAUCAAUUAUCAUAUAUACACAAUAAAAAAAAUUUCAUACAUGUUUAUAAAUGCGUAAAUAAAUUUUAUUCAAUAUUGUGUUCAAUUGAUUUAUUUAUAUUUUUACAGCAGUUUAAUAGUAAAAUUUACUAAACACAAACGACUACUUUUAAAAUUUGCAGUAAUUUUAAAAAGAAAUUUUAUCAAAUAUUUAACUGAUUCUUUUUACAACUAAUUAUUUUUACAGUACUGCUAACAGUAAUUAUUUUAAAAACUACAGCACUAUUAAACUGAUUUUUAAUUUGUUUGGCUUCUUAAAAGGUCUGAUAUUGAGACAAUUGACCUAUUUAUAUGGCAAUAAUUGACAUGAUUCUAGAAGCCAAAACAUCAAUUUUUUUUUUUCGUAUCAGAUGGUGUGAAAUGAACGCAACAUGCAUUUGUAGUCUAUUGAAAUAUCAAAAUUGUCCUCAAAUCGUAAAUCUCAGUCAUUUACACCCAGGAACCUAGUACGAGUGAUUAUGAAACUCGAUAUAUGAAUAAAUGAAGAAUUCAUUUUUUUCCUCCUAAAUUUUAGGAAAUAGUUAAAGAUGUUCAUAUGAAUGAAUGGAAGAAUUUUUUUUCCCUUUCUCAUCACAUAAAUUCAUGUGAAUAUUCAUGAGGUUUAUUUGAAUGAACACUUUUUUUCUCAAUAAAUCUGCCAUCAUGAAAAACGUUUUGGCUCUUGUGUAUAAUUUGAAAAUCAUAGAAAAAAUAUAUCAAUAAAAUAAUUCUACAUAAUUUAUGGUUACCAAUGCUCAUUUAAUCCACUAGGCAAACUUAUGCAAAUAAUAAGAAGAGAGACGUCGCAUUUAAUUUAGAAGUUGUUUCUCAUUUAAGCCCUAUUUGAUAUUGAAAUGCUAUAGCAUAGUAAGAAAAAAGAAAAAGAAGUUGCAACUAUUAAAUAAAAGUUGAUAAUGUAUAAUAAAAUAAUUAUUAAAUAAUAAUUUGACAAAAAUAAUAAAGACACUAUAGGUUUUGUCAUACAAGUGUGAGAUCAAAUCAACUUAAUUUCUAAGCGGCAAUAGCUAGUGUUUACUAAACACUUUGGUACUGUAACUUUUAAGCUACACCUGCCCAACUUUAAUACUAAACAAGGGUUUAAAUUGUUUCAGUUAUUGAGGUGUCAAAUUAUUGAGACAUUUGACUUGUUUACAAGGUAAUAAUAAUAGACAUGACUCUAUAAGCUAAACCAUCAAUUUUUUGUAAUGUACUGAUGAAUGUGUGUUUGAUUUUCUUCUUUCACAUUGGAAUCAUGCUUUGCCUAUGAUUUUGUAAUUUACUAGGGUUAUAAUCUUGGGUUCGUAAUCCGGAAAAAAUUCGUUUCCAUAUAAUUUUAAAAAUAUUAUAAUAAAUUUGUACUUUUUGAUAUAAAUUUUAUAAGUUGUAACGGUAUUUUAGUACUUAUAUACCCAAUUCAUUUCGAAAUGGGGGUAGUAUAGUCUUUUAAAUUUAUAACAGUAAUAGUGAGAAUUAGUUGAUUUUUUUAAUGAAAAUAGGGGCGAGGUGCACAUGGUCGAAAGAUGUGGGUGCGUUGUGUGAAAUACUGAACAAUUGGGGGCUGACGCUUAAUUACCCUUAAAUAAAUUAUUAGUUUAAUGGAAGGAACAUAAUUCAGGAAAAGAGGAAUCAAACUGCGAAAGGAAUUAGGAUACUUGAAAAGAAAGAAUGAAAAUAACUUUUUUUUAAAAAAAAUUAUUUAUUUGGACAUUGUUGACGUCCAAUUAAUCAUGACUCUUAAUGAGAAUAAUUUUUGGUGACAAGAAUAGCGGCAUCCUUGGACGUGGCAAAAUAAUCACAAAAAUCCCUUAUUUUAAAAAAUGAUCAUGAAAAUUUAUUGAGGGACACACAAAUUGAGGAUUUGUGUAACUAUUUUUAAAUACAAAAAAAGGUCUACAUGUAUUAAAAAAAGUUUGUAUGUUCAUUUUUUAAAAAUAAGGUCUACAUGUAUUAAAAAAGAGUUUGUAUCAUGUCGUGCUGUUUUCUAAUUUUUCAUGAAAUCUUUGUUACACGAUUUAAGAGAUGGUACCAAACAUAGUGACAAAACUAUCAUAGUACCGUCUAAUGAUGAAACAAAUUGUUAAUUAAUUAAUAAAAAUACUAAGUGAUUGUAACGGUUCCGGUCACAGUCACAGUCACAGUCAAAUACAACUAGGAUAAUUUAAUUUAAAUAAUGUGUAAUUUAGCGUUAGCCCCAAUUGUUUCGACAUUUUGCAUUGUGCCUCCAAUCUUCUGACCAUGUCCACCACCCCCAUUUCUUUCAAAUCUAACGUUAACGGAAAGAAGGGUAGAAUGGUAAUUAAUACAAGAUUAAAAUAAUUUAUAUAAUAAAAAAAAACCCCUUUUUCCUUCGCCGCCUCUAUAAUUUAAUUUAGGGUUUGAUAUCUUUAGUCUUAGGAUUUUUGAUUAUUGAGUUUCUUUUUAUUGAAUUUUCUUAGUAUGAAUUUAUUUUGUAAUAGAAUUUUACAAUGAAAUUUGUUGUCAUGGAUUUUGGUAUCAUUAGUUUCGGGUUUCUUUCUUAUUGGGUUUUAUUUGUUUUGGUGGGAUUAUUGGACUUAUUUUGUAAUGUAUUGAUGAAUGUGUGUUUGAUUUUUUUCUUUCACAUUGGAAUCAUGCUUUGCCUCUGAUUUUGUAAUUUACUAGGUUUAUAAUCUUGGGUUCGUAAUCCGGAAAAAAAAUUGUUUCCAUGUAAUUUUAAAAAUAUUAUAAUAAAUUUUUACUUUUUGAUUUAAAUUUUAUUAGUUGUAAGGGUAUUUUAGUACUUAUAUACCCAAUUCAUUUCAAAAUAGGGGUGGUAUAGUCUUUUAAAUUUAUAACAGCCUAAACAGUUAGAAUUAGUUGAUAGUUGAUUUUUUAACGGAAAUAAGGAAGAGGUGCACAUGGUCGAAAGAUGUGGGUGUGCUGUGUGAAAUACUAAACAAUUGGGGCUGACGCUUAAUUACCUUUAAAUAAAUUAUUAGUUUAAUGGAAGGAACAAAUUUCAGGAAAAGAGGAAUCAAACUGCGAAAGGAAUUAGGAUACUUGAAAAGAAAGAAUGAAAAUAACUUUUUUUUUUAAAAAAAAUUAUUUAUUUGGACAUUGUGACAAACAAGUGAUGGGCAAUGUCAUGUCUUGAAAAACGACAACAUUACAUGAUUCAUGAGAAGCCUAUCACUUUGAGAUUAAUUUAAUUUAAAAAAAUUCCGUUUGCUUAAUACUAAAAUGUCACGUGCAAGUUGUCCUGGACUAGAGAGUCGUUCACCCGUACUUACACAGUUACACCCAAAAGUCACGAGGAUCAAAACCAGAUCUGUCACUGCAUUUGCUUGAAAAAAUAUAUAUUUUAAAAAAUUAAUAUUCGUGUUUCGAUAGCUUUCUAAGUGGUUUAUUUACAGGUAUUCAAAAUAUAUAUAUUUUGUAAUUUCGAUUAAAAUUUUGCGACAAUUGUUUGGCUGGAAUAUUUUUUUUAUAAGAAAAAUAGCGAUCUCACACUGAUCCAUAGUUGAGCCAAUUGCCUAGUUAAAAGCUACCUCCAUAUUUUUUAUUUUUACCCUAAUGCAUGUCUGAUUCUUUUAAAAUUUUACGUUAUAUAUAUUAAACAAAAAUUAUAAUUUUAAUCAUUGAAAAACUAAUGACAGACAUCUUUUGAAUAAUUUUUUUUUGAAAAAUACAGAGCUAGAGAUAAUGCUAUAAUUGAUUGAAUAAGAAGGCUACAACUUGAUGAUAACUUUAUUGCAAUGUUGCGUGAUCUCAAUAUAUUAUUGCCUUAUGUGUGAGUAAAAGUUGCUGGCUCUUGUUUUACUAAUUUGCCUUUGUAUUUGACUGGCUCGACAAAGAAUCGAUUUACCUCAUACUCAAAUUACAAACAUCGAAACCGGAUCUGUCAUUACGUUAAUUGGCCUCAUAAAAUAAUCAAUCACUUUCUCUUUAGUCUACCAUCCACUCUUUCCAGUCGCUUAGUUUCAUUCUAAUCAUCUAAACGAAUCUUGCAAAUCCUCAAGAAGCCAUGUUAAGACAAGGCCAGCUUACUAUUAGGGUAUGAAAGAUAAAACCUUUUAUUUCCUUUUCAGAAUAAAAAGGACAUUGACAGUGUUAAAAAAAAUCUAGAGGAUUUCACGCCUCCAGAUCCUUACAAAUCAAGGAUAUUAAAAAAAAUUACUUAGAGGAGAAAGGUUAUGCUCAUUUGUAUCUUGUUAGAAGAAAUUGAUCCAAAGCCUAAGUUUUAAUUUGCUUCAUAUAGCCAAUGACUAGGUGUUUAAAAACCAAUGAAUAUUUUUAUAAGAAAUCAACAAUUAUGUUGAAAGAAAAACCAAAUAAAAAUAAUAAAGCCAAUGAAUAGAUCAAGGCUCUUUGUGGUCUAAAACUAAUCAAACUAAGUUGUGGGCAAAGGUGAAUAUGUUUGUUUGGUCAAUAAUAAGCUCAACAAAUCACUAAUAAUCACCUAAUCACUAUUCCUUAUGCUAUGCAAUAUAAUGGCCUGGGUAAUGGCGCCAAGGCAGACAAUAACUAGCUAGCCAGUUAUGAUAGUUGAUUAACUUAACCUACUGGAAAUCUGAAGACCAAAACGAAGAAGCUUUGUCUAGAACUAGAAUAGGAACAUUCGUACCCAAAACUAAUAUACACAAUUAAGAAACUUGAUUAUAUGUAUAUUUCUGUUGGCCACACUUAAAGAGAAUUUCCAAAAGAUGCUAAGGUACACCAAAUCCCACUAUUUCAUACUCAUAAACACAAAAAACCAUGGUAAAAAUUAAUGACUAUAUCAAAUAAAAUCGGUGAUAGGACAUUGAGAUUAGGACAACUUGAUUUGUAUACCGUAAAAUAACUAUAUCUGCAUGGUGAACUAUAUUUCUGUUAGAACUCUGAAGUUUCCUAUUAAAUUUUUUUCUCUGUUAGGUAAACCACUUAACUGAAGUGCUUAAGCCAAUUUUGACAAUCAUAGACAUAAAAGUAUUAAUAGGCUCAUUCAAGUGAAAUGAGCAUUAUUUCACACAUCCUUUAGGUUUUUAAGUCAUUUACAAGUCAUUCAUGUUAAAAAAAAAUUCAUAUACUUUUAAUAUAAUUAGAACAUACACAAUUAAUUAAUUAAAUAAAUCUAUUUCAGCUAGUAUAGGAACUUAAUUAAUCAAAGCUAGUAGUUAUAGCUAGGACUUGAACGAGGCACCUUUCAAAGUUCAAGAAGAGCAUCUGAACAUAAUGAAAGCACUUUGUAGAUAUGGUAAUGAUGCUUUACAUCUACAUGCUCUUACACAAUAUGAACUUUCAUUUACUCCAAGCUCUUAUUCUACAAGUCAAUUCAGUUUGUAGAUGCACGCCAUUGUAAAAACUUUUGUAUUAUAAUUUCUGAAAAUAGAACGUAACAUUAUUAAUAUAGAAUCAGCAAUGUAUAUAACUUAUCAGACAAUAUAACAAGCACUUGGUGACCAUACAAGAUAAACUAAAACAAGUUAUCCAGAAAAUGAAACUAAAACCCAAGCUCCGCUAUUCAUUGUAGAUGCUUUAAACAUAAAAUUAAACUAAAUCUAAUAGAAAAACAUUAGAAUGGAUGUUGGAAUUAAAGCUAAAUUCAAUAGUAAUUCAAAUGAAUCCAUUUGAACUUUGUAAAUUCCGCAGAACAAAAUUAAUUUGAGUGAGCAAACUCACCAAUGGAACAAGAACACAGGGGCUUCAACUUGUACGAAUAAAAAAAUAUUGCUGGCGGGACAAAAAUUGACAAUAAUGGCUACAAUACGAAUUUUAAAAAAAAUCAAAAUCUAUAAUUACAAGCUAAGUAAGAGAAGAAACUCAUAAUCACAAGCUUACCUCAAAAGAUGAAGGGAGAAUACGAUGAAGAAGAAGAUGCCCGGUGUUUUAUGUCGUUCGCCGGCAACCAGUUAGGUUUACGAUGGUGGCUAGUCCAGCGAAUAGUUUUCUAACUGGAAAUAAAUUUAAAUUUCUAAAAUAGUGCUAUACCGAACGGCUCUGUACCGUCACGUUGUUACGGUCUGCCCAAUUUGCUAGCCCAAUUGCCCACAAUUUCGGACUAGAGAACCAACACAAGACCAAGAGUGCUAUCUUGGCCCAAUUUCGGAAAGGUCUAGGCAACUCUAGCACAUGUGAGCUUGUAAAUACUCUAGAAUUCUCUUUACAUUUCCAGCACAUGUAAAUAGCUAGGAAGUAGUAGAAUUCUCUAGAAUCUCUAGAGCUUGGCAAGCCUCCCCUAUAAAUAUGGGAUGACAUUAGGCAUUUGCAUCCAACAAACUCACAACAACAAGCUUUGUAAGCAACUCAAGCAUUGUAUUCUCUCUUUGUGCAAUACAAGUUUUCUCAUUCGGCUCAAUUGCUCUCUUCUCUAGUUCGAGAAGCUCUAGACUUACUUAGCAACAUUUGGCAAUGUUAUCUAAGUGCCGCACGGGUUAGCUGCGCAAAAUACUCAUCCCGUGACAAGUGGUAUCAGAGCUAAGGUUUGCACGCACGCAAGUUAGCUCACGAGCAAUGGCCAACCCUUCGAACGUAGCACAAGAGGGUGUUGUUGGUGUGGAUGUUCCAUUGGAACCAAGCUGCAGCCGAGAGGGAGAACGCGCCCAAAGCAAGACUCGCGGCAAGUCCAAAGCCGCAUCAGUGGAUGCGUUGGAGCCUCGUGUGACUACUCUCGAAAUCGCAUUGUCCGUCGCUCAAGAUAGCCUCGAGGGAUUGGAGGAACGAGUGGACAGUCUCGAGGGGGAAUACGCCGAGUUCACGGUGGCAACAAAAGCUCUCAUCCAAGAGCAAGCGAACACUCUUCGAGGUGAGUUUCGUUCUUUCCAUGAUGAGUUGCUCAAACUUCGUAGUUUUGUUCAGGACGAACUACACGCUGUCCGUGCGGAAGUGGAUGAAGUCCGCUCAGAUUGGGCAUGGCACAAGCGCACACUCUCCGCAAGUCCAGCUUCCACAAACUCGAGUGAUGCGCACCGUAUUGAUGUGCCAAAGCCCGACACAUACGAUGGCACACACAAUGCCACAAUCGUGGACAACUUCCUAUUCGGGCUGGAUCAAUACUUCGAUGCCAUGGGUGUCCGUGAUGAGGCAUCGAAAGUGUGCACUGCACCCACCUAUCUUAGAGGCCCUGCACAACUAUGGUGGCGUCGCAAGCAUGGCGAGAUGGGCAAAGGCAUUUGUACCAUCGACACUUGGGCCGACUUCAAGCAAGAACUCCGAAAGCAGUUCGCCCCAAGCAAUGCGGAGAAGGAAGCGCGAGCGCGCUUACGUCGCCUCAAGCAUUCGGGUAGCAUUCGGGACUAUAUCAAUGAGUUCACUACCCUUAUGUUGGAGAUAAGCAACAUGUCCGACAAGGAUUCGCUCUUCUACUUCCAAGAUGGCCUCAAGGAUUGGGCUAAGACCGAGCUUGACAGGCGUGGCAUACAAACACUUGACGACGCCAUUGCUAUUGCGGAGUCUCUCACCGAAUACUCCGCCCAUCUCAAGGACAAGAGGUCUAGCUACGAUCAAGGUGGGGGAGAGAGCCAUGAGGACAACGACCGCAAUUGCAAGGAGUGGAGCAAGAAAAAGCUUCCAAGCGGCAAGGGCGGGCAAAGUAAAUCCGAGAAGUCACCCAAGCCGCGAAGCCCAUGCUUCAUAUGCAACGGUCCUCAUUGAGUGCGCGACUGCCUGGAUAAAAAGUCGCUGAGUGCCCUCGUGGCACAACUCAAGGGCCGACACACACCGCCUACGGAGGAACCUCAACACAACUUGGGUUCGCUCCAACGUCUUAGCACACUCGUGAGCCAACCACCAGCACCUACAAGGAAAGGGCUCAUGUUCGUAAGUGUGCUCAUCAAUGGUCAAACCGUUCGUGCGCUCCUUGACACCGAAGCAGCACACAACUUCAUCUCCGAAGAAGAGGCUAAAUGUCUAGGCCUUAAGGUAACGCAAGACGGAGGCACCAUCAAGGCUGUAAACUCACCCGCCAAGCCAUUUAGGGGAACCACACGAGGCGUACACGUUACGCUUGGGACAUGGAAUGGGAAGCUCGACUUCUCGAUUGUGCCGAUGGAUGACUUCGCAAUGAUCCUUGGCAUGGAAUUCUUCGACAAGGUACAUGCCUUCCCACUUCCAGCAACGAACUCCCUUAGCAUCUUCGAUGGGAGUAAGGCAUGCGUGGCACCGGUCGAGCGUGCACAACCCGUAAAAAAGGCGGUCUCGGUCAUGCAAUGCAGAUGAGGAUUCAAGAAGAAUUCGGACCACUUGGUCUCCAUCCGGCAACACCACAAGGGAGAGGAUUCCAAAAGCCCUCCAAGCCAAGUCCCACAACAAGCACGAACCGUCCAUGAUAAAGGCAAGGACGCCAUGCCUCCGAAGCUCCCAUCGAGACAAGUGGUUGAGCAACGCACAAAGCCAUCCGAGCAUGAUGAGUUGUGGAAACACAAGAGGGGACGCCGCAACACCAACCGAAAGAAGGAAACGAUCAUAUGCGGAGCAAGUGGCGGAACCUCCCCAAGAGUGAAGCACAAGAAGACUAACGACAAAUCGCGGAACAAGUCCCUAAAGGAGCAAGGACGAGAUCGCGACGAGGACGCCGCGAGCUUAGGUGGGGGAGGAUGUUACGGUCCGCCCAAUUCGCUAGCCCAAUUACCCACAAUUUUGGGCUAGAGAGCCAACACAAGGCCAAGAGUUCUAGCUUGGCCCAAUUCCGGAAAGUUCUAGGCAACUCUAGCACAUGUGAGCUUGUAAAUACUCUAGAAUUCUCUUUACAUUUCCAGCACAUGUAAAUAGCUAGGAAAUGGUAGAAUUCUCUAGAAUCUCUAGAGCUUGGCAAGCCUCCCCUAUAAAUAUGGGAUGGCAUUAGGCAUUUGCAUCCAACAAACUCACAACAACAAGCUUUGUAAGCAACUCAAGCAUUGUAUUCUCUCUUUGUGCAAUACAAGUUUUCUCAUUCAGCUCAAUUGCUCUCUUCUCUAGUUCGAGAAGCUCUAGGCUUACUUAGCAACAUUUGGUAAAGUUGUCUAAGUGCCGCACGGGUUAGCUGCGCAAAAUACUCAUCCCGUGACGAGUGGUUAGUAACAUAUGUGACAGCGGCCGUCACAUAAAGGGUAACAAAAGCAACUCGAGGUUACAAAGUUAGAAGUUAGUGGCAUGCGUAAUGGCUGCUUUUGCAAAUUUGCAUUCACAUUAGGGGUCACAUAUACCCUAUUUUCUUGUAGUACAUGGUAAAUUCUAUUUGAAAAUUGCUAAGUAUUUUAGAUUUGUACGAAUUCAUUUUUGUGUGCUUGUUGGAUAGUAAUAUAUUAUUUAAUAAAUUAAUUUUUUGUUGUAAUUUUCACAAUAUUGUAUUAUAAAUAUGUCUCAUUGAAAGGUUUUGAAAUCGUUUUGAUUGAUCAUAAUUGAUAUUUCCACAGUUGCAAAAGAUGCCAGAGAAAAUUUGAUUAUCUUAAGAAAUGAGGGCAUGAGAUCUGAAAUCAACCAUACCAUAAAAUCAAAUUUUAUCAUGUCAUCCUUCUCGGUUCAAAUUUAUGGAAAUAAUAAUCAAAUGCAUCCAUGAACUAGUAUAUUCCGAGAUAUGUACCAUCAAAUUUUUGCUAUAUCAUACUUAUAUAUGUAUAUUGAAAUUUUAAUAACAACAAUUGGGCCAAGUGUUGAGUGUUAGAAAAUGCAUAUUUAUAAAGGAGAAAACCGUUAUUUUACAUUUCAAGUCUUACUAACAACCCUUACUUUUAUGUAUUUAACCUUCUUGUGAUUUAAUUACAUGUGUUUUAUUUUAAUUAAAUAUUUUAUGUAUUUUAGGGGCAUUAUAGUCAUUUCACAAUAAAAGAGAGAUCAGACGGCAAAACGGACAUCACUUUUGAACUCAGGACGGUCGAAAACCUUACGAGGAGCAUAAAAGGAAAAAUGGCACUAUUCACAUGUACGGUACUGUCUACGUUACUGUUCACGACACUGUUUACAUAUACGGAUCGAUGACGUGGCAUUGACCGAUGAUGUGGCAUUGACUGAUGAGGUGUCACGAUCCUGUUGGGUUAAAAUUCUUAUGAAUUGUUGAUGGUGACGUGGCAGCAUAUCAGUGGACGAAAAAUCUCGCGUACGGUACAUGCAUCACACAGGAUUAUUUUCAACCAAACUGUGUUACUGUUCAUCCGGGUCAAACCGUGUUACUGUUCAUCCGCGUGGUCAAACCACGUACUGUUGACUGAUGACGUGGCGCAAUCCUGAGCGUCCAAACUGUUUUUAAUCCGAUGGCCAUGAUUUACUCCAUGUAUCUAUAAAAAGAGGGCCUCUCCCCCCUAAUUUGAGAUCUUUGAAUCCAUUUUUGGGAUCCAUUUUCUGUAAUUCCUUCUCCAUCUUGUAUUUUCUUCGUAUUUUAAUAAAUUCUCAUUUUGCCCCUAGUUCAAUUAUGAGUGGCUAAUUUUCUUUCAAGCUUGGGUUGAAGGUGAAGUCUCAACAUGUGUCAUGGGCUUUAUUUGGUAAAUUUAUUUUCUCUUCCCCUCUAGUUUUUGUGGAUGUUUUGACUUCUCGUCGACAAAUAAUACUAAUUUUGUCUAGUACCGCCUUGGUUUCACCGGCCCCCUAGUACAAGGUUAUUAUUAUUUGGCACGAUAAGCCCUUAGCACCAUAUUGAUUAGACCGUGGUUCAUGUGGUGUGGAUUCCCCCCUCAUGAUUUAAUUGGCAUUAAUAAGGAUUAUUUAGCCCAUGAUGCAUGUUGAUACGGAUCCAGAUUCCCAAGUACGUCAUUUCAAUAGAAUUCUCUUCAAUUUAUUCUCGCCAUUUCAAUACCAAUUUUAGAAUUUAUUCUUGCCAUUUUAAUUUAAGUUUUAGCAUAUUCCAAAUCAUUUCCACCACAAAUCCAAUCACCCAUUUACAAAAUUAAUUCUACACAAUUAAAAUCCACCUCCUCGUGGGAUCGACACUCGUCACCAUUGAUCUAUACUACAAUAGAUUCGUGCGCUUGCGAGUACAUUAAAAUUUGCACAACAAGUUUUUGGCGCCGCUGCCGGGGAGGUAAGUAAUUUUAAUUCAUAGAAUUAAUUUUUGUGAAUAAUUUCUUUUAUUUGUUUUCUUGUAUUUUUUUAAUUAUUAAAAAAAAAGAAAAAAAAAGUGAAUCUACAUAUAAAGGUUAGUAUUUCUUUUCUUUUUCUCUUCUUUAAAAUUCUGUAAUUUAAUUUUCAAUUUAUUUUUCUUUGUAAUUUUUGUUUAUUUUAUUAAUUUAAUUUUUAGUUAAUUUAUUUCACGUAUUUGUUUUUGUGUAUUUUUAUAGAAAUGUUGUAAUAGCGCAAUAAGGUUAGUAUCGUAAUAUCUCCCUCUUCUUUAUUUGUUUUGUUCUCAUCUUUAUUUUUAUUUUAUUUGUUUUGCAUGCAUGGUCGUAGGUCAUUAUUACCUAAUCUUGAACCUAUAGACCUUGAACUUGAGAAAACACUUCGCACACACAAACACGUUAAACAUAAAAUGGAUUUACAAGCACCACAUGAGAGGCCAUUUAAGGAUUAUUUUAGUCCUUUAGCUAAUUUGAGCACAUCAUGCAUAAGAUACCCAAAUGUAGCUGCUAGGAGUUUUGAACUAAAACCUAGUGUGCUAAAUUGUCUCCCAACAUUUUAUAGCCUAGAAAAUGAGGACCCAUAUAAUCAUUUGAAUGAUUUUCAUGCCAUUUGUCAAACAUUUAAAUAUGAAAAUUUUUCAGACGAUGAUGUUAAACUUAGACUAUUCCCAUUUUCUUUAAAGGAUAGAUCUUGUUCAUGGCUUAAUACAUUGCCUGCUAAUAGCAUUGCAUCAUGGGGAAUAAAUGGUUACAAAAUUUUUGAAUAAAUAUUUCCCAGUGCAUAAAACCAAUGCUAUUCGCAAGGAAAUCUCGGAGUUUACCCAGAGAGAGGACGAGCAACUCACGAGAAUACGUUCCCAAAGCUCCAUUUCCUCAGAGGUUAGCUAAAAGCAAAAAGGGAAAAUCCACAGGUGAGAUUCUUGAAAUCUUCAAACAGGUAAGUGUUAACAUCCCUUUACUUGAUGCUAUAAAGCAAGUUCCAUCUUAUGCCAAGUUUCUUAAAGACCUUUGUACUAAAAAGAGAAAUAUGCAUGUUCAAAAGAAGGCAUUUUUAACAGAAAACGUUAGUUCUAUCCUCCAACAUAAAAUUCCUCUAAAAUGCAAAGACCCAGGCUCUCCCACUAUCUCAUGUAGCAUAGGGAACCACACAAUUGAGAAUGCUUUGUUGGAUUUAGGAGCUAGUGUAAAUUUUUUGCCUUACUCUGUAUUCGUGAAACUUGGACUUGGAGAAUUACACCUAACCCCAGUGGUGUUACAGCUUGCAGAUCGGUCCACGAAAAUACCUUGUGGCAUUGUGGAGGACGUGCUUAUCCAGGUAGACAAAUUUUAUUUUCUUGUUGAUUUCAUUGUAAUUGACACUCAACCAAUACAGGAUUCAAGGAAGCACAUCCCCAUUAUUCUAGGCCGACCUUUCUUGGCAACUGCGGAUGCUCACAUUCAAUGCAGGACAGGAAAUAUGCAGUUGUCCUUCGGCAACAUGACUAUGGAACUGAACAUCUUCAACAUUGCCAAACAACCUCACAGUGCAGAUGAUGGAAUUGUUGAUGUGGAUUUAAUAGAAACAAUAGUUGAUAAUACUUUUCUUUCAAACAUUAGUGAUGAUCCUUUACAAACAUGUUUAACUCACUUUGGUUUGGAUUUUGAUAUUGACAGAUCAGUUGAUGAGGUCAACGCCCUACUUGACUCAGCACCAUCCAUGGAUACUAAUAAAUGAAAGUCAAGAGUUGAACAACUAGCACCAUCAGAGAAGAAACUCAUCCCAUCAUCAGAAUCACCACCGAAACUUGAGCUCAAACCAUUACCCAACACUCCGGAAUAUGCAUUUUUGGGAGAAGAAAGUACUCUGCCGGUAAUCAUAUCAUCAUCCCUAAAUGACGAACAAAAAGGUAAGUUGUUGGAUAUUUUAAAAGAGCAUAAAGGAGCAUUAGGAUGGACCAUAGCAGACAUAAAAGUUAUAAACCCAAUAGACUGCAUGCAUUACAUUCACCUUGAUGAAAAUGCUAAAUCUACUAGGGAAAUGCAACGUCGGUUAAAUCCUAACAUGAAAGAAGUUGUUAGAACUGAAGUCCUUAAGCUAUUAGAUGCAGGUAUCAUUUACCCCAUUUCUGAUAGUUCAUGGGUCAGUCAUGUACAAGUUGUCCCCAAAAAGUCAGGAGUCACAGUAGUUACCAAUGCUGAUAAUGAAUUGAUACCAACUAGAGUAACUACAGGAUGGCGUGUAUGCAUUGAUUAUAGAAAAUUGAAUUCUAUCACACGUAAAGACCAUUUUCCUUUACCAUUUAUCGAUCAAAUGCUUGAUAGAUUGGUAGGCCAUGAAUUUUAUUGCUUUCUAGAUGGCUACUCAGGAUAUAAUCAGAUUCCCAUAACACCAAAAUAUCAAGAGAAAACUACUUUCACUUGCCCUUUUGGCACAUUUGCAUAUAAGAGAAUGCCAUUUGGAUUAUGUAAUGCACCUGCUACAUUUCAACGAUGCAUGUUGAACAUUUUUUCUGAUAUGUUUGAACGAUUCCUUGAAGUCUUUAUGGAUGAUUUUUCUGUCUUUGGUGACUCGUUUGAUCAAUGUUUACAUCAUCUAACAUUAGUUCUGCAGAGAUGUAUCGAGAAGAACUUGGUCUUAAAUGGGGAGAAGUGUCAUUUUAUGGUAAAACAAAGUAUUGUUCUCGGUCACAUCAUUUCGAGCAAAGGUAUUGAGGUUGACAAAGCCAAGGUGGAUCUCAUUUCUAAUCUUCCUCCACCCAAAACAGUCAGAGAGGUAAGAUCUUUCCUUGGGCAUGCUGGUUUCUAUAGACGUUUCAUUAAAGAUUUUAGCAAAGUUUCUAGACCCUUAUGCAAUUUACUUGCUAAGGAUGUACCUUUUAUCUUUGAUGAUUUAUGUCUUGUGGCAUUUGAAAAACUAAAGCAGUUGUUGACAUCAUCACCCAUUAUUCAGCCCCCAAACUGGAGCUUACCAUUUGAGCUCAUGUGUGAUGCAUCUGAUUAUGCAGUAGGAGCAGUAUUAGGACAAAGAGUUGAUCGAAUUCCCCACAUUAUUUACUAUGCUAGUAUGACAUUGAAUGAUGCACAGUUGAACUAUUCAACUACUGAAAAAAAAAUGCUAGCAGUAGUGUUUGCAUUAGAGAAAUUUCGAUCUUAUCUCAUUGGUUGUAAAAUAAUUGUAUUCACAGAUCAUGCUGCUCUUAAAUAUCUUCUCACAAAGAAAGAUGCAAAAACUAGACUAAUUCGUUGGGUGUUACUUUUGCAGGAAUUUGACUUGGAAUUCAAAGAUAAGAAAGGGACAGAAAAUGUUGUGGCGGACCACCUCUCUCGUCUCCAUUUUGACACAAUUACAGAGCCAUUAAUAUUGAAUGAGUCAUUUCCAGAUGAACAAUUAAUGAAUGUGGAAGUAUUACCAUGGUAUGCUGAUAUAGUUAAUUAUCUUGUUACAGGUAAACUUGCAGAGCAUUGGACCAAGCAAGAUAAGGCUAAAUUCUUUGCAGAGAUAAAGAAUUUCUUUUGGGAUGACCCGUAUUUGUUCAAGUAUUGUGCAGACCAAAUUGUUAGACGAUGUGUCCCAGAAAGUGAAAUUCAGAAUAUCCUUUCAUUCUGCCAUGAACAAGCUUGUGGAGGCCAUUUUAGUGCUAAGAAAACAGCAACUAAAGUUUUACAAUGUGGUUUCUAUUGGCCAACUAUAUUUCGAGAUGCUUACACUUUCUGUUCUUCAUGUGAUAGGUGUCAACGAAUGGGGAGCAUUACACGAAGGAACAUGAUGCCACUAAAUCCAAUUUUAGUGGUUGAGAUUUUUGACAUAUGGGGUAUCGACUUUAUGGGACCCUUUCCCCCUUCUUUUGGCCAUCAAUACAUAUUGGUUGGUGUUGACUACGUAUCGAAAUGGGUAGAAACAAUUCCAUGUAGAACCAAUGAUCACAAGGUGGUGAUAGGAUUUUUGAAAAGCAACAUUGUUUCGCGCUUUGGAUUCCCUCGAGCAAUAAUCAGUGAUGGUGGUGCCCACUUUUGUAACAAAGCAUUCAAAACUCUUUUGACAAAGUAUUCAAUCACACACAAAGUGGCGACCCCGUAUCAUCCGCAAACCAGUGGCCAAGUUGAGAUCUCCAAUCGAGAAAUAAAGCACAUAUUAGAAAAGACGGUGAAGCCGGACAGAAAAGAUUGGUCAUUAAGACUUGAUGAUGCAUUAUGGGCAUAUAGAACGGCUUUCAAGACCCCGAUUGGGAUGUCACCCUACAGGCUAGUGUAUGGAAAAGCUUGCCACCCACCUGUGGAACUCGAGCAUCGUGCGUAUUGGGCCAUCAAGAAAUUCAACUUUGACAUGCAGCAAGCCAGCUCAGAAAGAAGAUUACAACUGGCAGAACUUGAAGAAAUUCGCAAUGACGCAUACGAAAAUACCAAGAUUUACAAGCAACGGAUGAAAGUCUUCCAUGACAAGCAAAUUAUGAGAAAAUCAUUCACUCCAGGUUAGAAAGUGCUUUUAUUCAAUUCUCGCUUGCACCUAUUCCCAGGUAAGUUACGCUCUCGAUGGUCUGGUCCCUUUAUUGGUCAUACUGUUUUUCCACAUGGGGCAAUUGAAAUUAAGGACCCAAACAACGGUGUCACGUUUAAAGUUAAUGGUCAAAGAUUAAAGCCAUAUCUAGAGUACCAACCACAUGGAGAAGACACCGAAAUAAAUUUGAGUGACCCACCAGAUUUGAAUUGAUUUUUUUUCUUUUCGUUGAUUUGAUUUUUUUUUCUUUAUAUUAUUCUUCUGCUAAUUGAAAUUAUUUUUGCAUAAAUGUGUUUGUUUAACUAUUAAGUUUUCUUUUAUCGUUUUUAAUCAUGAGUACCUUACUUAGACCGUUCCUCCUGAACAUUCUUAAACCACUUCAACGUGUCAAAACUCAUCUCAAAAGGCAGAUUCAAUUUUGUAAAACACAUCGCAUUUGGGCUCUACAACCACCAGAGUUAGUAGCCUAUGUUGAGGGUUUAGAAAGACAACUCAGAGACAUUGAGAGAAGUGUUUACGACAUCCAGUUGGAGCUUGAGGUAAAUUCAAUAAGAGGACAAUUUUAAUUUUCUUUGUGUGUUUUAAUUUAUUUUUCUGUUUGUGUGCUUUAGUUUGUUACCCCGGUGAAGUGGCGGAUAACGGUACUCCGUGACAAUCAAGUCGGUUACUUCAGUUUCUCAUAAUAACUGAUAUUCUGAGGUGAAAGUAUGGACAGAAACGAGAUUCUAGCGAAGCUUCACAAGCGAUUCCCUUCACUUCCUCAGAAUGCCCUCCUUACGAUCUAUAAAGCUCGGUCCGAACGCAUGCGAUUACUCAUGAGGAAUAACAUACCUGCUGACAUCCGUUGGUUAAUCGAGGCUAAAGUACGAUCGGCAGGUGAGUUACCUCCAAAAUUUAUUGCAUACAUGCCUGGUUGUGGUAAAGGAAAUUAUGCAAGAAAACGACGAGCUCGAAGAAUUUCUGUUGCUUGUCAUAAGUGUGCCAGAAUGAGCAGGAAUAAAAACCCAUGUUCUUUAGGAAUGGUGUCUGAUAACAGGGAAUAUAAGAUUCAAUUAAUUAGGGAUGGCUUGAAUAAGGAGUCAUUGGAUGAUAUCCUUUUAUCUCUUGAAACGCAUCCCAAUGGAUAUGUGCAAGGAGCGAUUCUCCAGUUAUGGCCAUUAUUCCAGAAAGAGCAUGCACGAUAUAGUCUCGGGAAUCUGACUAUAAACGACCCUGUUUGCCAGUUUAUAAGAAAACUAGAUAGGAAGCCUAUCCUCGACCCAUAGAGGGCGUUUAAGCCGUUUCUGGACGUAAAACCAGAGGAAGAUGUGAGCUACAGUCGCAACUACCUGUAAAUAUCCUUUCACUUUACUGUUAUUUUAUUUCACUAUUGUUUUAUUGUGUGCAUUAUUGUCUUUAAUAAUUUUAUUACUGUUUACUUUUUCCUUAUUACUGUUUGCUUUUUCCUUUUUACUGUUUCCUUUUUGACUCGCGAGCCACGUGCUUUACGCGUUAUUUGACACUGACGUGUUACCUCAUACACAACUGUGACCCACUGUCACCAAGACUCUUAAAUGUGAUUUUUUUUUGUCAAGCACUCACAAAUUAUUUUUUGAGAAGUAUCACAAUGGUAGCUCCUCCAAAUAGACAAUUCAAGAACAUUUGUGUGAUUUCUGGAUUUACCUAUGGCAAACAUAAAGAGUUCGUUGAGGCAGCCAUCGAUCUUGGUCGAAGUAUAGCAGAGAGAAAAUUACACUUGGUGUAUGGAGGAGGUAAUCGAGGGUUAUCAAAAAUGGUCUCAGAAGCAGCUUUUAUCAGAGGCAGCCAAGUGUUAGGCAUCAUCCCAAGAGCCCUAAAACCUUUGGACAGUUCGUCUGACUCAUCAACUGGAGAAGAGUUAGUCGUCUCAAGUAUGCAUGAAAGAAUAACUGAAAUGCUUAAUCAUUUUAUUUUCCUUCCAGGAGAUCUUGCAACACUAGAGGCACUUAUCACACUAGCAUCUUGGGCCCAUCUGCACAUCCACCAGAAACCCAUUGGUUUGUUAAAUGUCAAUAACUUUUAUGAUGGCUUUAUCGCAUUUCUUAACCAUGCAAUAAAAAACUAUUUCAUUCCCUCUAAUGCGAAAAAACUCUUUAUUUGUGCUCACACUGCUAAUGAGCUACUUGAUAUGUUACAAGCUUAUAGACCGGAGCCAGACCCCUGGACCUUUGUGUUGGAGCAUCCAAAUAAUGAUGGUAACAGUAGCCGCAGUAAGAAGUACAAAUUAGAUUUAACUCUCCACUUGUAAAUAUUGUUUUCUGUGUUGCACCACCCAGUUGAUGUCUUCUAAACUCUACUUCUUUCCUUUCAAACAUUGAGGACAAUGUUUCGUUCUGGUUGGGGGGAGGGAAUAGUCGACAAUUGUGAAAUUUUGGUUAAGUUUUUACUAAUUUUUUGUUGUAGAAACUAACUGUUGCUAACUUUUUGUGUUGAAGAUGGCUGAAUAUGGAGUGUAGUGACUCUAGAAACGCAUCUUCAUCGUUUAAAAAAAAAUUAAAAAACUAAAAAAAAAAUUCAGACAUUUUCUUUUUCUUUAUUCUGUUUUUAUGUUUAUUUUUCUUCUUUUUAAUUUCUCCUCUAUAAAUAUACAUUUUCCAACUUAUGAGUCGAAGAUGGCUGAAUAUGGAGUGUAGUGCCUCUAGAAACACAUCUUCUUAAAAAAAAAAAACCAUUUUCGUUUUCUAUCAUUUUACGUGUAACUUUUUUUAAUUAGUUUUUAUGCAUCAUUUUCACAUUUCUGCAUGCAUAUUUUCCUUUCACGUUUAGAAUAGGUUGGGGGGUAGAAUGUUGUUUAAAAAAAAAAUUGUGUGAUUUGUUUUAACAUUGGAUGACAUGAUUAAUUUCAAAUUUUAGUAUUUGUAUUAUCUUUGGUCUUAAGUGAUGUUACAUUAUGUUUGCUACUCUACAUGUUGAUGUCGGAGACAAAUAUGAGUUGCUUGAAGGAAUGAACAUGUCAUAAUAAGUACCAAGUGAGUUUUUGAGAUUAUCAUUUUUCUUGGAGAGUAACCCUUUUGCCCAUUCUUUAUACAGCUUAACAGUUUAUUAUUGUAUACACGAUCUCUAGAUUUCUUUUGAGUUAACCCUUAAAAAAAAAAUUAUAAAAUUAAAAAAAAAAGAAAAAAAAUGUGUGUAGCUACAUUUGGAGGCCCAUCUAACUAGUAGAUAUAGAUGAUUAUUUAGAGCCCUAAAAGACGAUGGAAAGGCCAUCUUUGAUCCGUUUGAGCCUUUCUAACCAUCCCUUUUAUUAAAUAUCCAUAGUUAACCCUUUUGAGCCUUUAAAAAAAUAUAUAUAUAUUUUCUUUGUCAACUUAUCAUCUUGACCCACUCCGAUUUGGAGUAUUACCCGAUGUCUUAUAAGUUCCAUCACCUAUUUAUGUUUGAGAAAAUGUAAAUAAUUAUUUUAUUUAGUGACGUUGUGCCAAGCAAAAGCAAAAAAAAAAUAAUAAUAAUAAUAAUAACAAUAAUAGGUGAAAUCCACCUUGUAACUUCCAAAAAAAAAAAAAUUUCCUCUGCAUUUUUCUCAAACAUACACUUUGUUUUCCUUAUUUCCCUUCUUUGUUAACCAUGUCCCUAGCCUACGUUACAUCCUAAUAAAAGUCCUUCCCGAUUUUAGGGAACUAUAAUCUGAAGUAGAAACUAGUUAUAUGGGCUAAAAAGAUGUAGUGGUGCAUAAUAAAAAUAAAUAAAUAAAUAAAAGAAAAAAAAAAGAUAAAUAAAUUGGGUUGACUAGCAUUUUUAUUUGACUUGAGAUCGUAUUAUUUCUAAGCUGGGGGCAUAUUUAUUUCAUCUUGGUGAGAGCAUGUGAUAUCACUUUUUUAUUAUUUUCUCUCUCAAUUACAUUCAUUGGAGUGACUAUUUUUAUUGGUUUUAAUUUCUUUGUGAGAGUGUCACUACUUCCAGUGAGAUUUUGGGGUUUGACAUGUCAUUCUUGAAAGUAGCUAUAACGAAGUCUACUGGGCUGAUUCAUGUGGAUGGUUGAUGUGGGUGUGAUGUUGCUUUAGACUGGAGAUAAUGCUUAUACUUUUAUUUGAUUGCUAUCAUUAAUCUGAUUGAAUAAACACGAGUGUUUCUAAAAAAAAAAAAAUCAUUUUGAAUUUGAAUUUUAUUUUCGCUUUAUUUGCUAGGGACUAGCAAUAAGCUGGUUGGGGGGUGUGUUGAGUGUUAGAAAAUGCAUAUUUAUAAAGGAGAAAACCAUCAUUUUACAUUUCAAGUCUUACUAACAACCCUUACUUUUAUGUAUUUAAUCUUCUUGUGAUUUAAUUACAUGUGUUUUAUUUUAAUUAAGUAUUUUAUGUAUUUUAGGGGCAUUAUAGUCAUUUCACAAUAAAGGAGAGAUCAGACGGCAAAACGGACAUCACUUUUGAACUCAGGACGGUCGAAAACCUUAGGAGGAGCAUAAAAGGAAAAAUGGCACUAUUCACAUGUACGGUACUAUUCAUGUGUACAGUACUGUCUACGUUACUGUUCACGACACUGUUUACAUAUACGGAUCGAUGACGUGGCAUUGACCGAUGAUGUGGCAUUGACUGAUGAGGUGUCACGAUCCUAUUGGGCUAAAAUUCUUAUGAAUUGUUGAUGGUGACGUGGCAGCAUAUCAGUGGACGAAAAAUCUCGCGUACGGUACAUGCAUCACACAGGAUUAUUUUCAACCAAACCGCAUUACUGUUCAUCCGCGUGGUCAAACCGCGUACUGUUGACUGAUGACGUGGCGUAAUCCUGAGCGUCCAAACUGUUUUUAAUCCGAUGGUCAUGAUUUACUCCAUGUAUCUAUAAAAAGCGGGCCUCUCCCCCCUAAUUUGAGAUCUCUGAAUCCAUUUUUGGGAUCCAUUUUCUGUAAUUCCUUCUCCAUCUUGUAUUUUCUUCAUAUUUUAAUAAAUUUCCAUUUUGCCCCUAGUUCAAUUAUGAGUGGCUAAUUUUCUUUCAAGCUUGGGUUGAAGGUGAAGUCUCAACAUGUGUCAUGGCUUAUUUGGUAAAUUUAUUUUCUCUUCCCCUCUAGUUUUUGUGGAUGUUUUGACUUCUCGUCGAAAAAUAAUACUAAUCUUGUCUAGUACCGCCUUGGUUUCACCGGCCCCCUAGUACAAGGUUAUUAUUAUUUGGCACGAUAAGCCCUUAGCACAAUAUUGAUUAGAGCGUGGUUCAUGAGGUGUGGAUUCCCCCCUCAUGAUUUAAUUGGCAUUAAUAAGGAUUAUUUAGCCCAUGAUGCAUGUUGAUACGGAUCCAGAUACCCAAGUACGUCAUUUCAAUAGAAUUCUCUUCAAUUUAUUCUCGCCAUUUCAAUACCAAUUUUAAAAUUUAUUCUUGCCAUUUUAAUUUAAGUUUUAGCAUAUUCCAAAUCAUUUCCACCACAAAUCCAAUCACCCAUUUACAAAAUUAAUUCUACACAAUUAAAAUCCACCUUCUCGUGGGAUCGACACUCGUCACCAUUGAUCGAUACUACAAUAGAUUCGUGCGCUUGCGAGUACAUUAAAAUUUGCACAACACCAAGCACAUGUUGGUACUUGAAGAUUUAUAAGCUCCAUCCUUGAAAAAAUAAAGCUUGACUGUUUUCAAUCUAAUUCUUUUUGUUUUAAGUUCUUAAUUAAGCUUUCUUGCUUGUUUUCAAGAGCCAGUUUUGUAAUGAUCCACAAACAUGAUUUGCAUAUACAGUAUUGCACUUGGCAUUUAUGUAUCACUUAUUAAUUAGAUUUAAAUUUUAUAAACUAAUUAAGUUGAUUAAUAUUUUAUAUGUGCAAAUAUUUUAUAUGUGCACUAAAUGAUAGAUACUACAUAAAUUGGGACACUAUAACUACGUAUCCUAACUAUGUAAUAUUUGUUUGUCUCAAACCCAAUCAUGGCUUGAUAUUCUGAAUACUAUUUAGGAUAACAUUUCAAGCCCCAUGAGGGCUCUUUCCAUUUAAAAAAAAAGAGUAUGAAAUAGAUGUAGAUUUUUCUUUAGAUAUUAUUAGUGAGAGUACCUUUGAUGGCAAUGGUUCGGGAUGAUUUGAGAUUUGACAAUUCCGUUCUCAUCUUAAUUAUCAAAUGGAAUGUAAGUAGAGAUAAACUCGUCCUGUUUAUAUAUUUGUGAUCAAAAUUAGGACCAAUAUCAAACCGCUCACAAUCAUGUCCCAUCCUAACUAUCCUGAAUGUCUCGAUUGCCUCCCUUAAUUAUCUUUUUAAUUCUCAUUAACAUAUUAGCAAAAUUUCCAUAUAUUAAAAAAUUAGGGUCCGACUAUCUAUACUUUAAAAAUCAUUAUGAACACUCAAUUAUUUAUGCACUCAGCAAAUAAAUUUAAAAAAUUAAGUUUUACUUUCUACGCUUUUUUUUAGGAGUACUUUCUACACUUUUUAAAAUAACAAAAACAUCUUUACAUGAACCUAAUAAGUUUAUUUAAAAAAAUUAAAUCAACUAUUUUUAUUUAUUCAAAAUACUAAUAAAAAUAUUUAGCAAACCGUGAAAGAAAUUUUUUAAGAAAUUUAACAUGAUUUUAGUUAUUACUUAUUGUUUAUUAAAGAAUGUGUUCACUAUUGUUUUUAAUUUUGUUAGUCAAAAAAAAAAAAGAAGAAGAAGUUUGGGUUUAAGAUACAUUUAAUUUUUAGUGUAACAGUUGUAAUAUAUAGCUUUAUUUACCCAAGUGGGCAAUACAUUUAAUUUUUAGUGUAACAGUUUCAUUCAUACGACGCUUUCAAAACUAAAAGUACUUUUAAAAAUAAAUUUUACUAAAUGUUCAGCUGAUUUUCUUGACGAUUGAUCAAUUUCUACAGUAUAGCUAAUUGCAAUUAUUUUAAAAGCUACAGGAUUACCAAAUUGACCAUAAAUCAAACCAAUAAAAAUGUUUAAAAGUAAUAAUUAUAAACCAAAGUAAACGUACAAAAAUUCAUGCAUAAACUGAUAAUCAACAAAAACAUCCACAAGUUUAACUCCAAGUUUUCUAUUCAAUUGACAUAACCCUUAAAUUUCAAAAGGCAUAAUCAAUUUUGUGUCUAAUCCUAUAAAAUUAGAAAAUUAAAGAAUAUUAUAUACUGAUAAUUAAAUAAUAUGCAAUUAAUAAUGUUAAAUAUAUUGUCAACUAAAAUAAUUGGAGAAUUGGAGUUCCAAGAUAAAUUCUUAUCUAGUCCCAAAUCAACAAAUGGGAUUAACGAGCUGCUAUUGAAAUUAAUGUUAACAACAAAAAUAGAUGCAAAAGGAGAAACAGGCAUCAUGUGCAGUACCCACUGUGAACUGCUCACAAGUUGUUGGCAGCUGGUCAAAAAUUCAAUGUUGAUUUUGAUCCCACUAAAUUAAGUCAUCAAAAAUUACUCACCGUACAAUGAUGAUUGGGCUGCAUAUAUCAUUUAUUAUUAUCAGCUAACUUAUGAAAUGCUUUUGAAUGUACCUCCUAGGUCGUAUUAUUUACUAUACUAGUUAGGAGAAAUUGCAAUGUUAAAUUAUUUGAUAAAUACUUAUUAUAAUUUAAUAAAUAUGUUAAUUUUGUCCUCCACUUUAUGAUAAAAAAAUUUAUAAUAUAUAUAAAUUAUUUAUUCUAUAAUCUUGAACUUUAUUAAAGUUCGAAAAAUUAUUACUCUAUAUGAUAUAAUAGUGUGAUGUAAUUACACUAUUAUACCAUAUAAAAUAUAUUUGCUUUCUUAAAUUUUAAUAAAGUGUAGGUCUUGGACAGAAGCACUUUAUAUAUAUAUAUGUAUAUAUAAUGAUUCUCUAGCAACGACAUCCUCAUUUUAACAAAGUGAUUAUAUUAUUAACAAACUAAAUAACACACAUUUCAAUACACCAAUAGACAAAAAAAAAAUAUAAUUUUUAAUGUGUUAAAAUAUAUGUCUUUUUUAUAUUAUUGAUAUUUUCACUUUAACAAAGUGAGGGUCUCCUCAUUAUAGAAGUACUUUAUAAAUAUUCUUUGUAUUUUUGUGAAAAUUAUUAUUUAAAUGUCAUAUCUUACCAAAGACUAUUAGUUUUUAUUUUAUUACUACACUGUACUUUUCAAUAUAGAACACUUUAAUACCAUGACUUUAAUUUUUGAACUCUCUUGUACAAAGUUGUUGGCUGGUCUAUUUAGCUUAGUCUUUCAAUUAUUUGUCGUUUGAACUGAGAUGAUCCGAAUAAAGCUAUGUAUCAAUAAUUUCCUAGUGAAACUUCGGGAAAAAAUAAAAAUCCUCUCAUACAGUAGCAUUAUUUUAAUUCUCAGCUUGAUUAUGUUUUGAGUUAACUUAUAGAUUAUUUGAAAUGAAAAUAAUAUAAUUUAUGUUUUCCAACUGAAAUUUUUAAAUAAUUUUAUUAGUUUGAUGAGUAAGUAUACACCUACAAAGUUAUGAUAUAAAAUUAUAUCCCAGAAUCCCAAUAAUAUAACACCAAUUAACUACUGUUAUGUGUUUCUUAGUAAUUAAUUUUUUAUACUAUUAUUAAUGAGAUAAUUAACUUCAACACCAAUAAACAAAUUUUAUAUUAAUACAUCCUCUAACUUUAUUAUCAAAUAAUCAUACGCCAUAAUCAAACCAAGCUACCAGAGCCUACCACUAAAAGAUUGAUAGAAGGGUUUUCCAAGUUUUAAAAUGUUAGUAGCAUUAUGGCAACUUCCAGGAAUCUUCCUGCUACAAUCAAUCAUUUAGUGAAAUGCCCAAAUGACACAAAGGACCCCGCCAACCGUGAAGUCACAUAAUUUAUUUAUUUGUAAAUGAAAAAUAAGGUUCCGAUAGGAAGAAAUCAGCGCCUUAUAAUGUAUGAUUACCCGUAUGUCAAGUUUGGCGAUUAUAAGUCAUCAUCACAAUAACUUUGGACUUUAAUAUUUAAGUCUCUGUUUGGGACCAAUGUAUGGCAGUUGGACAACACAUCACUCAAUUAUAGAGUGUGAAAUAUUGAUAUUGUUCUUAUUAUUUUACGUAAUGUAUAAAUUUUUUCUUUUAUUUUUGUUUGUUUAUUUAUUUUUUAUACUUAAUAAAUAUAAAUUUAUUUUUUUAAUAUUUAACAAAUAUUGCCAGAAAUAACAAUCAAUGACCCAAAUCCUUUUAUUUUACAGAAAUAAUUUCAAUUCACAACAACCGUGACGUUACAUUACCAAACAAACACUAAAGUUUUGAUGAUUGUAGUUUAUGUUUCAUUCAUUGCAUGAAGAGUUUGAAAUAUGAUCUCAAAACAAAGAGUACGGCAUGUCAUGUUGGAUUUACAGAAUAAGUGUAUGCCAUGUCAUCCGGAAACUAGAAGGCGCGUAUGACAACCAGACGCUGUCAUGUCUGACUUGCUUACAAUUUUAAGUAUGAAUUCUGGGUUUUGAGUGACAAUUAAAAGCCCGAGUGAGAAUUAGAGAGAAAGUUAUAUAUCUUAUUUAUUCCUAGCCACUUGCUAUAUUGUGUAGGUCUUUUGUGACUCCAAUAAUAAAAAUCCUCAAUAUAUAUAUAUAUAUAUAUAUUGAUAGAGCAAUAUUUGUUAAAGCAUAAAGAAAGGCAAAAAUAUUGUAAAUCCAUCUCAAAUUUUCUGUUUAUUUUGGUCGCUGCUAGUGCUAGUUGUUUUCUUGUUGAACUUUGUUCCCUUUUGCCAUAAGCUCUUAGCAUUUUCAUUGGAUCAAGCGACCCUUUUCUUGUUUCAAUUUCUGAUCUCAAAAGCACUUUGAUUCUCUUCUGUUACACUGAUUUUCUCUUUGUUUUGUACAAAUAUUAUUUCUCUUUCCCAUUUAGCCUUGAUUUGCUUCUACUUGACUAUCAAUUGCCCAGUCGCUGACCCUGUUGUAUUUUUAUUUCGUUCACUUCAAAUAGAACCAAAAAAAAAAAAAAAAAGAGAUGUUGUAUAAAACCUAAAAUUUUUGUUCACUUCAAUCUUCGUGAUUUGGCUGAUUUCUUUUAAAGCUUUGAUUUCUUUAGAAGUACAAGAAGAAAUAGUAAUAAGAUUAAAAAAGCAAUGAAGUAAAACUUAAAAAUUUUUAUUUCUUCAUAUUUUUAUCGGUCAUUUUACCGGCACUGGCGUUUGAUUUUCUGACCAAGCUACUGUUUAGUUCUAAGCUCUGUUUCGUGUAUCACCGACACAAUGAGGCUUAGCAUCUAAAAGUCGGCAGCCAUGCAACUUCUUGGAAUCUUCAUGCAAGUGUUGGAUAUCGACUGUUCGAUAAUGAUGGCAGCAUUGGACUGGACUGUAAUUGACGCAGAUAUUGUCAGAUAUUUCAUUGAUUAAGGAUCACAAAUAAUGGCUAUUGGAUGAGGAUCACAUGUUUUAUGACAGUGGUAAUGGCAUGCCACUAAUGUAAGUGAAGCAUUACUUUUAAAUAAUGAUAUUAUAAUUAAAAAUCUACAAAUAUUUAUAAUACCUAAAGACUAAUUCAGAUUAUUAAUUUGUUUAUAUGACUUAAUUAUUAGCUGACAAAUAAUUAAAAAUUCAUGGAACAAUAUUUAAUUGACGCAGAGGAAUAAGGAUCACAAAUAAUGGAUAUUGGAUGAGGAUCACAUUGGAGUGUUGUAAUGCAACACAUAUUCACAAAAGCGUUGUUGAUGAAGUCUAUUCUCCGCUUAGCUUAGACGUGCAGAGCAGUAAAUUUCAGAGCGAAAUUAUAGAUGUGUUUUAUAAUGGGAUUCAUAAGAUUUUAUAUUUAAAAAAUUAGUAAGGUUUAUUGUGAGUCUCACUAUAGCACAUGAGAAAAUAUCAUUAGAGAAGUUCAUCAUGACCUAUCUCGUGUAAAUUUCUCUUCUAGCAAUUGUGGCUUUGAGUUUAGUUUUAGGGCUCAUUUAAUGGGAUACCAUAGUUGGACCAUAUUAUAGUUGGGUCUAACCAUUGACAACUCUGAUGACUGCCGUAGACUGAUUCAAUGGUACCACUUUAUCAGGUAUUAUUAAUUUUUAUUUCAAAAAUUAAAACUUUCAUUUUAUUACAACUGACAGCUGACCCCACACAUUUCGAUGAUUAUAAUUUAUCUUUCAUUCAUAAUAUGCCAGCAAAUGUUACAUCGCAAUUACGAAUAAUUUAUGUCCUUCACCCCCGACAUUGAUAUUAGCAAUUUUCAGUUAGAAGUUAAAUCAUCCCAGCAUUAGCAUUUUUUGUAUAACAUCAUUUUAAUUAAUAGAUUAGAAACGUGAUUCACGUUUGACAAUAAUUUUCUCUUUUGCUGUUUUGUCGUUAUAGUUUACUGAGACGAGAAAGAAAUAAUUGCUCGUUUGGAUACUCUCUGUAUUCACAUUUGACAAAAUAAAUAAAUAAUUUCUUUUUACUGUUUUGUUCCUUUUACUGUAUGAUAUUGAACAAAAUAAUUUUUUUCAGAUCGCUCAAUAGAAUUGCUUCAAAUCAGUUUUACCAGUUAUAAUUCAUCAGCUCCUACUCUUUGCGUUCAAUUCUCAAUCAAGAAACCCUCUCCUGACCUAGCUUUGCUCCCUUCUGCCAUCACCUCUCUGUAUACUCAUUGGAUCAAGAAACCCUUUUCUUGUUUCAAUUUUCUGAUCGCAACAACACUUUGAUUCUCAUCUAUUACACUGAUUUUUUCCUUGUUUUGCUCAAAUACAAUUUCUCUUCCUAAUUUAGUCCCGUUCCCUUUCACCGUCAUCUGUUUUUUCUUCGGCUUCUUCAUUGAUUAAAAAUUGUCCAGUCGUUUCCCCUGUUCUUUUUCUGUUUCUUUCACUUCAGAUCAAUCCAUCCUCCCACAACACCCCCCCCCCCAAAAAAAAAAAAAAGAAAAGAAAAAGUAUUGAAGGUGAUGGAAUCCAUUGUUACUGUCGUUUUAGAGGUUGUAAAAUGCUUGGCUCCUCCAGCACAACACCAACUUCGUUACUUGCGUUGCUCCAAUGACAACUUUGAGAAUCUCAAGGCUGAAAUCGAGAAGCUCAAGGAUAAAAGUAGGAGCAUUCAACGCAGAGUUUCAGAGGAUGAAAGAAAAGGAGAAAAGAUUGAAGAGGAGGUUGAGAAAUGGCUGGUUAAUGCGAACAAGAUCAUUGACCAUGCAGACAAAUUCAUUGACGACGAGGAGGCAACAAAUAAGCUAUGUCUCAAGGGUCUGUGCCCUAAUCUGAAGACCCGCUAUCAGCUUAGCAAGAAAGCAGAGGCAGAGGUGAAGGCACUUGUCAAAAUCCGAGAAGAAGCUGCAAGAUUUGAUGAUAGAAUUUCCUACCGUACCAUUCCGGAGGAGAUAUGGCUCAAGUCUCACAAAGGCUACGAGGCCUUCGAGUCAAGACUUUCUUCUUUGAAGGCCAUACAAAAUGCAUUGAUCGAUGUUAAUGUUAGUGUCGUUGGGGUGUACGGCAUGGGCGGCAUUGGAAAGACGACACUGGUGAAGAAGGUCGCCAGGCAAGCUAUGGAAGACAAGCUCUUUGAUAUGGUGGUCUUUUCAGAGGUUUCGCAAACUCCAGACAUAAAAAAGAUUCAACAGGAAAUUGCCGAGAAGUUGGGCCUGGAGUUGCACGAGGAAGUUGAAUCUAGAAGAGCAAGUAGACUAUUUGAGCGAUUGAGAAAUCACAAGAAGAUCCUUGUGGUUUUAGAUAACAUUUGGAAACACCUUGAUUUGGAGACAGUUGGAAUUCCUUUUGGAGAAGACCAUAAAGGCUGCAAACUACUGCUGACGGCAAGAGAUCGUAGUGUCCUUUUAAAAAUGAGUUCUAAAGACAACUUUUUGAUAAACAAUUUAAAUGAAGAAGAAGCCUGGAGAUUGUUUAAGAUGAUGGCCGGUGAUGAUGUUGAAAAUCGUGAGUUGAAAUCUACAGCAAUAGACGUCGCCAGGGCAUGUGGAGGUUUGCCCAUUGCCUUGACCACAGUAGCAAAGGCACUGAGAAGCAAGAGUCUGCAUGAAUGGAAGAAUUCCUUGCGAGAACUCCGAACGCCUUCAAUGGUGAACUUCGAAGGAGUAUCUGCAGAGACUUAUUCAAGUAUUGAGCUGAGUUUCAACCAUUUAAAAGGUGAGCAACUCAAGAAAAUUUUUCUCCUCUGUAGUCUAAUGGGUAACCGUAUUCAUACUUUGGACCUGUUUAAGUACUCCAUGGGUUUGGGUAUAUUUAAAGGAGUCAAUAAGAUGGAAGAUGCACGAGACAAAUUAUAUGCAUUGGUCCAUGAACUUAGAGACUCUUGUUUGUUGCUUGAGGGUGAUAGCAAUGAAGAAUUUUCAAUGCAUGAUGUUGUUCGCGAUGUCGCAAUAUCAAUUGCAUGCCGCCACCAACAUGUGUUUUCGGUGAGAAAUGAGGAUGUGUGGGACUGGCCAGAUGAGGAUGCACUUCGAAAAUGCAAUGCUGUCUCUUUAAGAAAUAAUAGUAAUCGUGAAUUUCCUGAAGGAUUAGAAUGCCCAAACCUUGAAUUUUUAUAUAUCUCUCUCAAAGAUUUUUCUCUUGAAAUCAAUAUUCCUGAGAACUUUUUUGUAGGGAUGAAAAAGCUUAGAGUUCUAGAUUUUACUCGAAUGCAGUUUUCUUCAUUUCCAUCUUCAAUUGAUCUUCUAGUAAAUCUUCACACACUAUGUCUGGAUCAAAGUGCGUUGGGGGACAUAGAAAUCAUUGGGAAGUUGAAGAAUCUAGAAGUCCUUAGCUUUCUGAUGUCUGAUAUUAUGCAGUUGCCAGAAGAACUAGGUCAAUUGAAUAAGUUGAGAUUGUUAGAUUUAACCAAUUGUUUCCAUCUAAAAGUUAUUGCGCCCAAUCUCAUAUCAAGCUUAACUCGAUUAGAAGAGCUGUAUAUAGGUAAUUGCUUCAUUGAAUGGGAGGUUGAAAGAGCCAAUAGCAAAAGAAGUAAUGCUAGCCUUGACGAAUUGAUGCAUUUACCUCGGCUAACCACUCUAGAAAUUGACGUUAAAAAUGACAUUAUUUUACCAGAGGGUUUUUUGGCCAGAAAGCUGGAAAGGUUCAAAAUAUCUAUUGGAAAUGAGUCAUUCAGGCAUCCCAUGAGUGUUGGACAAGAUUGGUUCCAAAGUCGGCUGCAGUUUUCGAUCAACAGUGAUCGCAAGAGUUUAAGAGCAUUGAAGCUCAAGCUUGAUUUUAUGGACAUUUGCUCCACGAAAUUGCAGGGCAUCAAUAACGUUGAAUGCUUAUGGUUGGACAAGCUGCAAGGCAUCGAGAAUGUUCUUUUCAAUUUGGACACGGAGGGCUUUUCACAAUUGAAGCUUCUCUGGGUUCAAAAUAAUCCUGACAUCUUUUGUAUCGUCGAUUCAAGGGAGAUGGUCGGUUGUGAUGCCUUUCCUCUUUUGCAGUCACUUAUCCUUCACAAUUUGAUCAACAUGGAGAGGUUAUGUAUUGAUCGGCUCAAAGUAGAGUCUUUCAACCAACUCAAAAACAUAGAAGCAUAUAAUUGUGAUAAGUUGAGCAAUAUCUUUUGGUUCUCUACUACAAAAUGCCUUCCAAGACUUGAGAGAAUUGCAGUUAUUAAUUGCAGCAAGAUGAAAGAAAUUUUUUCAAUUGGGGAAGAAGUUGAUAAUGCAAUUGAGAAGAUAGAGUUUGCUCAAUUAAGAUCUUUGAGUCUGGGGAAUCUUCCAGAGGUUACAAGUUUUUGCUGUGAGGUGGAGACUCCUUCAGCAUCACCGAACAGACAAGUGUCGCAAGAGGAAUCGACGGCUAUGUAUUGCUCCAGCGAAAUCACUUUGGAUAUUUCAACUCUACUUUUCAACGAGAAGGUGCGUAGGCUAACAUUUUCUUUAUUCUAUAAUGCGUUCUCUUUUGAUGUCAUACGUGGAAAAUAAUUAAAUCAUUUAAAGAAUGGAAAGAAAAUGGAAAAAAGGAUAAAAAGAAUCUCACGCGCUCACUAAUUGAGCUCUUAACAAGUAGUAUCAAUUAGAAUGCAUACUCAGCUGUCAGUUGGAAAUUGAUUCUGACUUGCAUUAAUUUGUAAUCAAAGAAGAAAAUUUCAACAAGUGCUUCCCAUAUGGAUAUUGGAUCUAACGAGAAAUUCUUAUUUUUUUAGGUUGCGUUGCCUAACUUGGAGGUUUUGGAGAUAUCUGAAAUUAAUGUCGACCAGAUUUGGCACUACAAUCAUCUUCCGGUCACGUUUCCUCGCUUUCAAAAUUUAACACGAUUGAUUGUGUGGCAUUGUCACAAAUUAAAAUACAUAUUUUCAGCGUCUAUGAUCAGAAGCCUUAAGCAGCUCCAACGCCUGGAAAUAUGCUCCUGUGAGGAUUUACAGGAGAUCAUUUCUGAAAACAGAACAGAUCAAGUGAUCCCUUAUUUUGUCUUUCCACAGCUCACCACUCUGAAACUCCAAGAUCUACCAAAACUUAGAUGUUUGUACCCUGGAAUGCAUUCUUCGGAAUGGCCUGCACUAGAAAUUCUUUUAGUGUAUGGUUGUGACAAAUUAAAGAUAUUCGCUGCAGAUUUAUCGCAGAAUAAUGAGAAUGAUCAACUUGGUAUUCCUGCACAACAGCUCCCAUUGCCGUUGGGAAAGGUAUGAAGCCAUUUUCUAGAUUUUUUAUCAAUAGCUUAUUUUUAACUUUGAAAAAUAUGACAAAGCAUCGAUAAAUUAAUGCUCAAUAAAUUGAAAACUUUUAUUAUACAAUAAUCUUUGCUAGUCUAGACUAAGGGAUCAAUAUGGUAGAUUCAUAAUUAUAUGAACUUUUUUAGGCAUAGCAUUUAUAAAAGAAUCCUCAGUCUUUCCAUUUAGAAGAACUUACAAAAUAAAUUAGUAAUUUACUAUUGUGCAAUAAAAUAAUUUUGAGCCAAUAUAAAUCAACUAUUUUUCCCUAAUUUCUUGCUUUACCUCUAAAAUUAACAUACAAAAUAAAUUUUAUCAAUAAUUCAAUUUUUUUUAAAAUAUAAUAUAAAACAAAUGCUAUAAAGUCACUGCGUGUGACCGUAGAUCAUCAAUUGACCUCAUUAGUUAUUAUGAUUAAUGAUGAUCAGAUCGUACCCAACUUGAAGGAACUAUCACUAAGUGGAAAAGAUGUGAAGACGAUUUUGCAGGCCGAUUUCCCACAACACCUUUUUGGCAGUCUUAGACAUCUACAGAUUGCUGGAGAUGACUCAGCUUGUUUUCCAAUCUGGAACGUACUUGAGAGAUUUCACAAUCUCGAAAUGCUCUCACUGCUUUUUUUUCCAUUCCACGAAGAGGUAUUUUCGAUGGAAGGAUGCUUAGAGAAACAUGUGGGGAAGUUGGCAAUGAUAAAAGAAUUAGAGCUGUACUGGCACUAUCAUCUGAAGCAGCUGUGCAAACAAGACUCCAAACUUGGCCCCAUUUUUCAGUAUCUUGAAAGUCUAGAAGUAUAUCAUUGUCAAAGUCUGUUAAUUCUAUUGCCAUCAUCAUCGGUAUCUUUUCAGAACCUAACAGCUCUGGUGGCUUUCGGUUGCAAGAAAUUGUUACACAUGGUAACAUCCUCCACAGCAAAAACUCUGGUGCGACUCGUAGCAAUAGAAAUAUAUGGAUGCAGAGCAAUGACAGAGGUGGUAAUAAAUGACAAAGACGGGGUUGAAAAAGAAGAGAUUGUUUUCCGCAAAUUGAAGAGGUUGGAACUGCGUGAUUUAGACAGCCUCACAAGUUUCUGCUCUGCCAAUUACACCUUUGAAUUCCCAUCUUUGAAAGAGUUGUGUGUGAUUGGUUGUCCCAAGAUGAAGAUUUUCACUACAGGAGAAUCAAUCACGCCUCCGGGAGUAAACGUCUCUUAUGGAGAGACAUCGAAUCAACAGCGUUGGGCUAAUAAUGAUCUAAACACAACCAUACAACAAUUACAUGCUGAAAAGGUACGGAUAUACAUGUUACUCUCUAUCUCCCAUGGAAAAAUUUUACAAAAUUUGCUUUUUUUAAAUAAAAUAUAGAUAAGAUGUUUGUUAUAAAGUAAAAGUUUAAAUUGAUGAAUAAGAAUCUUAUUUUCAGCUGUUGGCGGUGCCGUCGUCGUUCUCUACGCAUUACAACUAAUUUCAUAGGCUUCUUAUGACUUGGAGUUGCGAAUUUUUAGAAGAAAGUCUCAGCUGGUAAUUAAUUUUUAUUUCAUUUAUUUGAUCUCAUGGCUUGUUUCACAAUUUCAUCUGAAUUAUUUAGAAUGGGUCCCUCGGUUUACUGUUAAAUUUGCAAUGCAAUUUUAAUGAUUCUUUCAGACUUUUAUGGACAGAUUUUGCAUAAUUGAAUGUCUUUUUAGUCUAGUUUAAUUUGAGUCUUUUUUUUUUUUUUUUUUUUUGGGAGCUCCCCUCGUCUUCUAAAAUUUUAUAACUCCUUGCAUACGUUUUUAUGAUAAAAUUUCAUUAAAAGCCUUCGUAUUUUAUAAUUCCUUGAAAACGUGCAUACUUUUUCCAUUCUUUCUUUGCCAAUUAUUUAUUCUCAUCAUUGCUGUUCUUUUAUUUUAGUUUGUGUUCUGUUUGUUCAUUGGGUUUGCUUUUCUUCGCACCUAUAUUUCCUUGGAAAGUUAGAAGGCAAGGAAAGUACUUAGAAAAUGUUCUUCCCUAUGAACACAUAAUUAAAGAACAGCUGAAUAUCAUUCAUCGGAUUAAAAAAAUUAAAAAAAAAAACGUAAUCAGUGCAUUGUUCCUAUAACAAAUCCUUAAACCAUCAAAUGUUAGCUAUCAACAAGUAUAUUGUGGAAAUAUUGUUUGAAAAUAUUUCAUAAAAAAUCAAGUUUUCACAAACCCAAAAAGGGACUAAUUUGGUCUAGCAUAUACAUAAUAUUUUCUCCACUGUUCCUGUUAAAAUUUCUCUACUCUAUGAUCGCAGAAUGUCUGGAUACUGAUGACGAUUUAAGUCACUCUUCUUCUGUGCGCAAUUUGAAAUAAGGUCGUUUUUCUUUUUUCCUCUAUUCAAAGUUUACAUUCUGAUGGGUUCCCGUUUCCAUCUUCGUGAUCUUCUUGUGAUUCACUGCAUCGGGUCGCUACAUCUGUGAUAGUGUGAGUUGCAACCUCUUUGUAUGUAUUAAAAAAAUUUUAUUCUCAAUAUAUAUGACUCAAUGAGAGGUCUUUUAUUAUAUAUAUGUCAUGAAUUUCUAUUUUAUUUUGAGAUUUGAUGGUGUAUUAUUGUCUCAUUGCAAGGUCUUGUAAUCACUCUGAUUCUCAUUUGAGGAGGUUGGUCUCGUCUAUGUGUAUGUAUUUAUAUCCACAAGAAAUAUGAUAAAUGGUCUUGUCGUUUUCUCAUUAAAACAUCUAGUGCUUCAUAGGUUGGAGGGCUGCGAGGCAUCAGGGCCAGAUUUUUAAACUCAAAGUUCUUCGUGUCAUUUACCCAUUUGAUUAUCAAAUAGUCAUAAAAGCAUAUAAAUUCAAGUUAGUGUAUCAUUUUUACACAAUAUACUAAAACUAACACAAGAACCUCGCCGACAUUUUCAGUUGAAUAACUCAGACCCCCGUACUUCCUCGGGCUGACAGCCCAAAGUGAAAAUAUCUAAAAAAAAUAGUUGCAACAUUUACCCAUUUGAUUAUGAUUCAAAAAAAUACACAAAUGGAAAAAUUAUUGGGAUUGUUAAGAUAGUUAAAAUGGUUAGUUAUUGUUUCAGUUUAUUAAGCAAGAU